rnacentral:lncRNA from 1 species
UAGCACAAAGUCGUUUAUCUCGUUUAUUGAACAAACAACGAGGACAACAAUGUCGUUUUCUCUCUUUCGAAAUUCAUAAACAACAAAAUUGAAAAUUCUUUCACAAAAAUUACCAUAAAUUUUGACAGAAUUGGCGGUUAAAUUAUAAGUCUAACAGGCAAAUCGAAAACAAUCACAAGAUCUUAGGACAUACAUACCACAUCAACAUUUAGCAAGCAGUCCAUAAGAAAUUGCAAUCAAGAUAAAACCUUUCAACAGUUUAUUAAAUUUCUCCUUUCAUAUAAGAGCAUGGUUCGGAGGAUUAGAGUGCGUUUCAGCAACCAUCUAUAUAACAUAUAGUAUCGAGCUCCAAUUGCCACUGCUCCAACCACGGCAAAAGCUACGAGAACAGCGAUUUCGUCCAAUGAAAAUCUCCUCAAAAGCAGUGGGCAAGACCAAAGACAUAGGAAUGACGUUGCUACAACUGCAAUCAAUAAUACAAUCCUCCAAAUCUUUCUUAUCACAGUAGGCUUAUCAAGCAAUAUCGGCACAUCAUCAGGAAUGACGUUGCUACAACUGCAAUCAAUAAUACAUAAUAUUCAAACUCCUUCAUCGAUCCCAAUACGAUAAAUUUAAAAUUGUUAUGAUCCGGAUAUUACCUAUAUUUUCUUAUGAUUCCAUAUGAAUCUGGGAUGUAGAUCGUGAGUGUUCCAGCAUAAUUGUGGCCUCCAAUAUGAUAGCAAGCAGUAACAAAUACCUGAUUCGUCAAUCCUUCAGCCUCCUUUUUGAACUGAUCAAUGAGAAUACGUGCCGAAACACGAUGGCCUUCAUGUCGACCAUUAGUUGCACAUACAAAUACAUGGGAGCCACUCAACAGCUCUUGCACUCCGGAAGCCCAUGGUUUGUGAUUCACAAGGACAUCUUCAACAAAGAUGUCCACAUCCGACUCUUUCAAGCCCCUUUGAUCAACAAACAAAAACAACCUCAGAAUCACAAAAAGGGAAUUAGUCGUAAACUAAGCCGUUAAAUUCAAUUUAUAGAACUAAUUUCAGAAGCUAAAACAUAUCUAAUUAACUAUUUAAUUCAGUACAUUCAGCACAAUCUCGUAAUCAAAAGAGAAUUUAAAACAGAAAUUACUUCAGUCUAAACUAGGAAUGGGCCUUCGAUUAUGAAUUAAUUACGGUUUGCCAUUGGGUGUCUUGGUGUGGGCCGUGCUUAACAGUUGGGUUGGGCUGCUGCAUUUAGGCCCAGGGUGUAGUUCUCACGCGUUUUUCUUUAAAAUUUUCUUUAUUUCUUUAUUUCUUUAUUUCUCAUCCUUUAAACUUUGUAUUUUCUUUAAAAUAUUUUUCUUUUUGGUGAUGCAGCAGAUAGAUGAACAUGUUCAAAGGGAAAUCAUGAACCACAGAUCACUGCAUCCGAAUAUCGUUUGAUUCAAAGAGGUCAGUGAUCAUAAACUAUUUUCAUUUUGUAUUUUAAGAAUGAAUUUGGCAAGUUCUGUUUGAAUUUUGUGUAAGUAUCUGCUGAGGGUGGGUGGAUGAAGACAGAACACACUACAUUUGGCCUCUGGUGUGCUUAAACUGGUACGGGGGAUGGCUAGACUUUGAGCCUGGGAUGCAGUAGGACUAAGAGAAAUGCCCUACCCACCGGGGCAAUCCACCACUUGCAGAAUUGUUGUCAAAAUAACUCUGCUAAAAAUAUGAGCUAUACUUCCUGCACUUCGUUUUUAAUGUGAAGUGGAAAUAGUCUUUAGAGUGGCUUAUAUGAGAUAAUUGAUAGAGGUUUGUGUUUAAGACUUGAGAGUAGCGCGGUGUCUUUCUUGCUGGUUCUGCUCACACCACCUCAUCUAGCCAUUGUGAUGGAGUACACGGUUUGGUGAGAACUCUUCGAGAGAAUAUGCAGUGUUGGCAGAUUUAGCGAGGAUGAGAUAAAGUAGUUUCAAAUGCAGAGAAAAUUUCGUUGGAAGUGAUUUUAGUGUAGAGUCUCAAAUAUGGGAUCUCUGAAUGUCCCCUGAAAUGGAAUCCAUCUCGAUUUUCGUUUAGUUUCAUAUGGGAAAAGUUAGGUCUGAAGCAUUUUUACAGUCAGUCAUGACUCAUAAUAUAACUAAAACUUACUUUUUCGAUUUAAUUGUUGUUUUGCAUCAGGCAAGGUUUUUCUUCCAGCAGUUGAUAACAGGAGUUAGUUGUCAUUUGAUGGUCUGUAAUUUGGCACUUGUAGCAAGGAAAUAAUUCGUUUCAAUAGUAUACGACUUAGUUUUAAUAGUAUAUGACUCAGUUUUUGAAUAGCACUUGGAUGGUUUUCGAAUAACGGUAUUACGACUUAGUUUUCUCAAUGCUUAGUUUUCUAAAUGCCAAUAACAGCUCUAGAUUUUGUCUUAGUUUUCUAAAUGCCAAUAACAGCUAUAAAUUUUGUCUCAAGUGGAGUAUUCUUACUAAUGUAGCAUUUUGUUGACACAUCAGUAUGUUUUUUUUUAUUGUUUCUCUGCUUGAACAGAGAAUUGUUAGCGUCCGGGUGGGAACGUGGGUCGACUCAUUUUUUUAGUCUCUCCGUCGUAAGCAGUUUUAGAUGGCAUUCUUCAAUGUAGCUAUAGGUAAGACAACACUCUCAGUAUUCCAUAAUCAAACCACCUUGUGAUUUUUUUUAUCCACCAAGUUAAGCUUUUAUGUGCCAUCUUGAAUAGUUAUAAGUUAUUGCUCCAGAUUACUCCAGUGCGACAUUGUUGUUCUCUUCCUUACCUCUUAAGCUUGCUUAAUAUACUUAAUUCUUAUUACUGUUGUAAAAGGUCGUACCCAAUGCACAAGGCUCCCGCUUUACGUAGGGUCUGGGAGAGGUAAAUGUCGGCUAGCCUUACCCCCAUUUAUGGAGAGGCUGCUCCCGAUCUUAUUACUGUUGUAUUGUUAAGAAAUACUCAAUUGCGGUUUCAGUUCAUCGUUAUGAAUCGGAUUAAAAUUAACCACUCAUUGGUUAAUUAUCUAAAUCCUAUAAAUUCGGAUUAAUAUUAAAGCAACUACAAAACAAAAAGCUCAAGAAAUCAAUGCGAAUUUACCUGUAUUUGAUCAUUUGUGGGAAAAUCAACACAUCGCCGUCCGAAAACUCAGUUCCUUCGUGUCCUUCAAUUACUGUCAGCAACGUCUAUCAAAAACCAAGAAAAAAGUGAGUAAUGAAGUCAACUCAUCUGAAAACCAGAACUCAAUAGCUCCAGGAAAUAAGAAGCACUGAGAAAAAGCAAUCAGAAAUGGUGAUGAAUUGAGCUGGAAAAUGAACCUUAACGAUGAUGUCGUUCUUGCGAGCUUCGAGAGCAGAUGCGAAGAACUUAGGGAGAGGAUCGGACUCAGAGCCUUCGAUGCGCCAUGGCCAGGCCUCGGGGGUCUUGUAGCAGAGGAAAAUAUGUUGUGUAUCGUCAAGAGUGUCUACACAAGACUCAUAUGGCAUAGUCACAUAGUUGUCCCAAUUAGUACCACCAUCAGACAAAUCCCAUUUUACAAUAUCCACUCCUAUUUUGUUCACCGUAAUUCUAUUAUCUUGUCCACAAAAUUGUGCUUGUACAAGAACCGUGUCGCCGCCUUUUAGAUUGAGCUUCUUGUUUGAAAGAUUUCCCAACCAAAGACGAUAUUCAGGGGAAGCAAUCACGGUGUCCUCCAGUGGUCGGUUGCGUCGGAUGCAUAGGAUGCGAUGGGAAGCAAUUACGGUGGCCUCCAUUGGUCGGAUGCGAAAAUAAGUUCGCUGGGUAGAAUUAAUAACAUGAAUUUGUAGAGAACCAGUAGAGUAGUAGAAGUCUGAAGAAUAAACGAUGCCCAAAGCCAACCCUCCUAUAUAAUCAAUACUUGGCGGCACUUCAAAUUUGACAGUUACAUCCUUUCUCGCGACAUAGGCUAACCGGUUAGGAAUAUCAUUUCCAGAGAGAAAAAUUCCACCAAAUGCAUUUUUCUACAACAUGGGGUGCAAAGUCAGUAUAAGCAACAAUAUAAAAAGCAGAGAGAGAGAGAGAGAGAGAGAGAGAGAGACAGAGAGACAGAGAGAACCAUACCGUUUGGAGGUUCUCCUUGAAAGUAGCAGUGAGACUGGUACACCCUUCCAUAUGAAGUGAAUCCAUGUAGUCCAAUGAGUUCUCCAAGUUUGGAAUAUCUUUGAGUUUGCGGCAGUCUUUCAGUUCCAAUACCCUCAUUUUCGACAUCUCUGAAAAGUCAGACAUUAUUUCCAGUGCAGUGCAGUAAUUCGCUUGCAGUACACACAAACUGUUUGGCAAAUCUGGGAUUGCCUUAAGGUUUGUGCAAUUAUUUAGACGUAAAACCUGAAGCUGAGAAAGGCCACUGAGAAUGGGUAGCCAAUUAAAACCAUUCCCACAUAGAACUAAAACUGUUAAAGAAGAUAGACUCCCAAUUGUUUUGAGAACGGCACCAUCUGUUAUAUUGCAGUCGCUGAGAUAUAAUUCCUCAAUCAUCUUCAGUUGUGCUAAAAAAUGGUAACCCCCACACAAACCCUUACAGCCAUUGAGGUCCAAUGCCUUGAGAUGUUGGAGUUUUGAAAAGUCUGGUAAUUCAGUCAAGUUAUGGCAGUCAUUAAGUAUGAGAUACUUCAACUCCUUAGGCAACUGUUACUCAAAAAGAGAAAACAACAAUAAAAAUCCAAAUAAAUAAAAGAGAGAAUGCAUGACGAUGACUGAUGUUGAUAUUUACAAGGACAUUGAUAAUUAUAUCGUACCAGCUUCGAAUCCUCCCAAACUCGUACCAUCUUGCUGUUGCUCAGGUUUAAACAAACUAGGUUUCGUUGAUCAAAAUUUGCUGGUAUGGCUUCAAGAGGAAAUCCAUCCCAAAUCAACAAUCUUAACUCCUUGGAAAGAUGUUUGUAGCUUCCAGUCAGCUUUACAUUUAUCAGGUGGAGAAAUUUCAGACGCCACAUCUUCUUAAACGCUUCUGUACGGAAGCUUUGCUUGUCAUCAGAAUCUCCUGUGUGUAGUCCUUCUACUGCUUCUGUUCCCUGUUAGAGAGAGAGAGAGAGAGAGCAAAAAAAAAUAAGAAAAGGAUAAUAUUCACAUGAAGCAGAGCCGUGAAUUGGAUGAGUGAACUACUAGAAAGGUAGGGCAUACAACAUAAUUAUGUAUUUUCUCUUUGGAAUUACAGUGGAUGAAAUCCUUUUCUUUUCUUUUUCUUUUUUCGUAAAAUAUAUUAUGUACGACAUACAUCAUAUAUAUGCGGAUAUCCGUAUGUACUUCUCUUUCUUUACAUGUACUUAACAUAAUAUCUUUUUAUUGUAAAAGUACUUACCGAUUCAUUAUUGAGCACGCUUUUUGCAUCUUUAAUAUUCCACAAUCGACUACGUUUUCCCUCCAUAGGAGAUUCUGCACGCACAAUUUCUCUUCCCAUAUCUCGAAUCAAAUCAUGCAUCUUCAAUGUUUUAUAUGUUUUAUUUUCAAUAUAUAAGAGACAUCGUUUGCAGAGUAUGGCAAUUUCUGCUUCUACAGAAAAAUGAUUACAACCAUCCAAUAUUGCCGUGACCACAUGUACAGGCAGUCCAAUAAAGAAAUUAGAUAUGUCAAGGAACACACCCUUCACAUGAUCAUCACAUAGUCCAUCGUAGCUUAAUUUAAGCGUUUCAUGAAUUUUUCCAUUUGGAAUAUUUCUCAAUUUAUCCAAUGUACCUUCCCAUAUGGUUUUACUCUCUUCCGUAGCCAACAAACGACCAACAACUUUAAGAGCUAGGGGCAAUCCUCCACAAUAAUCAACAAUAUCUCUUGCCAAUUCAAUAUAUUCGUUAUAUUUUUUAUCGAGAUAAUCAUUUCCAAAGGCAUGCCAACUAAAGAGCUCAAGAGCUUCUUUCUUUGUCAUUGCUUGUGCCUUAUAUUUUUUAUCCACCUUUUGUAUAUUCAGCACUUGCUCAUCUCUUGUUAUUAUAAUAAUUCUGCUCCCUGGACCAAACGAUUCAUGUUUUAUUGCCAAUUUAUCUAACUGGUCUGCAUCAUCUAUGUCAUCAACCACGACAAGUACCUUUAUCCUUCCAAGUCUUUUCAUGAUCUCUUUGGUCCCUUCGGCAACACUGCUUAUCUUAAUGUCAGGCUGUUUUAAAAUAUCUCGAAGAAGUUGUUCUUGCAGACACACCAUCUCUUUCUUUUUACUCCUCACAUCUUCAAGGUAACAUUGACGACUAAAACUCUGCUCAUAAUUGCUACAAACUGCUCUGGCAAGUGUUGUUUUACCUAUACCGCCCAUACCAUAAAUUCCAAUUAUUCGAACAUUAGGUGAACCUCCAACGUCUAAGUAUUCAGUACUGAAUUCUUGCACGCGAAAAGCCAUUCCAACUGAGUGCUUGUCUUCUUUAAAGUCUAUGGUUUUCAGCCGUCCCUUGACGUCCCCAACAAUUUUCUCGAUAAACACCCAUUCACACCUACGAGUAGAAAUUCCAAAUUACAAGAGCCAUACUAAAUGCCUUAUUCAUAAUGACUAGAUAUUUACAUGUUGAAACAGAUUUGAAUAAACUGGAUUAAUUGAGCUCAAUUCAACCACGUAUCUAAUCUUUAAUUAUAAUGUGAAUACAUUAGAUCACUGGUGAUUGGACUAUUAUGCAAUUGUAGCUUUCAGUAAUAUAAUUAAGAAUCCAUUAGAAUUGGUAUUUUAAUUUGAUAAAAUGUGGAGCAUUUGUCCUUCACACACCCAUAAAAAACAAAGCAUGUACCUUGCGUUUCACUUCCUUAAUGUCGACGAAAAUUCUUAUGCAAAUGCUCUACCUUUUAUAUAAUUCAAGAUCCUUGGUAUUAAUAAUAUCAUUAAUUAUUUUCAAUAAUAAAAUAUUUUUUAUUUUUAAAUAUAUUCAUUUAACGUUAAAAAUGUUACAAUUAGUAUAUUUAUAUUUAUGGCUAAAUUUUUUAUCAUAUAUUUUUAUUUUUAGUUUGUACCUUUUUUUAAUUUGCAACCGUUUUUUAAUUUGUAUCAAUUUUCUUUUCAGUUUUAAUUUGUACCCAUAUAUUAAUUUCUUUUUGUAUCCAUAUUUUAUAAAGUUUUAUUUGUAUUUGUACCCAUAUUUUUUUUAUUUAUUUCUACCCAUUUUUAAUUUUGCUAAAUGUACCCAUGCUAAUUAUAUGCACCAUUCAUGUAUAAUUUUUUUCAAAUUUUUAAUCUUAAAAUGUACUCAUUCUUAAAUAUACCAAUUCGUUAUAUGUAAAAUGUACCAUUUUUUAAUAUAAAAUCUAUUCAAUUUUUUUCUAAUUCAUUUUUAAACUUAUAUGGGUACAUUCUUUUUUCUUUGAUUUGAGAAUGUAUCCAUGUUGAGUUUAAUUGAAGAAAUUUACUAAUUUUAUUAAGCUUAAUAUCUUUUUUUUUGGUGAUUUUGAAGAAUGUACCCAUGUUUAUAUAUAUAUAUACACACACACACAUACACACACAAUAGUAUAUUUAUAUUUUAAUAUUUUUAAUCCCACAAAUUAUGGUUUUUUAUUUAAAAUCUCAUUAAUAUAAACAACUAUAAAUUUCAAUUUUUAAUUUAAAAAAAUAUAGCAACGUCAUAAAAAUAAAUUACCACAUUAAUUUCAGGGUCUUAGAUAAAAAAUUGAAAACCAACAAAAUUUUAGUCAAAGAAUAUUCAUAGGUAGGGACCGCAUCCAAAGUCUCUUUGUACGAAUUGUAAUAAAUUUUUAUGUAGGGGCCAAAAUUACAGUUCUAUCAUAGAUCAAAGAUCAACAAUCCAAUUUUUCUCAUCACAUGUAAAAUCAGAUUCAAUGCCUUAAUUAUAAUAUCUUAAUUUUGGUUGAUUAGUGAAAUACGAUGAUACGAAAAUUGAAGUAGACAAAAAAAAAAAAAUACCCGUCGGCCGUGGUUUUGAGAUUCCAGCCGCUCAAAUCUGCAGAAGCCUUAAGAUCCUCUCUCCACUGCUUGACCUCGUUUGGAUCUUGAUCGCUUUCAUGCUUCCGAAAUGCUUCCUCAAAACUACCACCCUGUCUCCUGACUUCAGAAGGGUCAACGUCGUAGAAUAUUGGACACACUGUCUUCCCCUCUUGAUCUUCUCGGCACCUCAUGAUCUUCGACAGCUCCCUCAGGCACCAUCGGGACUCCGCGUACCUCUUCGAGAAGACGAUGACAGCGAUUCUUGACCCUUCGAUUUCUUGGUCUAGUUCUCUCUGUAUGUUUUCCCCCCUUGUGAGCUGGUCGUCCAUAAACGUGUUAACUCCGGCUUUGCAUAACGCACUGAAGAGGUGGCCUGUAAAGGUUUUGCGGGUGUCUUCACCUCUAAAGCUCAGGAACACUUCGUACUUCCAGCGGUUUGAGCUCCGCGAGGAAGACGAAGAGGCGGCAGCGGCGGCUCCAUGGGCGGAGCUGCUGGUAUCCAUUGCAGCCUGUAGAAGUGCAGUUUGGCUUUCAAAUAACCAAAGUCAAGUAUUUCCCCAGAUUCCCAGUCUCGGUGGCCCUUAUAAAUUUGUCACUGCCGUCCAUAACGCGUGAGUGUUUUCCCCCCACAGUUUAAUUUGUAUAAAUGUUACCAUCAAAUUUAAAAAAAUAAAUAAAAAAAUGUCUAACUUCUUUACGAUGCAAUUUCCUUUUGUAGUUUUCUGAGAAAUCUGCCGCCCAACUUUGGCCAGUUAACGACCUUGUUGUAUUUUAACUUUAAGGGUGGUGCGCAGGCCGGUGGACGUAAGAACGUAAGAAUCAAUGGGAAGAGACCUCAUCUCAUUAUUCUGAAUCUGAUUGCCGUUUUCUUGGCGCUUCUCCUCAAUUUUCUUACUUUCUCCUCCAUUUGGAAGCUUCUGGUCAUUAAUUUUUUUCAGCUUCAUCCGAAGAUGCUCCCAUUUGGCCCCUGUAAGGAAUGAAAUUGAAUUUCGUGUUCAGCCAUUUAAAGAUUCAACUCUAUGUUUCAUCAAUACCAAUCAAGUAAGGACAGGUAUGAUCAAGCUUAAUAAACAAUUUGACAACAGUGCCCACUUGACCCUGUCCCUCCCUUCCCCAAAACCACCUCUGGUUUGGUUUAUCUAUAAAAAAAGAGUUGUUUGAUUUGGUUCAUACGAGUUGUUUGAUUUGGUUCCUCAAUGUUAAUGUAACUCCUUAUCAAUAAUCUAUCAUACAACACUAGUCCAAAACGACCAACAAGGAAAAUUUCAGAGUAAACAAGGAAAAUUUCAAGGUGUCAAUCAACUCGACAACUAGUCCAAAACAGACUAAAUUAGCUCAAUUCGAGACUUCUUAAAUUGAAAUGGGAAAAUCAUAAACUCAUCAAUAAACAUGUGUGGCUGUGAGUUUCCAACGCCACACUUAGCUGCUAAGUGUUCUAAGAGUUCACCAUCAGAUGGAUCGAACUUCACACCAAGUGGUAAGCCAGGCCAUUCCGAUAAAACCUACACAAGUGGAGUUGCAGAAGUACUUAAAUGAAUAAAAAGCUUAACCUAUAAGCUGAAAGUUUUGGACAACAUAUAAUCAUUUGCAUAUGAAUAGAACUAAAAACCCAGCUUACAUCACUGUUGUCUAUAACAAAAUGGCAAUUCGGGCAUUCACGAUUUGCCCCACAGUCUUUGAUUGGACACGCAGACGAUUGAGAAGCAUUCUUCACUUUGUUUGCAAGUCCUCUGCUGUUAAUCAGCCAAGCCCUACAGAAACAUUACACCAUAAGCCACAAAAUUUCAUCACAGAAGCAAUUUUAUCUAGAAUCUAAAGAAGCUAUGACCAACAGAAAAAACAACCGAACCCAAAUUAUCAUCCAUUUCACAUUCCCAGUACAAUUGAAGAGGGCGAAAACUGAAAUGGGUUUCUCAGGAAAAACACACAAAUUCACAAGAGAAUUAACAAAAACGCUGAAUCAAAUAUCAAUCAAGCAUCCGUAUAGUCAUAUUUAACUACAGAAAGUAAAAUUAAAUAUCAAUCAAGCAUCCGUAAUGAAUCAAAUAUCAUUACACAUUACAGAGCUAGAUUGAAUAUUCCUGUUUAAUGGGUUCCCCCCAAAAUUAAAAUUUAAAUACAAAUCUAGCAUCUGAACACUUCAAAAAGCAAACAACUUUCGAAACAGUAUUUUCAUCCGAAUAAAACCCAGAGACCAAAAACUAAACAAGAAUAAAUUAUAUGGGUUGACGAAGCUGGGAAAAUCUGUAUAGAGGUUUCUCAGCUCCCAAUCAAAAGAAAGUUUCCAGAAUUUCGUUUAUUAUUUUUUAAUAAUUGCUAUAUUAAAUAAUUAUAUUGUCCGCCCAUAUUUUCAAAUUGAGUAAAUUGUAGCUAUGGUCCCUGAACUUUACUCAAAUUGGAGCAAUGGUCCUUCAACUAAAAAUCCAUUACCAUUGGUCCUUCAACUCAUUAAAACGUGCAGCUAUGGUCCCUCAACUAAAAAUCCAUUACCUUGGUCCCUUAAUUUUAAUUCAACUGGAGAAAUGGUCCCUUAACUUUAUCCCAAUUGUAGCUAUGGUCCUUCAAACAUAACUCGGUUUGACAAAUUUUUUUAAGUAGUUGACGAAAAUGACCAUAAUUACACACUUUGAUGAGUUGAGGGACCCUAAUUAAAUAAAUGGUUAUUCCAACAUAACAUAUUUUGACAAAAUUUUGAAGAAAUUAAUGAAAAGGACUAUAGCUACAUAUUUUGAUAAGUUGAGGGACCAAUGGUAAUGGAUUUUUAGUUGAGGGACUAUUACUCCAAUUUGAGUAAAGUUCAGGGAUCAUUGCUACAAUUUACUCUUUCAAAUUUUCAUCACUGACGAGUGAAAGGGCUCUCACCUUGCCAUUUCUUCGAGGUCGGAGACGAUGUUUCAACCAAGCGCAUUCCGAUUUAUAGAUAGAGAGAGAGAGAGAGAGAGAGAGAGGGAGGGAGGGAGAGGGGUCCCUUUCUGCACUGGAUUAAGUUAAGAGCAACUCCACCCAUAGAGCCCUCCCCCUGGCAAUCCACUAUUCAAUCCACCCUAUUGAACAGUAACUGCCUUAAAUGAAUAGUAAUUACCAUUAAUGAACAGUAAUUGCCAUUUACAUCUCCACCCUUGGAACCCUCUCCCCUGGCAAUAAGCAAUAAAAAUAAUAGUUUUUUAUGUUUGUUUAAAUAAUAAAAAAUUACAAAAGCUAUAUAUAUCUCUCUCUCUCUCACACAAAAAAAAUACAAAAAUACAAAACCCUCGGGCCACAGGCCCGUCGACUCCCCACCCCCCUUUCACUCGACCUCCCACCCUCACUCGGGCCCUUCCUCGCUGGAUUUGCUCCCACCGGCCCGAGGGCCCUUUCUCCUCGCCUGACGCCCGAGCAACCAGCAAGGCUGGAGUUGCUCUAAAGUAGCUAGAGACAGAGUGCGUGUGUGUGAGCGGGAAAAUCCAGCUUCGGACCCAACGAGCCGUUACCUACAAGCCUCAGGUUCGGGUACAGAGUCUUUGGUCGAUAAGAAGGCGGACCCACCGCCAUAGGCUGUCUCAGUGGGGUCUGGGGUUGACGAAACCUAAGUCCGAGGCUGAGGUUCGGAGAGAACGAAGGUGUCCUGUCGUGCUUUUGGUGGGGGUUCGAACACCGAGUAAAGUGUAAUUAUGGUAUUUUUUCUGUCGGACUUGCUGACUGACUACCGUGCUCCCCAAGCUACAUACAGAAACGUUUUGGAGACUUUUGUGGAUUCUCGAUUUUGCCCCUCGAUAUUGAUGUGACUCGACUGUUUGUCUUGGGCAGAAAGUAGGCUUGGUAAAUAUAAUAACAUAUAUAUAUAUAUAUAUAUUUAAUGAGAGACAUCAACUGUCGUUGUAGUAUAGUGGUAAGUAUUCCCGCCUGUCACGCGGGUGACCCGGGUUCGAUCCCCGGCAACGGCGAUUUUUUGAGCUUUUCUCCUUCCUUUUAUUUUUUAAUUUUUUAUUUUUACAUAACUUUUGGUUUGUAAACUUUGUGUACUGGAUUUAAAGGGUAUCUGCGGUCAUCUUCACAGUCCGGAAGGAAGACCACGUCCAUUAUUUGUAAGAGAGUUUGAACUCGACAUCGAUGGUUGAGAUCGAGAUUACGAAAUGCUCAGAAGAGAUUUUAUUGAACAGGAGCGAAGGCUUUUGGAUGAACCCCUUAAUUUUACAACGUCAAUACAUCACAGCAACCCAACUCCACAACUCUUAAAAAUUCCUUUCCAUUUGAUCUCAAUCAAACCAAACUAAACCUAACGACUAUCCGAAUUUCAACAGUAACAUCAGACCGUAGGCCGCUAAAUGAAAAAUUACUUUUUUUCCCUACAAGUAGUUGUCUACUAAUAUUUCGGGGGGUGCCUUAUUGAGCUUUCCUAAGAGAGUAAUUAGUAAACAUUUGGAAGGUAAAGAUUACAGCUUGCAGGAUCAAUAACACUGGCUAAAGCAGGAGAAAAAACCUUUAGGUUUGUCUUCCAUGUGCGUGUUGGAUUUAGGGGUUUCACCCGAGUCGUUGUGAGUAACCAUCAAAGAACUAGUACCAGGCGACUCUGGUGGGAGUACAGCGUUCUCAGAUUUGAAUAUCCGUUGAGGGAUAGCGGGUGCUGGUGCCGAAAUAGUAGAGAGGUAACGCAGCAGCAUCUGUAUAAUUUGGGUGAAGUUGGGCCGGUCAUUGGGAUCCUCUUUCCAACAUGAAGUUACAAUCAACGCCAAAUCCUUGGGGAGGCUAUCAGCACUCGGCCUCACAUUCUGAAACAAUUCGUAUAACCUCAUAUUACGAAGCUUAAAAAGUACCAAGUUAUGAAUAAGAUUAUUGUGGUAUUUUGUUACCUUAAAAGCAGCUGCAUACGCAGCUUGUAAAUUCGACAUGCCUUCGAAAGGCAGCUUGUUAUGGAUGAGUUCCCACAAUACAAUUGCAAAGCUGUAAGCGUCCACCUUAUGAUUGUAAUGCUUCUUUUCUCCAUGUCGUAAUGUAACUGUGCUGUAAAGCUGCCACCAAAUACAAAGGUGGAAGAUUAAUUUGCUGAUACCAAACAAAAAUUAAUUUGCUGAUAUCAAACACACUCACAAGACAUAUGAGAAACAAAUUCUCAACCUUUGAAUGACCGAGUUAAGUACCGUACCUCAGGAGCCAUCCACCGGUAUGUCCCAGUUUCGGCGGUCAUCAUCUCUGUCAAUGACUCUUCUCUUGCUAAGCCAAAGUCUGCAAGUUUGACUGUUUUUUGGUCGGCAGUCAAGAUCAGAUUCUCUGGGAAAAGGACAGGAUAAAAGUGUAAGAUUGUGGAACAAACCCUGUUUUCGGAAAUAAGCUUCGCCCUAACAAUAGUUGCAAUUCGUUUUGUGAUGCUGAAGUUAUCUCUGCUACGGAAGUCUUCAAUCAUGCUGAAUACUAAACUAUCAGCGACUAACACUAAAUAGCAAUCCUUCGGAUUUCCAUAUUUGAGACAUGCUUACACAUAGACUUCACUUUAAUCCUUCUCGGUUCUUCUAUGUAGGCGUUCCCUUCUUGACUCUCCUAACGUCGAGCUAAGUGACUUCGUUCAAAGGUCAACCCUUAUGUUAAACAAUGAACUAAACCACAUACCAGGUUUCAGGUCACAGUGAAUGAUACCGUGGGAGUGUAAGCACUCCAUAGCACGAGCAAUAUCAAGCGCAAACCCAACUGCCAUGCACGUGUCCAAGCACCUUGGCCGCAUACUGAACAAGUAUUUGCGCAAAGUUCCGCCUAGAAGAAGCUCAGUCACUAUGACCAUGACAGGUUCUUUGCAGGCACCAAUGAACUGGUAAUACAAAGUUAAAAAUCCCCCAUCAGAUAUCGCAAAUACGCCUAUUUAGUAAUCAAAAAUACUUAUCGAAAACUAGACAACAACCUUCACUAAGUUUUUGUGCUGCACUUUCGACAUCAUUGCCACUUCCCUCGCAAACCGCGCUUCUCUCUUGGCAAUCUCCUCGAUGAACAAUUUUUACAGCAACAUUUUGAUUCUUAUAUCUAGAACAAACAAAACACAACAAACAAACAGAUUGACAACACAACAGAACAGAACAUCAUCGUUGUAACUCGACAAGAAAAACACAUAUUCGGCAUCGUAAACACCAUAAAUGCCCAACACCAAAGCAAGUUUUGAUCUUUGAUUAGUUCUGCUAAAACCCAACUCAAUUUUGCAUUUAUGUUUAACAAUAUACAAGAGAUAAUAAUAAAUUGCUAAACUUGAGAGACCAGAAAUUCAGAAUCUAAGACAAAACAAACACAGAGGUUGUACUGAGGUUGACUUACUUUCCUUCGUACACUUUGGCAAGCGCGCCUUCCCCAAUCCUCGGACCAACAAAAAGAUGCUUUGGAUCGAUCAGCCACUUGGCGUCCAAAUCGAAAUCCGCAACUGAGUAAACCCCAUUACCAGAUCCCAUAAUUUUCCCUCUCUAAACUUCUAAAACAAGAACAACAUACACUGACUAAUUAACCAAACAAAGGGUACCCUUUAUUUGUAGGACUACAUUUGAAGUAAAGAUGGAAGCUUUGGUCUGGAUAAAAAUGGAAAAAAAAGUAAUAAAGUAAGGAGACUUUGUAUGAUUGAAGAGGGAGAAAGAUGAAGACUUUCUAUUUCUAUAAUAAAAGGACAUGCUUGGUACUGUAGGUUUCGGAAAACAGACCCAUCCCCAGGAUCACGGUUGAGGAUCCUACAAAUCUAGGAUGUGCCUUUUGUUUGGGGGGCAAAGAAUAAAAACCCAGAGGCACCCACCAACAACCCUACAAUAUAAAAAUGGCCACUGAUGAAAGCUCUAUCAGUGGGAGUGGAUUAGAUUUAUUAUUGGGAAUUGGGGAGAGAGAGGAAAUCGGAAGAAGAGCAAGCAGAUAGAGUUGAGCAAGGCAGAGGAGGAUGAAACUGAGAGGAUCUAGAUGGAGAUUUGGGAACUUGGUGGCGGCGACGGUGGCGGUGGGUGAGUGGGAAGUGAGUUCAGUUGAGAUUAAUUUAUUGGCCUUCUCCGCGUGUGGAAUAUUAGGGCCCGUUUGUUUGACAGGAUUAGGGAGGACUGGACUGGACUAGACUACAGUCCCUUGUUUGGUCUGCACCAGGAUUAGGUUUAAUGGGAUUAGGUCUGACUCGCUAGGAUUAAACCCCUCACUAGGAGUUCUAAGCGAAGCACCCCGAUCACCCUCGGACUUGUAAGACCUCCUGCGCUCCUGCGAGAGAGAACCUCGCUCAACCUCGAUCCUCAACGUGCUCCCUCCUUGCCCUGCUCCCUCAUCGUCGUCCUCCUCAUCGUCGUCCUCUUCAUCAUCAUCUCUGCGUCUUGCUCGCCCUCAACUCCAUCCUGCUCGCCCUCAUCUGGUAAACUUCGUAUCCGACAUUAUAUUUUUUUUUGCAGAUCGUGAUAUUACUGGGCUUUAUUUGAUUUAGGUGUUUUGAGUUUGAGAAAUUUUGAAUUAUAGACCUCUGCACUUGAACAAAUUAGGUUUUUGAUUUUUAGGGUCAAAUUGAGAUUAGAAUUUGGGGUUUUCACAUUUUAUGCCAUUUUGAGUACCAAAAUGAUGAUAAUCAUCACGAAAUUGCUGCUGUAAACUUCGAACGCCACUGUUACUUUUUGGGUAUGUUUCUGUCCUACUUUUACCCAGUUUGAAUAUGUAUUCAUAGUUGUCGGAUUAAAACGUAUAUGUGGUUUUUGGGAAGUGAUGAGUAAAAUGGCUAGAAUUUUAGGAAGCUUUGCGCUUCUGGUUUUCAUCGGAUAGAGGGAACACGAAGAGGGAGAGGAAAAGAGAAAAUAUUAAGUUUAAUUGUAAAUUUUAAAUUUGUUUUUUAUAGUGUUAGUGGAGGAACCCAUCUGUAGUAUUUUAAGAGAAGAUGAGAAGAUGUAAACUGCUGGACAUCCUUAGCAUUUCCCAUGUUCUUUAUUAAUUUGAGAGUGAUCCUGUGAAUAAUUUUGGCUUUUAGAUUUGUUUGAAUCUUUUUCUGAUUCAACUUGCAGGUUUAGUAUCAUUUUACAGCUUUCUACAACUCUUUGUUCUUUCUCUCUUCCUUUAUGGUUAGACAGCAUCGAAUAUCUAUCAGUAAUCAUGUCCAGACUGACUGCGUUCAUACAACUUGUGCUGUUUAACUAAUGAAUAUAAUUUCGGAACUAAUAUGCCAUGCCUAGAUGAUUGAAGUGAGUAUCUUAGAUGAAUCAUCCAUGAUUGAUGUGAGUAUCUUAGAUGAAUCUAUCCACCUUGGGAACUUGCAAGAGUUGAGUUCAAGAUGUCCGGAUGCUUUUUCGUAUAUAACCAAGGUCUAAAACACAGCCUUAACCUUAUUCUUAAAAGGAGGUUUGUUUUUUGUAUGUCACUAAGUUAACUGCAUAAAUCCAAAUAUCAAGACCAAAACAAAUCAUAGGGUUACAUGAUUUCUUCCAAAUUAAUGCCAACAUAUUGUUCAGCAACGGGGAGAUUCUGGGGCCUUGCUUGACCAGCCACAUUAGAUAAAUCUCAAUACAAUCUAUGCAUGCAUGCUUAGUUGUAACCAGAUUCUUACCAGGCCACUGAUGGCGUAAUUUCAUUUGAAGAUUACAAUAAAUGAUAUAAGAUUUAAGGAAUUCACAAAAGUCAUGUGAAAAUAAAAGGUGCUGGAUUUCCCUUUGAAGGAUAUGAAAUUACUUGAUGUUAGAAUUGAGGUUUUACAGUUAGUCAGAGGUUUACGAUCAGAUCUGUAUAAUGUGUUUUAGCAUCCUUUUGUUGUUUGGCAAGCAAUUCACGUGCGUAGUUUCCGGUGUUUGUUUCAUAUUUAGAAGCUUGUUUUGAGUUCGAUGUCUCUAUUUUUUUUGUCGAAGAGUUCGAUGUCUGUAUAUCAUGUAGAAAAGUGAUUCCUUUUUUCUUUUGGAUGUCUGACCUUGUAAACUUCCGAAUCUAUUUUUCCGUAUUCUUCUUAUUGUUCUUCUAUCCCUAUCUAAAGCUUUAUCCCCAAACUGUUUCUUCAUUUGGACAGACCUAUGUAACUGUUGGUAAUAGAUUUCUGAUUUGUCUUUAGAAUUGCAUCCUAAGUGGUGGUUACAAGUUACGACUUCCCUGAUUGACUUCGUAUGAACAAAGUCAUGCGGAGUUUAACGAUUUUUCGUAUUGUAUAAUGCUUCACGUGGAUGUAUUAGUAUACCGUCAUGCUUUGGUAUCAUUCUCUAGUGUCAUAUUCUAACUAAAAGUAAAUGAUGUGGCCAAUUGCAUACUAGACAUACCUCGGAAUUGCUGGAAUGACCUCCUUGCAGCUUACAGGGGAUGUGGAGGGAGAGUCCAUGUUAGAUACGUUGUUAGUGAUAUGCAUGCAGACUUCAUCCAGACUGAAUGUGACUGCUUAACCUUGGUUGCUUCCACCCUUCCACUUACACUUAGGUCAAUGUGAUUUCUCCCACUUACCAUCGAAUCGAAUUGAAAUUUUAAUGCUUUAUGCAUGGAUACUAGACAAAGGCAUAAACAGUGGCACUGAUGGAUUUGCUAUGCUCUUCACUUGAAAUUGGUGUGCGUGAUCUUCUAGCAAUAACUUAUGAACAAUUGGUAUUUGUGAAUAAUUUUUGAAUUGCAGAUGCUUGUCAUUUACUGAUAGAUAAUCAAAAGAAGGGUGACAUUUGAUAGUCUAUUUCCAAUUUGGAUGUCUAAUUAUCCAUCACGGAACUGUCAAGGGGCACUUGGCUGAUAACUUUCACAGUCCAAAGAUGGUCUGCGCUGAAAUGUCAGCUGCUUAGCCUCUCUCUCCAUCUGCUUCAUUAUGUUGUCCUCUUUGCCUGCAUGUUUAACGUACAAGCAGAGUACAAACAAGGGACUUUUAGAAAAGUUAACCCUUUCUUUAGCACAUUAAGGCCUUGUUUAAUUUGGUGGCAUAUUGGUUUGAUGUCCGUGUGUGUGUGUGUGUCUAUUCUGCACAUUUGUUUGAUGUCCGUGUGUGUGUGUAUUCUGCACAUUUGGUUAAACAGAGGUUUACGGUUAUCUACUUGGUUUAUAACCAUGAUAUUACAUUGUGAAUGUUUUGUACUGUGUGAUGUUGAUGCUGAAAUAUUAUGUGAUUGUUGGUUGCAGAGAAGAGGAGCAUAAACGGAAGGCUAAGGCUAAGGCUACUGGAUUUUGUAAAUUAUGGAGAUCUACUUUGGAAUGCUAUACUAUAGUUCACUGGCAUUUUGUAAAAUAUCCUGGAUGAAAGUUUAGUGAAUGAUGUUUUAAGAGUCAAUGCAAAGAUUGACUUGUCACAAGUAUCUUCUUAUGUACUUGUAUUUGUUGAAGUUGCAUGUAUUGGGCACUAUUCUUUUUCUUAUUUUGGGUGAUAGAGUUUAAAUCAAGUUACAUUUGCAAAUUAAACUCAACUAUUUAUAAAUAGUAUGUCCCAACUAUAGUAUGCCCCAAUUCUAUUAGCAGGUAAUAGAAACAAAACAAUUGUCCUCUUUUUUUAAGAUUCAUAAUAUACAUGGCAAAAAUAUGCUCCAAUUAACCCAUAUCAUGAGAUUUGUAGCAUUACUCUAUUACACAAUGGCAAAAAUUUGUAGUCCUACUCUAAGCAAACACAAAUCUGGUGAACAAUACUGUUUUUAUUAUCCUGCUUCUUAGUCCGACACUACACCAAACGCUUCACUAAGUUAGUCCAACUUAGUCUAGUCUAAGCCAGUCCAGCUUAGUCCCUGCAGCUAGUCCAGUCCGAGACAAUCCGGCGCAACAAACGCACCCUUACUGUCUUUUCUUCUGGAUCCAGAGAUAAACUUGUCUCUGUCAGAGAAUAGUGUGUUUCCUUUGUUUUUCUUCCUUUCUAAUUCAUUUUCCCUUAUUUAUACUAGCAACCGUAAAAAUUUAUAAGAAGAGAAAAUGUAAAAUGAUUUCUAUUUUUUUUUUAUGAUAUUCAAAUGAUUUUGCGUCGCUGAAUGAGACUGUUCAUAUAUUUGACUACUAGUUCUGAAUAAAUAUUUUUUUACUAAAAGUUUACAAGGUAACUGAUAUGGUUAUUUGGUUAUAAAACUUUCAGAAAAAAAAAAUAAAAGUAUUUUGUGUGUAAUUUACUAUAUUCUACGUAGCUUUUAAUUUAUUUAAGUUAAUUUGGUCAUCUCACUCUCUUUUAAUUGAUUAAGAGAAUUUCGUUGAUAGGUAGUUUAGAUUAUAAUAAAAUAAAAUAAUUACUAAAUAAAUAGUUUUUUUUUUAAUUAUAUGAUAUUAUGUACAUUAAGUGGUGGAGGGAAUAAGUACAAUGAGACAGUCAUAAUAAUUUGGUUCGAAUUCAUUUUGACGAGAAUCGAACUUAAGAUUUCUUAUUUAUGAGAUAUUUUUCAAUUUACUAGAAACACGUUGUAAUAAUACAAUUGGUCAGAAACACGUUGUAAUAAUAAUUUAUUAUGACACUUAAUGUAUCGAGUUAUGUUCAAUGUUCACAACACACUAAACAAAAUUUCCUCACUUACAAGUUAAAAAGGAAUACUAUUAAAUCAUAAUACUAAGUAACUAUUAAAUAACUAAUUUAUAUAUUUGAUUUGUAAAAGUUUAGGGGAAAGGAAAUCUAAUCCAUCAAGGUUAGGACAUAUCAUAAGUCUCCUUGAGAACUUACACAAGAAGUAUUAGUCUUUUUUUUUUGUUUUUACAUAUCGCGCAUCAAAAAUGGUUUGCAAUGGAACUCAAACAUAGACCUUACAACUCAACUAAUCCUUGUUGGAAAAUACACAUAUAUUUGAGCAAUCUUUUAAUUAAUUUAAACUAAAUUAUUGAGCCAAAACUCAAUGCAAUAAUAAGCACAUUGUUUUAAUCAAAUUAGCUAUAUAUACGAUAUAAAACGUCUAUUUAUAUCAUCGAUUCUAAGAUUUGAUAAAGAGAAUAUUUUCAAGAUGAGCAUAAACAUAGAACACGUACACACUGCUCUACGAAAUUAAUCAAGAACAAUUCCGCAAAAAAAUGGAAGAUAUGUGACUUUUAUUUAUUUCAUAGAUUCUAUGAAGGAUAAGAAAAUGUUGUCGGAGAAAAAGAAAGGUAAACGGGCGAUAAGAAGACGAAUACAACACAAUGAUACAAUUGGGGCUUCCAGAAAGUGCCCUUUUGAUAGCCACUAAGGCCAAAAACCCAUCACAAUAAUUGAAUUACCAUUGUCUUAUUAGAAAGUAAAACACAUUACUUUGGCGUUUUUUAAACUUGAAUGUGACAAAUAUGACAUAGACAAUAAGGAUGUGUGACUUAGAUAUCAGGUUGGAGGAAAAUGGACUGAAGUACAAAGGUUAAGGCAAAUAGAUAUGUGAGAGGUAUUGCACGAGUUCGAUGUCAAAUUAUUAUGACAUAUUUUAUCGCGAUUCUUAUAAGAGAUUUUUCAAUAUGCUGAAAACACAACUCGAUACAUCAAGUGUCAUCACACAAGUGAUUGGAUACUUGAAAAAAAUAAAAUUCAACCACUUGUAUGAUGAUACUUGAUGUACCACGUUGUAUUCUGGCACGCUGAAAAGUUGUCUGUCUCCUAGUUCAAAUCUACUGCUCUUUAUUUUAAAGGAAAAUUAAUGAAAAUUGCUUGAAAAAUUUGAGUUUUAACGAUAAGAACAAAAUAAAGGGUAAAGUUAAUAGUACUAGGAUUGACUUUUUAGUGUAAAAAUAUGAUUUUUCGUUAAAGUGAACAGUACCGGGAGCUUUUCGUUAAAGUUCCCUUAUUUUAAACACGUCUUUGGAUUCAUUAAAAGACAAAAAGACAUGCUAAUAUUUUGAUCCCAGUAUGCAAGAAUUAACCAUACCAUAUACUUAGAAAUACCAAGAAUCCCGCUGCAAAUCAACUGUAAGUCAAAUAUUACCAACGAAACAAAAGAAGGAAUUGCACAAUUCAUUUGGUGAUUAGGCGAACUAACAACAACAACAAAUAUAAAAAAUAACGAGUCAAUAAUUUAAACACUAAACUAAAUGAUCCUUACGAAGAUGUGGGUUGUUGAAGAGUUGGAUCAUCACUUUCCUUAACUAUAUCAAACAACAUACUCCAUAUGGCUCUUGCAAUCGUUGUUUUACCUAUACCGUCCAUACUUUAAAUUCCAAUUAUUUGAACAUCAGGUGAACCUCUAACAUCUAAGUAUUUAGUACUUAAUUCUUGCACGCGAAAAGCUAUUCCAACUGAGUGCUUGGCUUCUUUUAAGUUUGUGGUUUUCAGUAGUCUCCUAAUGUCUUCAACAAUUUUCUCGAUAAACAAUCAUUCAUGUCUCGCAGUUAAAAUUCAAAAUUAUACAAAAGUAAGAUUCAUCAUGCAACUGCAAGAUUUAUUUCAACUAAAUGCCUCAUUCAUCAUGAUUAGAUAUUUUGGUAGUGAAAAUGUUUUGAAUAAAUUAGAUUUGAUCGGGAUGAUUAGUUUAGUUCAAUUCAGCCGUGGUUCAGCCGUGUUUCCAAAAUGCAUUGUAACCAUAUUAGUUAAACUCAGUUAGAUUGCUCCUGAACUAUAAGAAGGUGUUUGUUUGCCCUCACUAAACCAUAUUAUAGCUUUUAGUCAUACAAAUAGAAAUCCAUUAGAAUUAGUAUAUGGGUUUGACAUACGAAGGAUUCGUCCUUCACGCAUUACCAAUGCUCAUCUCCUUAUUUUUGGUGGAUUAGUGAGUCUUAGAAGCUAAUACAAGACAUUGGAAUUAAAUUUAGAGGAAGAAUUAAAAUACCUGUCCGCCGUGGUUUUAAGAUUCCGGCCACACAAAUCUGCAGAAGCCUUAAGAUCCUUCUCCACUGCUCGACCUCAUCUGGAUCUUCAUCCCUUUCAUGCUAACAAAGUUAAAAGAAUAAGGUAAAGUGAGACACCUAAUAAAAGUUUAGGUGGUAAAGUGAACAAAUCAUCAUAUAGAGUAAAGUAGAAUUUUGUGUACAUAAGUGUCAUAGAAAUGCCUUUAGUAUUUUGUACAUAUAGAAAAUAAAUAGGGUUAAUUACAUCGAUGUUCCUUGAAUUUGUCAUUUAUCUUCAUUUUCGUUCUUAAACAUUUUAUUUGUUUUAUGUGAUCUUCAAACUCGCUAUCGCAUGACUUUUUUUAUAUAUCCUUUUCGUCGACUUCAUCUAUUUUUUUGUUAAGUAGAGAUGAUAAAUUUAAAAUUCAUCCCACAACCUGAAAAAUGGGAAAAUGGAGGUGGGUGUACAAAAUUCUUGCCAUGCCCUCUAUAUUUAACAGAAAAAUAAGUUUUUUUGGGUCAAAAAAUAGAUUUUGUUAGAUUAGCCACCGACAGAGUUUGAACUCACACUUUCGUACAAGAGUUUAACUUCUUUCCACCACUAUAGUAAAAGGCCACUUGCAACAAAAAAAUAAAUUGAGUUAACGGAUAUAAUUGAAUUACCACAUGAUAGAGUUUGAGAACCACAAUAAGAAAAAAAAAAAAAAAACUAUUCUAGAACGAAAGUAAAAUUCAUGACAACAAUGUUGUAUAUCUGAAAAAUAGUUCAAGCAGAUUAAGAUGUUAGCACAGAGUCAUUUAUCUAGUUUAUUGAACAAACAACGAGGACAUCAAUGCCGUUUUUUCUGUUUCGAAAUUCAUAAACAACAAAAUUGAGAUUUCUUUCACAAAAAUUACCAUAAAUUUUGACAAAAUUGACGGUUGAAUUAUAAAUCCAGCAGGCAAAUCGAAAACAAUCACAUGAGCUUAGAACACACCACAUCAACAUUUAGCAAGAAGUCUCAUAAGAGAUCCCAAUCAAGAUAAAAUCAUUCAACAGUUUAUUACAUUUCAUUCAUUUAAGAGCAUGGUUCGAAGGAUUAUUUAAUUGACGUUAUAACAUCUUUCUACAAAGAAAAAAUGAAAAUAAAUAUGGCGUUGACACUCGUGGCAAAACCCGACAUGGAUUUAAGUACGUUUCAACCUGACCUUCUGUAAAAGCUGUAGGCCACAGCCACUGUUGCCACUGCUCCAACCACGGCAGCAGCUGCGAGAACGUCGCUUUGCUCCCAGUUCCCUAUCAAACUUGAUAGCUUCUGUAAGCCAUCCUUCCUAGCACACGACUCUGUGGUUUCUUUCGGCUUUUUAUCCUCACUUCCACCGUCCUCCUCCAAACUUACUUCUUUGCAGUAUGUAAAUCCAUCACUAUUAGCACUCUGGCAAUAGCCUGAAAAGUUCUCAUUAUUCUCAAUUUGAUUGCCCUUUUCUUGGUGAAUCUGAUUGCCAUUUUCUUGUGGCUUAUCCUCGAUUUUCUUAUUUUCUUCUCCAUUUGGAAGCUCCCGGUCAUUAAUUUCUUCAGCUUCAUCAGAAGAUGCUCCCAUUUGGCCCCUGUAAGGAAUGAAAUUGAAUUUCGUGUUCAACUAUUUAAAGAUUCAACUCUAAGUUUCGUCAAUAGCAAUUGAGUAAGAAUAGGUAUGAUCAAGCUAAUAAACAAAUCACAACAACAAUACAAAUCAGAAACAUAUACAGGGUAAUGCAGUUAUAUCUAGUUCUUUUGUGCUUUCUCCACAAAAGUUCCUCCAUGUUAAUGCAACUCUAUAUCAAUUAAUCUAUCAUACAAGACAAGACAUAAUCAACAAUUGAAAAAUAUGACAACACUAGCUUUCGUCCAGUGAAAUUUUCAUCCAAAGACAGUAGGCAAAACCAAAAAUGUACAAACCUCCAACGUCGUUCUAUAAUCUCUCCCUUCCCAAUAUGCUCAUCAAGCAAUUCCGGCACAUAACCAGGACUGACGAAUGGAUACCUGCAAUUAAUAAUACAUAAUAUUCAAACUCCUUCAUCGAUCCCAAUACGAUAAAUUUUAAAUUGUUAUGAUCCGGAUAUUACCAAUGGUAUGUCAUGCUUCCAUCUGGGUCGGUCGUGAAUAUUCCAGCAUAGUUGUGGCCUUCAAGGUGAAAGCAAGCAGUAACAAAUACCUGAUUCGUCAAUCCUCGCAGCUCAAACUCUUCUUUCAACUUAUCAAUGCGAACACGUGCGCUAUCACGAUUCCAUUCCUCUUGACUCAUAUGUGUGUAUACAAAUAUAAGGGCAAAUACAUGGGGGCCAGUCAACGGCUCUUGCACUCUCGAAGCCCAUGGUCUAUCAUUCACAAGGACAUCAUCAACAAAGCUGUCCACAUCCGACUCUUUCAAGCCCCUUUGAUCAACAAACAAAAACAACCCCAGGAUCAUAAAAAGGGAUUUACAAGAAACAAUAACCUAACACUCUUUACUUUCUUGUAAGGCAAGGAAUUAGUGUAAGGCAAUGAAUUAGUCGUAAACUGAGUCAUUAAAUUCAAUUUCGAUCUAAUUUCAGAAGCUAACACGUAUUUAAUUAUCUAUUUAGUUUAGUACAUUCAGCACAAUCUCGUAAUCAAAAGAGAAGUCGAAACAGAAAUUACUUUAGUCUAAACUAGGAAAAUAAAUUGCACUGCUCAUGUUGGUUAUUGAAUGGGCCCUCGAUUAUGAAUUAAUUACGGUUUGCCAUUGUGUGUGUUAGUGUGGGCCGUGCUUAACAGCUGGGUUGGGCUACCGCAGUUGGGCCCAGGGUGCAGCUGUCACGAGUUUUGGGCUGGGUUUCACUGAAAGAUCAAAUGACUCUUUUGCCCCCUUCAUUUUUAAUCUAACGGCCACCAUUUGGGGCGUUUUUGUUCUGCAAUUCGGUGUGGUGCUAGUUAAGGAGAUCGCGUGUGGUGCUCGUCAAGGAGAUCGCGCAGAGAGGCAGAGAGGCAGAGGGUGACAUCGAGUUUAGGGUUUGCACAGUGAGAGACAAAAGUGUUGAUGGGAAGGGUUGGGGGUGGACAGAGGGUUGAUGGGAAGGGUAGGAGCUAGAGAGGGGGGGGUGGGGGUGAGGGUGGGUUCUGUCCACUGACGUUGGUUGCAGAGAGAGAGAAAGAUGGGAACGGGUACAGAGAGAAAGAGUGAGUCUUUAUUGAGUUUCAGAACUUUCCUCUCUGAUUUUCUGAUUAUUUUCUCAAUUGGGCUUAUUUCUUACCAAUUUCCUUUGAGAUUUAUGCAUGUGUGUUUGUUAAUGCUCUGUUUCUUCGUUUUUACAGGAAAUGGAAUUGCUCUCUUCCUCUUCUUGGCAACCAUGUAUGCCCUCUCUCUCUCUCAAAUUCUUUCAUUAGGGGUCUAAGGUGAUGCCUUUUUGCCUAAAAUAUCAUUUUGUUAAAUGGCUUAUGAUAUUUUGAUUCUCUGCACAUUCUGCGUAGUUCAAAAAGCAAAAUCUCUCUCUCUCUCUCUCUCUCUCUCUCUCUCUCUCUUUUCCUUUUUGUGGCUAAAGAUCAUGUCUUUUGUGUCAUAAAUUUGUUUUUGUUACAUGGGGUUCUGUAUAUCUUUUGGAUAAUCAAAAAGCUUGAAUGUUUACUAGGUUUCUUUAAAUUUCUUUGAAUUCUACCUUGUGAUUUUGGUUUAGAAAUGUGUAGAAUUACAUUUAUGAGGAUCAUAAGGAAGAGAAGCACAUAUCAGUUCUUAGGCAUUCCAUACGUAAUGACUAUGCUUAACUGCCUACUCCCACUUGGAAUGCUGCUUUGCCUCUCUCUCUCUCUCUCUCUCCCCCCCUUCUGCUGUGUAUUGCCUAAUUAGUUAUUUACAUUUGUUUAUUUGUCUCUGUAAAGCUUUCAUGCUUGGAUUUUAAAUGUAUGAUUCAAUUAGAAACCUUUAUAAUGUUGAUGUUAUAGAACAUUCAACAGAUAUAUAUUCAACAUUAGGUAGCUCUGGCAAAAUCAUAUAGACUAAGAUUUGGUAAUAUAUGGAGGUGAGAGUGAAUCUGCCUUGCUUGCCAUGAUAUAGGCUUGCAAUGAUGGCUUUCUCUUUGUAGUACUACAUUCUACUCUUACAUGCUAACAUCAGAAAGCAGACUAAGAUAGAUCCAAACCCAAUUUUAUUAAUUAAAGUUAACGGAAAGAAAAUGAUUUAUGCAUGCCUUUGUUUAUUUGUCACUUGAUUUUGGUUUAGGUUGACCAUAGCUAAAACAUCCAAGACUUGCCUAACACCUAAUUUGACGAAGACCGUAUCCUUUUUAGCCUUUAGGUGUGUGUUUGCUAGCUAGAUGGGUGGUGGGUGAGUCUUGGAUGUUAUCUUGGAUGUCUUGAUUAUUUUGGUGGGCGAGUCUUGGAUGUUUUGGUUCUGUCUUCUUCAACUCUUAUAUCUUCCCUUUUUCUGAAUUUUCUUUAUUUCUUAUCCUUUAAACUUUGUAUUUUUUUUUAAAUAUAUAUAUUUUUUGGUGAUGCAGAUAGAUGAACAUGUUCAAGGGGAAAUCAUGAACCACAGAUCACUGCAUCUGAAUAUUGUUUGAUUCCAAGAGGUCAGUGAUCGUAAACUUUUUCAUUUUGUAUUUUAAGAAUGAAUUUGGCAAGUUGUGUUUGAAUUUUGUAUAAGUAUCUGCUGAGGGUGGGUGGAUGAAGACAGAACACACUAAAUUUGGCCUCUGGUGUGCUUAAACUGGUACGGGGGAUGGUUAGAACUUUGAGCGCGGAAUGCAGUAGGACUAAAAGGAAAUGCCCUACCCACCGGGGCAAUCCACCACUUGCAGAAUUGUUGUCAAAAUAACUCUGCUAAAAAUAUGAUCUAUACUUCCUGCACUUUGUUUUACUGUGAAGUUGAAAUAGUCUUUAGAGUGGCUUAUUUGUGAUAAUCGAUAAAUAGGUUUGUGUUUAAGACUUGAGAGUAGUGCGGUGUCUUUCUUGCUGGUUCUGCUCACACCACCUCAUCUAGCCAUUGUGAUGGAGUACACGGCUGGGUGAGAACUCUUCGAGAGAAUAUGCAGUGCUAGCAGAUUUAGUGAGGAUGAGAUAAAGUAGUUUCAAAUGCAGAGAAAAUUUCAUUGGAAAUGAUUUUAGUGUAGAGUCUCAAAUAUGGGAUCUCUGAAUGUCCCCUGAAAUGGAAUCCAUCUCGAUUUUCGUCUAGUUUCAGAUAGGGAAAGUUAGGUCUGAAGCAUUUUUACAUAAAUAGUCAGUCAUAAUAUAACUAAAACUUACAUACUUUUUCAAUUUAAUUGUUGUUUUGCAUCAGGCAAGGUUUUUCAUCCAGCAGUUGAUAUCAAGAGUUAGUUGCUGUCAUUUGAUGGUAUGUAAAUCCUAUAAAUUCGGAUUAAAAUUAAAGCAACUAUAGAACAAAAACCUCAAGAAAUCAACGCGAGUUUACCUGUAUUUGAUCAUUUGUGGGAAAAUCAACACAUCGCCGUCGGAAAACUCAGUUCCUUCGCGUCCUUCAAUUACUGUCAACAACGUCUAUCAAAAACCAAGAAAAAAGUGAGUAAUGGAGUCGGCUCAACACCAGAACUCAGUAGCUCCAGGAAAUAAGAAACGGUAAGAAAAAGCAAUCAGAAACCCCGACGAAUUGAGCUGGAAAAUGGACCUUAAAGGUGAUGUCGUUCUUGCGAGCUUUGAGAGCAGAUGCGAAGAUUUUAGGGAGUGGAUCGGACUCAUAGCCUUUGAUGCGCCAUGGCCAGGCCUCGAGGGUCUUGUAGCAGAGGAAAACGUGGCGAUAGUAUGACAGUGUAUCGUCAUCAGUGUCUUCAUCAGACUCAUAUGACACAGUAGUGUCUUCAUCAGACUCAUAUGACAUAGUCUCAUAGUUGUCCCAAUUAGUACGAUCAUCGGACAAAUCCCAUUUUACAAUAUCCACUCCAGUUUUGUUCACCUUAAUAAUUGUAUUAUCUAGUCCAUAAAAUUGUGCUUGUACAAGAACCAUGUCGCCGCCUUUCAAAUUGAGCUUCUUGUUUUGAAAGAUUUCCCAACCAAAGAUAAUAUUCAUGGGAAGCAGUUACGGUGGCCUCAAUUGGCCAGAUACGAAAAUUAGUUUGCUGGGUACGAUUAACAACAUCAAUGGUUAGAAACCCACUAGAGUCGGAGUUGUCCGAAGAAUAAACGAUGCCCAAAGCCAACCCUCCUAUAUAAUCAAUACAUGGCGGCACUUUAAAUUUGACAGUUUCAUCCUCUCUCGCGACAUAGGCUAACCGCUUCGGAAUAUCAUUUCUAGAGAGAAAAAUUCCACCAAAUGCAUUUUUCUACAACAUGGGGUGCAAAGUUAGUAAAAGCAACAAUACAAAAAGCAGAGAGAGAGAGAGAGAGAGAGAGAGAGAGAGAGAGAGAGAGAGAGAGAGAGAGAGAGAGAGAGAGUACCAUACCGUUUGGAGGUUCUCCUUAAAAGUAUCAGUGAGACUGGUACACCCUUCCAUAUAAAUUGAAUCCAUGUAGUCCAAUGAGUUCUCCAAGUUUGGAAUAUCUUUGAGUUUGCGGCAGUCUUUCAGUUGCAAGUGUUUCAUUUUCGACAUCUCUGAAAAGUCGGACACUAUUUCCAGUGCUGUGCAGUAAUUCGCUUCCAAUACACAUAAACUGUUGGGCAAAUCUGGGAUUGCCUGAAGGUUUGUGCAAUGAUUUAGACAUAAACUCCAAAGCUGAGAAAGACCACUGAGAAUGGGUAGCCUAUUAAAACCAUUCCCACCUAGAUCUAAAAUUUUUAAAGAAGAUAGACUCCCAAUUAUUUCGAGAAGGGCACCAUCUGUUAUAUUGCAGUCGCUGAGAUGUAAUUCCUCAAUCAUCUUCAGUUGUGCUAAAAAAUGGUAACCCCCACACAAACCCUUACAGUCUCUGAUGGUCAAGUACCGGAGAUGUGGGAGUUUUGAAAAGUUUGGUAAUUCAGUCAGGUUACGGCAGUGUACAAGAACGAGAAACUUCAACUUCUUAGGUAACUGUUACUCAAAAAGAGAAAACAAUAAUAAAAAUCCAAAUAAAUAAAAGAGAGAAUGCAUGACGAUGACUGAUGUUGAUAUUUACAAGGACAUUGAUAGUUAUAUUGUACCAAGUCUGAAUCCUCCCAAACUCGUACGAUCUUGCUGGACCACAGUUCCAUAUAAACUAGGUUUCGUUGAUCAAAAUCUGCUGGUAUGGCUUCAAGAGGAAAUCCAAUCCAAUACAAUAAUCUUAACUCCUUGGAAAGAUGUUUGUAGCUUCCAGUCAGCUUUACAUUUCCCAGCCAGAGAAUUCUCAGUCGCCACAUCUUGUUAAAUGCUUCCGUACUGAAGCUUUGCUCGUCAUCAGAAUGUUCUGGCAAAAAUAAUUCUAGUCCUUCAACUGCUUCUGUUCCCUGUUAGAGAUAUAAAAAAAAAACAAGAAAAGGAUAAUAUUCACACGAAGCAGAGUUGUGAAUCGGAUGAAUGAACUACUAAAAAGGUAGGGCAUACAACAUAAUUAUUUAUUUUCUCUUUCAAAUUACCCAGUGGAUGAAAGCCUUUUCUUUUCUUCUUUUUCUUCGAAUAUACUAUGUAUGUCAUACACUAUAUAUAUACAGGAUAUGCUUAUAUACUUCUCUUUUUUCAUAUGUACUUAACAUCUCUUUUAUUGCAAAAGUACUUACAGAUUCGUUCCAUAGCACACUUUUUGCAUCUUCCAUAUGCCACAAUCGACUACGUUUUCCCAGUUCCACAGGAGAUUCUGCCCGCACAAUUUCUCUUCCCAUAUCUCGAAUCAAAUCAUGCAUCCUCAAUGCUCCCCCUUUAUCAAUAUAUAAGAGACAUCGAUCACAAAGUGUGGUAAUUUCUGCUUCUACAGAAAAAUGACUACAACCAUCCAAUAUUGUCGUGACCACACUUAUAGACACUCCAAUAAAGAAAUUAGAUAUGUCAAGGAACACACCCUUCACAUGAUCGUCACGUAACCCAUCGUAGCUUAAUUUAAGUGUUUGAUGAAUUUUUCCAUCUGGAAUAUUUCUUAAUUUAUUCAAUGUACUUUUCCAUAUGCUUUUACUCUUUUUCGUAGCCAACAAACGGCCAACAACUUCAAGAGCUAGGGGCAAUCCUCCACAAUAAUCAACAACAUCUCUUGCGAGUUCAAUAUAUUCUUCAUCGGGACAAUCAUUUCCAAAGGCAUGCCAACUAAGAAGCUUAAGAGCUUCAUCAUCAGUCAUUCCUUGUGCUUUAUACCUUUUAUCCACCUUUUGUAUAUUCAGCACUUGUUCAUCUCUUGUCGUUAUAAUAAUCCUACUCCCUGGACCAAACGAGUCAUGUGCUAUUGCCAAUUUAUCUAAUUGGUCCGCAUCAUCUAUGUCAUCAACCACGACAAGUACCUUCAUGCUUCCAAGUCUUUUCUCUAUCUCCUUGGUUCCUUCAGCAACAUUGCUUACCUUAAUGUCAGGCCGUUUCAAAAUAUCUCCAAGAAGUUGUUCUUGCAGACUAACCAUAUUUUUCUUGUUACUCCUCACCUCUUCAAGGUAACAUUGACUACUGAAACUAUGACCAUAUUUGCUACAAAUGGCUUUGGCAAGUGUUGUUUUACCUAUACCGCCUGUACCCCAAAUUCCAAUUAUUUGAACAUCAGGUGAACCUCCAACGUCUAAGUAUUCAGUGCUGAAUUCUUGCACGCGAAAAGCUAUUCCAACUGAGUGCUUGGCUUUUAAGUCUACGGGUUUCAAUAUUCCCUUGAUGUCCCCAGUAAUUUUCUCGAUAAACACUCCUUCACGCCUACAAGUAGAAAUUCCAAAUUACGAGAGCCAUACUAAAUGCCUUAAUCAUCAUGCCUUUAUAUUUACAUAUUGAAACAGAUUGGAAUAAAUUGUGAUUUACUGAGCUCAAUUCAACCACGUAUUUAAUCUUCGAUUAUAACGUGAAUAACCAAUUGGACUACUACACAAUUGUAGCUUUCAGUUAUAUAAUUAAGAAUCCAUUACAAUUGGUAUUUUAAUUUGAUAAAGUGUGGAGCAUUUGUCCUUCACACACCUAUAAAAAACAAUCACUUCCUUAAUUUUGACGGAAAUUCUUAUGCAAAUGCUCUACAACAAUAACAACAACAAAGCCUUUUCCCACUAAGUGGGGUCGAUAAAUAAAUGAUGCAAAUGCUCUACCUUUUAUAAAAUUCAUAUGCCAAUUCUAAUAAAUUUUUAUGCAGUGACCAAAAUUACAGUUCUAUCAUAGUUCACGGACCAACGAUCCAAUUUUUCUUAUAACUUAUAAAAUCAGAUUCAAUGCCUUAAUUAUAAUAUCUUAAUUUUGGUUGAUUAGUGAAAUAUGGCGAUAUGAAAUUUGAAGUAAACAAAAAAGUAUACCCGUCGGCCGUGGUUUUGAGGUUCCAGCCGGCCAAAUCUGCAGAAGCCUUAAGAUCCUCUCUCCACUGCUUGACCACAUUUGGAUCUUCAUCCUUUUCAUGCUUCUGAAAUGCUUCCCCAAAACUAUCUUUCUGUUUCCUGACUUGAGAAGGGUCAACGUCGUAGAAUAUUGGACACACUAUUUUCCCCUCUUGAUUUUUUAGGCACCUCAUGAUCUUCGACAGCUCCCUCAGGCACCAUCGGGACUCGGCGUACCUCUUUGAGAAGACGAUGACGGCGAUUCUCGACCCUUCGAUUUCUUGGUCAAGUUCCCUCUGUAUGUUUUCCCCCCUUCUGAGCUGUGUGUCUAUAAAUGUGUUAAUUCCGGCAUUGCGUAAUGCAAUGAAGAGGUGGUCUGUGAAGGUAUUGCGGGUGUCUUCACCUCUAAAGCUCAGGAACACCUCGUACUUCCAGCGGUUUGAGCUCCGCGAGGAAGACGAAGAGGCGGCAGCGGCGGCUCCAUGGUCGGAGCUGCUGGCAUCCAUUGCAGCCUGUAGAAGUGCAGCUUGACUUUCAAAUAACCAAAGUCAAUCUUUCCCAAGCUUCCCGAGUGUAGGCGACCCUAUUAAAUUUUUUGCAUAGGGCAAUGAUGUCACUGCCGUGUCGAUAACGCGUGAGUGGUAUUCCUCCCACAAUUUAAUUUGUAUAAAUGUUACCAUCAAAUUUUAAAAAAAUAAAUCGUAUAACUGCUUUACGAUGCAAUUUCCUUUCUUUUGUAGUUUUAAGGGUGGUGCGCAGGUAGGUUCAACUGCGGCUGCUGGUGGACGUCACGACAGCGUUAUAAGAAUCUUCGGUGAAAACAGGUCCACAAACACCACAUCUAUUAUCUCGACACCAUGUGCACAUACAUUACAUGGGAGCCAGUCAACGCCUCUUGCACUCCGGAAGCCCAUGGUUUGUGAUUCACAAGGACAUCAUCAACAAAGCUGUCCACAUCCGACUCUUUCAAGCCCCUUUGAUUGAGAAACAAAAACAACCACAGAAUCACAAAGUUAAAAAUCCCCAAAUACUUAUCGCUAACACGCCCAUUUAGGGCUGGUUUGGUAUUGCUGUGCUUUGAAAAAAAGCUGCUGUAAGAAUAAGCGGCUGUGCUGUGAGAAUAAGCGGCUGUGAAAUAAAACCAGUAGAGUGUUUGGUAAACUUUUUUGUGAAAGUGCUUUUGGAAAAAAAAAGCAGGAUGAUAGUGUGUCUUUUUAUUAAAAGAGCACCGUAGCUCUGUGUGCUUUGAAAAAACUGGUUUUUUUUUCAAAGCAGCAAAUAGCAGCUUCAGCUUUUCCUUUGAUUUUCAGCUUAUUCUCACAGCAGCUUCCAAAAUAAGCUCUUUUUUUUUUUUCAGUUUACCAAACACAAAAAUGACCAUCAGUUUUUUUUCACAGUGGCUUUUUUUAAAAUCACCUCAAUCCCAAACGGGGCCUUAGUAAUCACAAAUACUUAUCGAAAACUAGACAACAACCUUCACUAAGUUUUUGUGCUGCACUUUCGACAUCAUUGCCACUUCCCUCGCAAACCGCUCUUCUCUCUUGGCAAUCUGCUCUGGGGUUUCUCCUCUAUGAACAUUUUUUACAGCAACUUUUUGACUCUUAUAUCUAGAACAAACAAACGCAACCACCAAACAGAUUAAGAACACAACAGAACAGAACAUCAUCGUUGUAACUCGACACGAAAAACACAUAUUCGGCAUCAUAAACACCAUAAUUGCAGAACACCAAAUCAAGUUUUGAUCUUUGAUUAGUUCUGCAAAAACCCAACUCAAAUUUGCAUUUAUAUUUAACAAGAUCUAAGGCAUCAUAUUAAAUUGCUAAACUUGAGAGACCAGAAAUUCAGAAUUUAAGACAAACAAAAGAUGUUUUGGAUCGAUCAGCCACUUGGCAUCCAAAUCGAAAUCCCCAACUGAAUAAACCCCAUUACCAGAUCCCAUAAUUUUCUCUCUCUAAAAUUCAACAAGAACAAAACAAGAACAACAUACACUGACUAAUUAACCAAAACAAAGGGUACCCUUUAUUUGUAGGACCACAUUUGAAGUAAAGAUGAAAGCUUUGGUCUGGAUAAAAAUGGAAAAAAUUAAUAAAAUCAGCAGACUUCGUAUGAUUGGAGAGGGAGAAAGAUGAAGACUUUCUAUAAUAAAAGGACUUGCUUGGUACUGUAGGUUUCAGAAAACAGACCCAUCCCCGGAAUCACGGUUGAGGAUCCUACAAAGAAUUUAGCACAAGAUUGUUUGCCCUCCCACUUCCGGUGCCCUCUCAUGUCCUUCUGUUUUGUGUGGUCACGAUUAAGCCAUAUCAAUAUUUUAUAUUGUUUUUUUUAUAGAGAUAAUAAGAUAAAAAUAAAUAGUAAUAUAAAAUAUUGAUGUAGCUUAACCGUGACCAUACAAACAGAAGGGUACAUGAGGGCACUAGAAGUGAGAGGGCAGACAAUCCUUGUCCAAAAAUAAAAUCCCAGAGGCACCCACCAACAACCCUACAAUAUAAAAAGGAGGUGGAUUUUCUGCUCUCUCAUUUCCAUACUCUUCCCAUUCCCUUCUGUUUGUGUUAUCACGGUUAGGCCACGUUAACAUUUUAUAUUCAUAUUAUUUUUUAUUUUAUUAUUUUUAUAAAAAAAAUAAUAUAAAAUGUUGAUGUGACUUAAUCGUGACCACACAUCACAGAGGAGAUGAGGAAAGUAUGAAAAUAUGAGGCAAGACAAUCCGCCUCCAUAUAAAAAUGGUCACUGAUGAGAGCUCUAUCAGUGGGAGUGGAUUAGAUUUAUUAUUGGGAAUUGGGGAGAGAGAGGAAUCAGUAGAAGAGCAAGCAGAUAGAGUUGAGCAAGGCAGAGGAGGAUGAAACUGAGAGGAGGUGGAGAUUUGGGAACUUGGUGGCGGCGAUGGUGGCGGUGGGCGGGUGGGAAGUGAGUUCAGUUGAGAUUAAUUUAUUGGCCUUCUCCGCGAGUGGAAUGUUAUUGUCUUGUCUUCUAGAUCCAAAGAUAAACUAGUCUCUGUCAGAGAAUAGUGUGUUUCCUUUGUUUUUCUUCCUUUCUACCUCAUUUUCCCUUAUUUAUACUAGCAAGAAUAAAAAUUUAUAAUAAGAGAAAAUGUAAAUUGAUUUCUAAAUUUUUUUUCUUUAUGAUAUUCAAAUGAUUUUGCCUUGCUGAAUGAGACUGUUCAUAUCUUUGACUACUAGUUCUGAAUAAAUAUUUCUUUAACUAAAAGUUUACAAGGCAACUGAAAUGAUUACUUAGUUAUAAGACUUUGGAAAAAAAAUUACAAGUAUUUUGUGUGCAAUUUACUAUAUUAUGCAUAACUUUUAAUAUAUUAAUUUAUUUAAGUUAAUUUGGUCUUUUAACUUUUAUUUGGUUGAUUAAAAGAGUUUUGUUGAUAGGUAGUUUAGAUUAUAAUAAAAUAAAAUAAUUACUAAAUAAAUAGUUUUUUUAAUAAUAUGAUAUUAUGUACAUUAAGUGGUGGAGGGAGUGAGUUAAGCUUCACAAUGAGAUAGUCAUAAUAAUUUGUUCAAAUUUAUCUUAAUGAUAAUCGAACUUAAGACUUCUUAUGUAUGAGAGAUUUUUCAAUUUACUAGAAACACAUUGUAAAAAUACAAUUGGUUGGAAACUUAAAAAAUACAAUUUCAAACUAUUUUAUUAUGACACUUGGUGUAUCAAGUCAUGUUUAGUGUUCACACCACACUGAAAAUUUUCUCCUCACUUACAAGUCAAAAGGAAUACUAUUAAAUCGUAAUAUAAGUGACUACUAAAUAACUAAUUUAUAUAUUUGAUUUUUAAAAGUUUAGGGGAAAGGAAAGCUAAUCCAUCAAGGCCAAGGCAUAUAACAAGUAUCCUCGAGAACUUACACAAGGGGUCUUAGUCCUUUUUUUGUUUUUACAGAUCUUGCACAAAAAAUGGUUGCUUACAAUGGAACUCAAACAUAGACCUUGCAACUCAACCAAUCCUCAGUGGAAAAUACACAUGUAUUUGAGCAAUCUUUUAAUUAAUUUAAACUAAAUUAUCGAGUCAAAACUCCAUGCAAUAAACAUAUUGUUUUAAUUAAAUUAUUCAUAUACAAUAAUAAAAUGUCUAUUUAUAUCAUAGAUUCUAAGAUUUGAUAAAGAGAAUAUUUCCAAGAUGUGCAUAGACAUAAAACACAUACACACUACUCUAACUAAAUUAAUCAAGAACAAUUCUGCAAGAAAAUGGAAGAUAUGUGACUUUUAUUUAUUUCCUAGAUUCUAAGAAGGAUAAGAAAAUGUUGUCGGAGAAAAAGAAAGGUAAACGGGCGAUAAGAAGACGAAUACAACACAAUGAUACAAUUGGGGCUUCGAGAAAGUGCCCUUUUGGUAUCCACUAAGGCCAAAAACCCAUCACAAUAAUUGAAUUACCAAUGUCUUAUUAGAAAGUAAAACACAUUAUUUUGGCGAUUUUGAAACUUGAAUGACAAAUAUGACAUAGACAAUAAGGAUGUGUGACUCAGAUACCAGGUUGGAGGAAAAUGGACUGAAGUACAAAGGUUAAGGCAAGGAGAUAUGUGAGAGGUAUUACAUGAGUUAAUUAUCAAAUUAUUAUGACAUAUUUUAUCGCGUUUUUUAUGAGAGAUUUUUUAGUGUGCUGAAAACACAGCUCGAUACAUCAAGUGUCAUCACAUAACUGAUUGGAUACUUGAAAAAAAUAAAAUUCAACUUGUAUGAUGACACUUGAUUUAUCGGGUUGUAUUCCGGCACACUAAAAAGUUGUCAUCUCCUAGUUCAGAUAUACUGCUCUUUAUUUUAAACACAUCUUUGUACUCAUUAAAAGACAAAAAGACAAGCAAAUAUUUUGGUCCCAGUAUGCAAGAACCAUACAAUAUACUUAGAAAUAUCAAGCAUCCCGUUGGAAAUCAACUGUAAGGCAAAUAUUAUCAACGAAACAAAAGAAGGAAUUGCACAAUUCAUUUGGUGAUUAGGCGAACUAACAACAAAAAAAAUAUAAAAAAUAACGAGUCAAUAAUUUAAACACUGAACUAAAUGAUCCUUACGAAGAUGUGGGUUGUUGAAGAGUUAGAUCAUCACUUUCCUUAACUACACCAAACAACAUACUCCAAAUGGCUUUUGCAAUCAUUGUUUUACCUAUACCGCCCAUACUUCAAAUUCCAAUUAUUUGAACAUCAGGUGAACCUCCAACAUCCAAGUAUUUAGUACUGAAUUCUUGCACGCAAAAAGUUGUUCCAACUGAGUGCUUGGUUUCUUUUAAGUCUGUAGUUUUCAGUAGUCUCCUAAUGUCUCCAACAAUUUUCUCGAUAAACAAUCAUUGAUGUCUCGCGGUUAAAAUUCAAAAUUAUACAAAAGUAAGAUUCAUCAUGCAACUGCAAGAUUUAUAUCAACUAAAGGCUUUUGAUUCAAAAUGGUCCCUGAGAUUUGCAUCAUCCAUAAGUUUGGUCCCUGAGAUUUAAAAUUAAUAGAAGUAGUCCCUGCGAUUGUCCACCAUCCAUGAUUUUAGUCCUUCCGCUAAAGUUUUUGGCCAGAAGUUGGGCAAUUUUCAAAGCUUCGUAACUCAAUCGUUUUUUAACCAAAUUCGACCCAUAAUAUAUCAAAAUGAAGAUAGGAAAGUGUAGAAUAAGAUUAUAUCUAUUUGGAAGCCCAAUCAAUGGAAAACUGGAAAACUUGCCGGAAACUCGCCGAAAACUGGGUAAAUUUUAAACAUUCAUAACUUCUUCAAUACUCAACGAAAUCAAGUGAUUCAAAAACAAAAACCAUACUUCUCAACAAGAAGAAGAGAAUGGUACCUUUUUAAAUGGCUAACUCGCCUUGGUUUGGCCGGAAAACGGCUCGAAAGUGGCUGUUGAAAAACGAGUUAGCAACUUUCGAGCCGUUUUCCGGCCAAACCAAGGCUUUUUAGCCGUUAAAAAAGGUACCAUUCUCUUCUUCUCGUCGAGAAGUAUGAUUUUUGUUUUUGAAUCACUUAAUUUUAUUGAAGACGUUAUGAACGUUUAAAGUUUAUCCAGUUUCCGGCGAGUUUUCCAGUUUUUCCUCGGACCAGUCAAUUUUGAGGCUAUUUUCCGACCAUCGUCGGCAACCAUUGGGCUUCCAAAUAGAUAUAAUCUUAUUCUAUACUUUCCUAUUUUCAUUUUGAUAUAUUACGGGUCGAAUUUGGUUAAGAAACGAUUGAGUUACGAAGCUUUGAAAAUUGCCCAAACUUCCGGCCAAAAGCUUCAACGGAAGGACCAAAAUCAUGGAUGGUGGACAAUCUUAGGGACAACUUCUAUUGAUUUUAAACCUCAGGGACCAAACUUAUGGAUGAUGCAAAUCUUAGGGACCAUUUUGAAUAAAAAACCUCAACUAAAUGCCUCAUUCAUCAUGAUUAGAUAUUUUGGUAGCGAAAACGUUUUGAAUAAGUUAGAUUUGAUCGAGAUGACUAGUUAAGUUCAAUUUAGCCGUGUUUCUGAAAUGCAUUGUAACCGUAUUAGUUAAGCUCAGUUAGAUUGCUCAUGAACUAUAAGAAGGCGUUUGUUUGCCCUCACUAAACCGUAUUAUAGCUUUUAGUCAUACAAUUAGAAAUCCAUUAGAAUUAGUAUAUGGGUUUGACAUACGGAGGAUUCGUCCUUCACGCAUUACCAAAAGCUCCAAAGUUUUUUCCUAUAAACGUAUAAAAUCAAAGUCUGAUCAUAAUCUCCUUAUUUUUGGUGAAUUAGUGAGUCUUAGAAGCUAAUACAAGACAUUGGAAUUAAAUUUAGAGGAAAAAUUAAAAUACCUGUCCGCUGUGGUUUUAAGAUUCCGGCCACACAAAUCUGCAGAAGCCUUAAGAUCCUUCUCCACUGCUCGACCUCAUCUGGAUCUUCAUCCCUUUCAUGCUAACAAAGUUAAAAGAAUAAGGUAAAGUGAGACACCUAAUAAAAGUUUAGGUGGUAAAGUGAACAAAUGAGCAUAUAGAGUGAAGUAAAAUUUUGUCUACAUAAGUGUCAUAGAAAUGCCUUUAAUAUUUUUUACAUAUAGAAAAUAAAUAGGGUUAAUUACAUCGAUGUUCCCUGAAUUUGUCAUUUAUCUUCAUUUUCAUUCUUAAACAUUUUAUUUGUUUUAUAUGAUCUUCAAGCUCGCUAUUGCAUGACUUUUUUUUUUAUAUCCUUUUCGUCAACUUCAUCUAUUUUUCUAUUAAGUAGAGAUGAUAAAUUUAAAAUUCAUCCCACAACCUAAAAAAUGGGAAAAAGGAGGUGGAUGUACAAAAUUCUUGCUAUGCCCUCUAUAUUUAACAGAAAAAUAAAAAUAAAUUGGUCAAAAAUAGAUUUUGUUAGAUUAGUCACUAACGGGGUUCAAACUCACACCGUCAUGCAAGAUCUUAACUCAUUUCCACCACUAUAGUAAAGGGCCACUUGCAACCAAAAAAUAAAUUGAAUUAAUGGAUAUAAUUGAAUCACCACAUGAGAGAGUUUGAGAACCACAAUAAGAAAAAAAAAAAAGAAAAACUAUUCUAGAACGAAAGUAAAAUUCUUGACAACAAUGUUGUAUAUUUGAAAAAUAGUUCAAGCAGAUUAAGAUGUUAGCACAGAGUCAUUUAUCUCGUUUAUUGAACAAACAACGAGGACAUCAAUGCCGUUUUUUCUCUUUUGAAAUUCCUAAACAACAAAAUUGAGAUUUCUUUCACAAAAAUUACCAUAAAUUUUGACAAAAUUGACGGUCGAAUUAUAAAUCCAGCAGGCAAAUCGAAAACAAUCACAGGAGCUUAGAACACACCACAUCAACAUUUAGCAAGCAGUCUCAUAGGAAAUCCCAAUCAAGAUAAAACUAUUCAACAAUUUAUUACAUUUCGUUCAUAUAAGAGCAUGGUUAGGAGGAUUAUUUAAUUGACGUUAUAACAUCUUUCUACAAAGAAAAAAAUGAAAAAGAAAAUAGGGCCUCGGCACCCGUGGCAAAACCCAACAUGGAUUAGAGUACGUUUCAGCCUGACCUUCUGUAAAAGCUAUAGGCCACAGCCACUGUUGCCACUGCUCCAACCACGGCAGCAGCUGCGAGAACAUCGCUUUGCUCCCAGUUCCCAAUCAAGCUUGACAGCUUCCGUAAGGCAUCCUUUGUGGCACACGACUCUGUGGUUUCUUUCGACUUCAUUUCCUCACUUCCACCGUUCUCCUCCAAACUUACUUCUUUGCAGCAUGUAAAUCCAUCACUAUUAGCACCCUGGCAACAGCUUGAAAAGUUCUCAUUAUUCUCAAUAUGAUUGCCCUUUUCUUGGUGAAUCUGAUUGCUAUUUUCAUGUGGCUUCUCCUUGAUUUUCUUAUUUUCUUCUCCAUUUGGAAGUUCCCGGUCAUUAAUUUGUUCAGCUUCAUCAGAAAAUGCUCCCAUUUGGCCUCUGUAAGGAAUGAAAUUGAAUUUCGUGUUCAGCUAUUUAAAGAUUCAACUCUUAAGUUUCUUCAAUGCAGUUACAUCCAAUUUAGAAACAUAUACAGAGUAAUACUGUUGUAUCCAAUUCUUUUGUGCUUUCUCCACAGAAGUUCCUCGAUGUUAUUGUAACUCUAUAUCAAUAAAUCUAUCAUACAAGACUAGACAUAACCAUCAAUUGAAAAAUAUGACAACACAAGCUUCCGUCCAGUGAAAUUUUCAUCCAAAGACAAUAGGCAAAACCGAAAAUCUACAAACCUCCAAAGUCGUUCUAUAAUCUCUCCCUUCCCAAUAUGCUCAUCAAGCAAUUCCGGCACAUCAUCAGGAGUGACGUAGCCAUACCUGCAAUUAAUAAUACAUAAUAUUCAAAUUUCAUCGAUCCCAAUACGACAAAAUUUUAGAUUGUUAUGAUCCGAAUAUUACCAAUGGCCUGUUAUGCUUCCAUCUGAACCUGGGCUGUAGAUAAUCAAGUUUCCAUUGUGGCCUCCAGUGUGAAAGCAAGCAGCAACAAAUAUCUGAUUCGUCAAUCCUCGUAGCUCAGCCUCCUCUUUGAACUUAUUAAUGAGAACACAUGCACUAUCACGAUUCCAUUCCUCUCGACUACCAUGUGCACAUACAAAUACAUAGGAGCCAGUCAACGACUCUUGCACUCCGGAAGCCCAUGGUUUGUGAUUCACAAGGACAUCAUCAACAAAGCUGCCCACAUCCGACUCUUUCAAGCCCCUUUGACAACAAACAAAAACAACCUCAUAAUCACAAAAAGGGAUUUACAGGCAAGGAAUUAGUCGUAAACUGAGCCAUUAAAUUCAAAGGAAAACUAAUGAAAAGAGCUUGAAAACUUUGAGUUUUAACGAUAAGGACAAAAUAAAGGGUAAAGUGAAUAGUACCAGGAUUGACUUUUUAGUGCAAAAAUGUGGUUUUUCGUUAAAGUGAAAAGUACCAAGAGCUUUUCGUUAAGGUUCCCUAAAUUCAAUUUCUACAACUAAUUUCAGAAGCUAACACACAUCUAAUCAUCUAUUUAGGUCAGUGGAUUCAUGUUGGUUAUGGAAUGGGCCCUCCAUUAUGAAUUAAUUACGGUUUGCCAUUGUGUGUGUUAGUGUGGGCCGUGCUUAACAGCUGGGUUGGGCUGCUGCAUUUGGGCCCAGGGUGCAGCUCUCACGGGUUUUGGGCUGGGUUUCACCGAAAUAUCAAAUGACUCUUUUGCCCCCUUCAGUCCUAAUCCGACGGCCACCAUUUGCGGCGUUUGUGGUCUGCAAUUCGGUGGGGGGGGGAGGUGGGGUUAGCUUGCUUUCAAUCUCGUCAAGGAGUUCGUGCAGAGAGGCAGGGGAUGACAUCAAGUUUAGGGUGUGCACAGUGAGAGAGAAGAGGGUAGGAGCUAGAGAGAGGGGGGUGGGUUCUGUCCGCGGACGUAGGUUGCAGAGAGACAGAGAUGGGGAAAAGUAUGGGGGUGGGGUUGAGGGGAACGUGUACACAGAGAGAGUGAGGAAGGGACAUAGGAGCUAGAGGUAUGGGAAAGGAGUCGAGGAGUUGAGGAGUCGAGGGGUUGAGGGGUUGAGGGGUUGAUUUGUCAGGGGCUGCUGCAUCCUUCCUAUUCAAAAGGUAACAAAUAAUUUUCAAUUCAUUCUUUACCCUUGAAUGUGGAUUUACUGUUCGGGGUUGAGGAGGACAUCAUAUAUCUUCCCUUUUUCUGAAUUUUAGUUCUGUCUUCUUCGACUCUUAUAUCUUCCCUUUUUCUGAAUUUUCUUUAUUUCUCAUCCUUUAAACUUUGUAUUUUUUUUAAAUAUUUAUUUUUUUGGUGAUGCAGAUAGAUGAACAUGUUCAAAGGGGAAUCAUGAACCACAGAUCACUGCAUCCGAAUAUAGUUUGAUUCAAAGAGGUCAGUGAUCAUAAACUAUUUUCAUUUUGUAUUUUAAGAAUGAAUUUGGCAAGUUUUGUUUGAAUUUUGUAUAAGUAUCUGCUGAGGGUGGGUGGAUGAAGACAGAACAAACUAAAUUUGGCCUCUGGUGUGCUUAAACUGGUACGGGGGAGGGUUAGAACUUUGAGCCCAUGAUGCAGUAGGACUAGAGAAAUGCGGCAAUCCACCACUUGCAGAAUUAUUGUCAAAAUAACUCUGCUAAAAAUAUGAGCUAUGCUUCCUGCACUUUGUUUUUACUGUGAAGUGGAAAUAGUCUUUAGCGUGGCUUAUUUGUGAUAAUUGAUAAAGAGGUUAGUGUUUAAGACUUGAGAGUAGUGCGGUGUCUUUCUCGCUGGUUCUGAUGAUGGAGUACACGGCUGGGUGAGAACUCUUCGAGGGAAUAUGAGGAUGAGAUAAAGUAGUUUCAAAUACAGGGAAAAUUUCAUUGGAAAUGAUUUUAGUUUAGUUUCAGCUAGGGAAAGUUAGGUCUGAAGCAUUUUUACAUAAACAGUCGGUCAUAAUAUAACUAAAACUUACAUACUUUUUCGAUUUAAUUGUUGUUUUGCAUCAGGCAAAGUUUUUCUUCCAGCAGUUGAUAUCAGGAGUUAGUUGCUGUCAUUUGAUGGUAUGUAAUGUGGCACUUUUCUGCUAAUGCGUUGUAUACUGUUAUUUAUUUCUCUUUUGAUAUUGGAAGUGUUGGUUGUAGUAAGGAAAUAAUUCGUUUCAAUAGUAUACGACUUCGGUUUAAUAGUAUAUGACUCAGUUUUUGAAUAGCACUCAGGUGGUAUUACGACUUAGUUUUCUAAAUGCCAAUAACAGCUCUAGAUUUUGUCUCAAGUCAAGUAUUCUUACUAAUGUAGCAUUUUGUUGGCACAUCAGUAUGUUUUGAUUGUUUCUCUGCUUGAAUAGAGAAUUGUUAACGUCCGGGUGGGAACGUGGGUCAGCUCAUGUUUUAGUCUCUCCGUCGUAAGCAAUUUUACAUGGUACUCUUCAAUGUAGCUAUAGGUAAGACAACACUCUCAGUAUUCCAUAAUCAAACCACCAUUUGAACUUUUUUUCAUCCACCAAGUUAAGCUUUUAUGUGCCAUCUUGAAUAGUUAUAAGUUAUUGCUUCAGAUUACUCCAGUGCGACAUUGUUGUUCUCUUCCUUACCUCUCAAGCUUGCUUAAUAUACCAAUUCUUAUUACUGUUGUAUUGUUAAGAAAUACUCAAUUGCGGAUUCAGUUCAUCGUUUUGAAUCGGAUAAAAAUUAACCACUCAGUGGUUAAUUAUCUAAAUGGGCGGUAGGUCUCGGGUUCGAGACUUGUGAGCAGUCUCUCCAUAAAUGGGGGUAAGGCUAGCCGACAUUCACCUCUCCCAGACCCUGCGUAAAGCGGGAGCCUUGUGCACUGGGUACGACCUUUUUAGUGGUUAAUUAUCUAAAUCCUAUAAAUUCGGAUAAAAAUUAAAGCAACUACAGAACAAAAACCUCAAGAAAUCAACGCAAAUUUACCUGUAUUUGAUCAUUUUUGGGCAAAUCAACACAUCGCCGUCGCAAAACUCAGUUCCUUCGCAUCCUUCAAUUACUGUCAACGUCGUCUAUCAAAUACCAAGAAAAAAUGUGAGUAAUGGAGUCAACUCAGCUCAACACCAGAACUCAGUAGCUCCAGGAAAUAAGAAUGGUAAGAAAAAGCAAUCAGAAACGUCGACGAAUUGAGCUGGAAAAUGGACCUUAAUGGUGAAGUCGUUCUCGCGAGCUUUGAGAGCGGAUGCGAAGAACUUAGGGAGUGGAUCGGACUCAGGGCCUUCGAUGCGCCACGGCCAGGCCUCCAGGGUCUUGUAGCAAAGGAAAACGUGGUGAUAGCUCAACAGUGUAUCGUCGUCAGUGUCUUCAUCAGACUCAUAUGACUUGGUCUUAUAGUUGUCCCAAAUAGUAAGAGCAUCAGACAAAUCCCAUUUUACAAUAUCCACUCCUGUUUUGUUCAGCUUAAUUAUAUUAUCUCCUCCAUAAAAUCUUGCUUUUACAAGAACUAUGUCGCCACCUUUCAAAUUGAGCUUCUUGUUUGAAAGAUUUCCCAACCAAAGAUAAUAUUCAUGGGAAGCAGUUAUGGCGGCCUUAAUUGUCCAGAUGCUAAAAUGAGUUCGUUGGGUACGAUUAACAACAUCAAUGCAUAGAUCCCCAGUAGAGUUGGAGUUGUCUGAAGAAUAAAUGAUGCCCAAAGCCAACCCUCCUAUAUAAUCAAUACUUGGCGGCACUUCAAAUUUGACAGUUUUAUCCUCUCCCGCGACAUAGGCUAACCAGUUAGGAAUAUCAUUUCCAGAGAGAAAAAUUCCACCAAAUGCAUUUUUCUACAACAUGGGGUGCAAAGUCAGUAUAAGCAACAAUACAAAAAGCAGAGAGAGAGAGAGAGAGUACCAUACCGUUCGGAGGUUCUCCUUAAAAGUAUCAGUGAGACUGGUACACCCUUCCAUUUUAAUGUAAAUUAUCGAACCCAUGUAGUCCAACGAGUUCUUAAAUUUUGGAAUAUCUUGAGUUUGCGGCAGUCUUUCAGUAACAAUAUCCUCAUUUUCGACAUCUCUGAAAUGUCGGACAUUAUUUCCAGUGCAGUGCAGUAAUUCGCUUGCAGUAAAAGCAAACUGUUCGGCAAAUCUGGGAUUUCCUGAAGGUUUGUGCAAUGAUCGAGAAUUAAUACCAGAAGCUGAGAAAGGCCACUGAGAAUGGGUAGCCUAUUAAAACCAUUCCCACCUAGACCUAAAAAUGUUAAAGAAGAUAGACUCCCAAUUAUUUCGAGAACGGCACCAUCUGUUAUAUUGCAGUCACUGAGAUCUAAUACGUCAAUCAUCUUCAGUUGUGCUAAAAAAUGGUAACCCCCACACAAACCCUUACAGCCACUGAGCUCCAAUUUAUUGAGAUGUGGGAGUUUUGAAAAGUCUGGUAAUUCAGUCAGGUGAUGACAGUCGUUAAGAAGGAGAUACUUCAACUUCUUAGGCAACUGUUACUCAAAAAGAGAAAACAAUAAUAAAAAUUCAAAUAAAUAAAAGAGAGAAUGCAUGAUGAUGACUGAUGUUGAUAUUUACAAGGACAUUGAUAAUUAUAUCGUACCAGGUCCGAAUCCUCCCAAACUCGUACGAUCUUGCUGUUGCUCAGGUUUAAAUAAACUAGGUUUCGUUGAUCAAAAUCUGCUGGUAUGGCUUCAAGAGGAAAUCCAAUCCAAUCCAACGCUCUUAACUCCUUGGAAAGAUGUUUGUAGCUUCCAGUCAGCUUUACAUUAGCCAGGUCGAGAAAUUUCAGACGCCACAUCUUCUUAAACGCUUUCGUACUGAAGCUUUGCUCGUCAUCAGAAUGUUCUGGCAAAAAUAAGUGUAGUCCUUCAACUGCUUCUGUUCCCUGUUAGAGAUCCAAAAUAAAAAAGGAUAAUAUUCACACGAAGCAUAGCUGUGAAUUGGAUGAAUGAACUACUAGAAAGGUAGGGCAUACAACAUAAUUAUGUAUUCUCUCUUUCAAUUUACAAUGGAUGAAAGCCUUUUUUCUUAAAAUACACUAUGUACAACAUACAUUAUAUAUAUGCGGAUAUGCGUAUAUACUUCUCUUUAUUUACAUGUACUUAACAUAACAUCUUUUCAUUGCAAAAGUACUUACAGAUUCGUUCCUUAGCACGCUUUUUGCAUCUUCACUAUGCCACAAAUGACUACGUUUUCCCAAUUUCACAGGAGAUUCUGCCCGCACAAUUUCUCUUCCCAUAUCUCGAAUCAAAUCAUGCAUCCUCAAUCUUUUCCUUUCAUCAAUAUAUAGGAGACAUCGAUCGCAGAGUGUGGUAAUUUCUGCUUCUACAGAAAAACGACUACAACCAUCCAAUACUGGAGUGGCCACACUUAUAUGCACUCCAAUAAAGAAAUUAGAUAUGUCUAGGAACACACCCUUCUCAUGAUCAUCACGUAGUCCAUCGUAGCUUAAUUUAAGCGUUUCAUGAAUUUUUCCGUCUGGAAUAUUUCUCAAUUUAUCCAAUGUACUUUCCCAUAUGGUUUUACUCUUUUUCUUAGCCAACAAACGACCAACAACUUUCAGAGCUAGGGGCAAUCCUCCACAAUAAUCAACAAUAUCUCUUGCCAAUUCAAUAUAUUCUUUAUCGGGAUAAUCAUUUCCAAAGGCAUGCCAACUAAGGAGCUCAAAAGCUUCUUUCUCUGUCAUUGCUUGUGCCUUAUAUUUUUUAUCCACCUUUUGUAUAUUCAGCACAUGUUCAUCUCUUGUUGUUAUAAUAAUUCUACUCCCUGGACCAAACGAUUCAUGUUCUAUUGCCAAUUCAUCUAAUUGGUCUGCAUCAUCUAUGUCAUCAACCACGACAAGUACCUUCAUGCUUCCAAGUCUUUUCUUGAUCUCUUUGGUCCCUUCGGCAACACUGCUUACCUUAAUGUCAGGCUGUUUUAAAAUAUCUCGAAGAAGUUGUUCUUGCAAACUAACCAUCGCUUUCUUUUUACUCCUCACAUCUUCAAGGUAACAUUGACGACUAAAACUAUGCUGAUAAUUGCUACAAACGGCUCUGGCAAGCAUUGUUUUACCUAUACCGCCCAUACCACAAAUUCCAAUUAUUCGAACAUCAGGUGAACCUCCAACGUCUAAGUAUUUAGUACAAAAUUCUUGCAAGCGAAAAGCCAUUCCAACUAAGUGCUUGGCUUCUUUAAAGUCUGUGGUUUUCAGUAGUCCUUUGACGUCCCCAACAAUUUUCUCGAUAAACACCCCUUCACACCUACGAGUAGAAAUUCCAAAUUACGAGAGCCAUACUAAAUGCCUUAUUCAUAAUGACUAGAUAUUUACAUAUUGAAACAUAUUUGAAUAAACUGGAUUAAUUGAGCUCAAUUCAACCACGUAUCCAAUCUUUGAUUAUAAUGUGAAUACAUUAGAUCAUUGGUGAUUUGACUAUUAUGCAAUUGUAGCUUUCAGUAAUAUAAUUAAGAAUCCAUUACAAUUGGUAUUUUAAAUUGAUAAAGUGUGGAGCAUUUGUCCUUCACACACCCAUAAAAAACAAAGCACGUACCCUGCGCUUCACUUCCUUAAUUUCCACGGAAAUUAUUAUGCAAAUGCUCUACCUUUUAUAAAAUUCAUAUACCAAUUGUAAUAAAUUUUUAUGUAGGGACCAAAAUUACAGUUCUAUUAUAGUUCAGAGAUCAACGAUCCAAUUUUUCUUAUGACAUAUAAAAUCAGAUUCAAUGCCUUAAUUAUAAUAUCUUAAUUUUGGUUGAUUAGUGAAAUAUGGUGAUAUGAAAUUUGAAGUAAACAAAAAAGUAUACCCGUCGGCCGUGGUUUUGAGGUUCCAGCCGGCCAAAUCUGCAGAAGCCUUAAGAUCCUCUCUCCACUGCUUGACCUCAUUUGGAUCUUCAUCCUUUUCAUGCUUCUGAAAUGCUUCCCCAAAACUAUCUUUCUGUUUCCUGACUUGAGAAGGGUCAACGUCGUAGAAUAUUGGACACACUAUCUUCCCCUCUUGAUCUUUUAGGCACCUCAUGAUCUUCGACAGCUCCCUCAGGCACCACCGGGACUCCGCGUACCUCUUCGAGAAGACGAUGACAGCGAUCCUCGACCCUUCGAUUUCUUGGUCAAGUUCACUCUGUAUGUCUUCCCCCCUUCUGAGCUGUUUGUCUAUAAACGUGUUAAUUCCGGCAUUGCGUAACGCAAUGAAGAGGUGGUCUGUGAAGGUGUUGCGGGUAUCUUCGCCUCUAAAGCUCAGGAACACCUCGUACUUCCAGCGGUUUGAGCUCUGCGAGGAAGACGAAGAGGCGGCAGAGCCAGCUCCUUGGGCGGAGCUGCUGGUAUCCAUUGCAGACCGUAGAAGUGCAGCUUGGCUUUCAAAUAACCAAAGUCAAGUCUUUACCCAGUGUCGGUGGCCGUUUUAGAUAUUUUGCAUGGGCCAAUAAUGUCACUGCUGUGUCGAUAACGCGCUCCCACAGUUUAAUUUGUAUAAAUGCUUUACGAUGCAAUUUCCUUUCUUUUGUAGUCUUUUGAGAAUCUGCCGCCCAACUUUGACCGGUUGACGAUCUUAUUGUAUUAUAAGAUGUGCAUUUUGAUUAUCAUCAUUUAAUGUGAUGUAUGUUCAUCAAAUUAUUUAUUAUUAUUAGAUGAGUUUAAAUUUUAAGAUUUGUACUUAUGCACUACCCACCCGAAUCUCGAAAUUCAAACACAUUUAACGAUGAUAAAUAGAAUGAUAAACAUAUAUCAUACUAAAUAAUGGUGAGCAAAAAUGCUCCCGUAUUUUAAGGGUGGUGCGCAGCACGUUCCAACUGUUGGAGUCAGUAGUAUCAACGGGAAGAGACCUCAUCUCCAACAACCCAUCUUAACAAAAAAUGCAGAAAAUUAAACUCCAACAGGCUAACUAAAUGACUCUUUAUUUUGUGAACGGUAACUAACUAAAUUUAACCAGGAGACAUUCGUAGCUUACGUCAAAAGGAUCAAUGUUGUAAUAUAAGUAAUUUACUUGCUCAAAAUAAGGAUCAAUUUAGCUACGAAAGCAGGGAGAUGAUCGAGCUCACGAUAGCAGAUUUUUUUAUCCUAUCGUCUUGCAAGGGAAACAAGCUACCAAUUGCUUGCAUCAUCUGAAGCCAUCCAACUAAUGGUUGAAUUUCUCAGUCAAGACUAUGCUCAAGGCAUCAGUGUGCAGGCCAGACUCGACAGCAUAGCCACACUACACAACCUCUCGCGCUGCCAUCAGAUUAUUCCGUCUCUGGUCUCUUCGGGCGUAGUGUUUUCAAUGCUAAAACUGCGGCAUGGAAGCUGUUUCUUUUUGAGACUGUUCCAAUUAUGGUUCGAGAAACAAGCAGUCAAGGAAUAAGUUGAUGGGGUGAGUACAACGGCAUUGAGACUGUUCCAAUUAUGCAGGAAGUUGAUGCAGAAGGAGAAAAAGUUGACGGGGUAAGUACAACGGCAUUGAGACUGGUAGAGGAGAAGCUUGCAAAGAUCAGCAGUGGACGAUAAUCUCGACCAAACUCUGAGCUUUGCCAAGCAGAUUAAGAUGUUGGAACAGCCGUUCAUCUUGUUUAUUGAACAAACGAGGAGGACAACAAUGCAGAAUCAACGCUUGAAUUCAAAGUCCCAACAGGCAAAUCGAAAAUAAUCACAAGAGCUUAGAAAAUACCACACCAACAUUUGGCAAGCAGUCUCACAACAAAUCCCACUAUCAAGAUAAAACCAUUCAACGGUGUGUUGGAACAACAGAUUUCAGUUGUGUAAGCAAUCAACAUAAAGGAACAGUGAAUACUUUUGUAACUAUAUAUGGAUUAGCUUCGGGAAUUCAUCAAACCCUCCGAAAAAGAACGUAUAGUGUAGCUACCAUAUUCUCCUUUCAUAUAAGAGCUUAUUUAAUUGACGUUAUAACACCUUUCUACAAAGAAAAAAAAGAAGAAAAUAGGGCCUCUACACCCAUGGCAAAACCCGACAUGGAUUAGAGUACGUUUCAGCCUGACCUUCUGUAAAAGCUAUAGGCCACAGCCACUGUUGCCACAGCUCCAACCACGGCAGCAGCUGCGAGAACAUCGCUUUGCUCCCAGUUCCCGAUCAAGCUUGACAGCUUCCCUAAGGCAUCCUUCCUGGCACACGACUCUCUGGUUUCUUUCACCUUCUUUUCCUCACUUCCAUUGUUCUGCUCUAAACUUACUUCUUUGCAGCAUGUAAAUCCAUUACUAUUAGCACCCUGGCAACAGCCUGAAAAGUUCUCAUUAUUCUGAAUCUGAUUGCCGUUUUCUUAGGGCUUCUCCUCCAUUUUCUUACUUUCUCCUCCAUUUGGAAGCUUCUGGUCAUUAAUUUUUUCAGCUUCAUCCGAAGAUGCUCCCAUUUGGCCCCUGUAAGGAAUGAAAUUGAAUUUCGAGUUCAGCCAUUUAAAGAUUCAACUCUAUGUUUCAUCAAUAGCAAUCGAGUAAGGACAUGUAUGAUCAAGCUUAAUAAACAAUUUGACAACAGUACCUACUUGACCCCGUCCCCCCUUCCCCAAAACCACCUUUGGUUUGGUUCUAUAAAAAAAAAAAAAUUGUUUGAUUUGGUUCACACGAGUUGUUUGAUUUGGUUCCUCAAUGUUAAUGUAACUCCAUAUCAAUAAUCUAUCUUCCAACACUAUAAGUAAUCAGCAAUAGGAAAAUAUGACAACAGAAGCUUCAGUUCCAGUGAACUUUUCAUCAGCAGACGGUUGGCAAAACCGAAAACACACAAUCCUCCAAAGUCGUUCUAUGAUCUCUCCCUUCCCAAUAUGCUGAUCAAGCAAUUCCGGCACAUCCUUAGGAGUGACGUAGCCAUACCUGCAAUUAUUAAUACCAUAAUAUUCAAAUUCCUUCAUCUAUCCCAAUACAAUAAAUUUUACAUUGUUAUGAUCCGGAUAUUACCAAUGGCCUGUUAUGCUUCCAUCUGAACCUGGGCUGUAGACAAUCAAGUUUCCAGCACACUUGUGGUCUCCAAUGUGAGAGCAAGCAGUAACAAAUACCUGAUUUGUCAAUCCUCGCAGCUCAGCCUCCUCUUUGAACUUAUCAAUGAGAAUAGGUCCACAAACUCCACAUUUUUAUCUCGACUUCCAUGUAGACCUGUAAACGGGUUAGGUUUAUUGGGUUUGGGUCGGGUUGAACCCGACCCGUUAAGUUAACGGGUCACCCGAACCCGACCCGUUAAGCUAACGGGUCACCCGAACCCGACCCGUUAAGCUAACGGGUCACCCGUUUCACCCGUUAACACCCGUUAACAAUUAUUAUUAUUUUUUUUUUGCAUAAAGUUUAUUUUUUGUUAUUAAAACUUUACUAAAAUUACUAAAAUAUCCUCAACUAACGGGUGCUAACGGGUGUUAACGGGUCUAACGGGUUGACCCAAAGUGACCCGUUAUUUAACGGGUGUUAACGGGUUCACCCGUUAGCGACCCGACCCGUUAAGCAUCCACCCAAAUACAAAUAUUAACGGGUUGGGUCGGGUUAACGGGUUGGGUCCAAAAUGCCAGGCCUACUUCCAUGUGCACAUACAAAUACAUGGGAGCCAGUCAACGCCUCUUGCACUACGGAAGCCCAUGGUUUGUCGUUCACAAGGACAUCAAUUGGUUAGAAACCAAGCCAUGUUACCGGCACACAGCCUCAGAGUAAACAAGGAAAAUUUCAAGGUAUCAACACUAAAACUAGUCCAAAACACACUAAAUUAGCUCAAUUCGAGACUUCGUAAAUUGAAAUGGGAAAAUCAUAAACUCUAUCUCUAGUUAGCAAUCAUCGAAAUCUCCUAGUCAAAUAAAGCAAAUCUGAAGAAUCAAAACACCACUCACUGGUUAAUUAUCUAAAUCCUAUAAAUUUCGGUUAAAAUUAAGCAACUACAGAACAAAAACAUCUUUACCUGUAUUUGAUCAUUUGUGGGAAAAUCAACACUUCGCCGUCGGAAAACUCAGUUCCUUCGCGUCCUUUAAUUACUGUCGGGUCUAUCAAAAACCAAGAAAAAAGUGAGUAAUGGAGUCAACUCAGCUCAACACCAGAACUCAGUAGCUCCAGUAAAUAAGAAACGGCAAGAAAAGCGAAACGCCGACGAGUUGAACUGCAAAACGGACCUUAACGGCGAUGUCGUUCUUGCGAGCUUUGAGAGCGGAGGCGAAGAACUUAGGGAGCAGAACGGACUCAGAGCCUUCGACGCACGACGGCCAGGCCUCGGGGGUCUUGUAGCAGAGUAAGACGUGGCGGUCGUACGCGUUGACAGUGCCAGCAAGUUUUUCCUUGCACAUCUCCAAUCUCUUGAAACCGAACCUCUCGUCUUCGGUGGCUGGAACGGCGACGUCGAGGUCAUCGGAGACCAUUGCUAGGGCUCGGAGAGGAGGGAGGGGUUUACCAGGGGUUGAAGUUGAAAACGAUGAGAGGGAAAAGAUGAGAGAGAAAGAGCGUUGUUGUUUGGUUGUUGUGUUGAUAUAACGAGGAGGCUGAGAAGGGAACCGCGGUGUCGGUGUGGGUGUAGGUGCGUGCGCAACACAUACGGCGCACGAUGGGGUUUCUGAAGAUCGGAGUCGGGACGCGUGGGAUUGGGCACGUGGGGUUUGAUUUGUAGUUCAUGUAUAUACCUCUUUUUUGAGAAUAAAGAUUUUUUUUGGAUCCUCUUUGUAGGGAUUUUAUAGUUUGUGUAUCGUAUUCAUUCAUUGUAAAUCAGACGGUUAGAAAUUACUUUAAAUCUAUAAAUUUAAAAUUAAACACAAAUAAUAUUUAAAGAAAAUUGACUGCAUAAUUAAUACGAUAAACGAACACAAUUAAAAAAUUCUCAGAAUCCUCGUAAAAAGAAUCCGAACUCUUUUGAUGUCUCCGAUCAUAUCGGACGGAAGCUAAAAGAUAAUUCGUGCACGCAAAAAUGGAAGGUCCUACAAACGGAGGAGGACCACUCUCUAUUCCCGGGAAGUGGGGUACAAGCGCGUAUGUAUAUAUCACCCAAUGGGGCACCAAUAUGUUGUACUAGCAGGGAACUGAAUGAGGUGAAAUUGGAAAAUCCCUUAAACUUGGUGAUGUGGCGACCUGUGAUUCGGCCUUCACAUUCUGUCAAGAAACAGGCCGGUCACUUUGUUGAUUAAGUCAAGCAGUCAGCCUUAGCCCGACGUGGACAAGUUCUGGAAGUCUUGUUUCGCUCAUUUAUUUAUUUCUUGUCAAUGACGUGUAAUAUUUGAUUUCAUUUGUUUUUUUGGUGGACUAAUAUUAAAUAUACUUUUGUCAAUGAAUUAAUGAUACAAUUUAGAACGGUGAUAUUCACACAUUUUGCACAUAUUCUUCAAUUUGAUAGUUGAAAAUUGAGAAGAAUGUGUGUGAAAUGUAAAAAGAACGUGUAAAUAGCAUAUCCCUACAAUUUAAUAUAAAGGAAUGUAGAUUUCAAACAACGAUUGUUUUUUAAGGUAACGCUUUUGUUCUUGAUUUUUCAUGUUUGAGCUUGAAAUGAACCGCUUUCAUAAUCUAUUGUAUUACUUUGUGUUCAGUUGAAUAAAGUAUCUUUUUCCAACGAAAAAUAAACGGAAUGGCAUUUAAAUAAGGAGUGUAGAGAGUGUAUGCGUAAGGAAAGAGGCAUGCAAAAUUCAUUUCAGCUCAUACAUCUUUGUGUUGCUUAUGUUGGUCUUUCAAUUAAUUAUGUUGAGAGUGAGGAAAUAAAUUGUACUUAGCAGUGUCAAAUUACAACCCUAAUCGAAAAACGUCUUGUUCGCCGGACCUACUCGACUGCUCCGAACAAUGUAAGGCCGAAAGGCGGACGAUACAUAAUCGGGUUUUUUCGAAGUAGGCAUUCAUAAACAUCAAGGAAGCAUACUUGGUAGAAAAUGAAAGAUCCUCAACUUCAUUCCUCAAAUUUUCAAUGCAAUUGAAUUUCCUCAAAUCUAAGGAACUACCAGAUUGUAAUGCUUGCAAUGGAAGGGAACCAUUGUGUACAUGUAGCAUCCACAUGAAUCAGUUGGAGGCUUGUUGGAGUUUUUAACGGAAUGACCAAAAUGAUGGAUGGUAGACAAUCUCAAGGACCACUUUUGAUUAUUUACCCUUCUAUUGAAUUUGCAAAGGGGAAGAAGUUUUAAAUCCAUUACAAAAGAGAUAAUUGCAGCAUGAUUGAUAACAUGCUCAUCACGUGAUUGGGUUCCUAAAAUUCCCAGGUUGUUGCAGGCUUCCUCGUCCUUGUAGAAUAUUUUGUUCAACAAUUCCAGAGAAAAACAAUUAUUCGAUUCGUUUCAGGUAACAGAUGAGUAGCUUAAUUCAAAACUUGUUUUCGUUCUAGAAGUUUAGAUUAUACAAGUGAAUGGUCAAUAUGAUAUACUCGAUAAAAUUACAUGUCUCCUUUUAAAUUUAAAGUUCAUUAUUUUGAAGUGAUUUUUGGAAUUUAAUUUUUCAAUUUAUUUGAUUGAGAGGUGAGGAAUUGGAGAUAAUUAAUUAUGUUUGGGGGUUAACUGGUAUCCUCUAGAAUAUGUUUUUUUUUUUAAUGAGGAAUCCUCUAGAAAAUGUUUAACUUUAUUUUAAAUUUUCAUGUGGUUUUGGCUUCAAUGAGGCAAUGGCAUAUGUGUAAAUAAACAAAAGUUUAAUUCUAACCUAAGGGGGCUGACGGAAGUCAGGGGCAUGGAUGGAAAAGGAGUUUCUUACUUUGCACGUGGGGCUUUAUUGUUUGGGUUAUUCCUCCUAGCUUUUGUCAUUUUCAUUAAAAUUUAAAUCUUUUUAUUAAGUAAAAUUAUUAAAUAGUUUUUUUAUUAAGAAAUUGUUAUUAGGAUUCUAAAAAUCUCAUUUAGCAUUCUAAAUUUUUUAUAAUUAGAAAAAAAAAUACACUUAUAAGAAGUGUAAAUGAGAUUUUUGAAAUGCUAAUAACAAUUCGAUUUUAUUAAUAAAAAGUUUGAAGAAGGCCUUUUCAUUAAAAUUCCCCCAAAAAAAAAGGAGUAUGCUUCUUCCUAAAACGCUUCUUUAGGCCAUAUAAACAAACAGUGAGACGUAAAAACAUGCCCCAACCUCAAAUAUUUCUCUCACAAACAAGGAGAGAAUUUUCAGUGUGACCGGUACACAAGGUGGUACACCACGUAUCACUAAACAAAUAAUAGGAUAUGUGUGCUAAAAAGUUAAUAACUUAAAAAAUAAAAUUUCCCACUAUUCUUAUUAAAACACGUGAUGUAUCACUUAUAUUCCCGUCACAACUAAAAAUUUCCCUACAAACAGAGAGACGUAAAAACAUGCUGCCAUGGGCUUCAGAGAGGAAAAAAGAUCAGGAAAAAAAAUGACCUGAUUGGGUAAGACUUGUACACAAGUUUGUAGUAAAUGUCUACGUACCUUCCUUACAAGUCUGUCUCUUUACUGUGCUUUCCUUCAAUUCACUGUUGUUUCUUCAUCGUCAAAGCUUUCAAUAUUAAGAUCAAACCUUAAUGUUUUGCAGACCUCAUCAGAUGAGUGAUCUCUUAACUCUGUACCAUUGUGGGUGUCGUCAUCAAACUCAUAUGGUAUAGUCUAAUAGUCUGCCUCAUCAGUAUCAUCAUCUCACUCUAAUGGUACACGCUCAUAGUUCACAUUUUUUAUUUCUGAAGGUAAACAAUGUUCCCAUCCUACAAAAUUCACUCCUGUUUUCUUCACCUUACGAACCUUGUCCCCCCUUUUCAGAUUGAGCUUCCUGUUUGAAAGACUUCCCAGCCAAAGAUAAUCUUCAUGGGAAUCAGUUAUGGUGGCAUCCAUUCACCAGAUGGAAAAAUAAGUUCUCUGGGUAACCACAUCGAGGCAUAGAGACCCACUACACUGGGAUGGUCCGAAGAAUAAACGAUGCACACAGCCAACCCUCCUAUAUAAUCAAAACUUGGCGGCACUUCAAAUUUGACAUUUUCUUCCUCUCUCACGACAUAGGUUAACGAUUAAGGAAUAACAUUUCAAGAGCGACAAAUUUCACCAAAUACAUCCCCCACCUUCCAUUUCUACAACACGGCGUGCAAAGUUUGUAUAAGCAAACAAUACGAGAAGGGCAGAGCGAGAGAGAGAGAGAGAGAGAGAGAGAGAGAGAGAGAGAGAGAGAGAGAGAGUAUCAUGCAACAAAACAUAAAAACUCAUCUGGGAGAAUUAUGACUCUUGUGAAUUGGUAGUAUUAUCGAUGCAUAUGUUAUAUGAUCUUCAAACUCGCUAUAGCGUGACUUUUUUUUUUUGUAUCUUUUUCAUCAACUUCAUUUGUUUUUUUUUUUUUUCAAGUAGAGCUGAUAAACUUAAAAUUUAUCCACAACCUAAAAAAUGGAAGAAAAAAAAAGAGGUGGAUGUACAAAAUCCUUGCUAUGCCCUCUAUAUUCAACAGAACAAUAAAUUGAGUUAACGGAUAUAAUUGAAGUACCAUAUUUGAUUGUGUUUGAGAACCAUAAUAAGGAAAAAAAAAAACUACUCUAGAAUGAAGGUAAAACUCGUGACAACAAUGGUGUACAUCUAAAAAAUAGUUCAAGCAGAUUAAGAUGUUAGCGCAUAGACAAAUAUCUCGUUUAUUGAACAAACGAUGAGGAUAACAAUGCCGUUUUCUCUCUUUCGAAAUUCAUAAACAACAAAAUUGAGAUUUGUUACACAAAAAUUACCAUAAAUUUUGACAGAAUUGGCGGUUGAAAUAUAAGUCCAGCAUCCAAAUCGAAAACAAUCAUAGGAGCUUAGAAAAUACCACAUCAACCUUUAGCAAGUAGUCUCAUAAGAAAUCCCAAUCAAGAUAAAACCAUUCAACAGUUUAUUAGACUUCUCCUUUCAUAUAAGAGCAUGGUUCGGAGGAUAAUUUAAUUGACCUCAUAACAUCUUUCUACAAAGAAAAAAUGAAAAAGAAAAUAGGGCCUCGACACCUGUGGCAAAACCCGACAUGGAUUAGAGUACUUUUCUGCCUAACCUUCUAUAAAAGCAAUAGGCCACAACUACUAUUGCCACUGCUCCAAUCAAGCUUGACAGCUUCCGUAAGGCAUCCUUCCUGGCACACGACUCCCUGGUUUCUUUCGGCUUUUUUUCCUCACUUCCACCGUUCUCCUCCAAACUUACUUCUUCGCAACAUGUAAAUCCAUCACUAUUAGCACCCUGGCAACAACCUGAAAAGUUCUCAUUAUUCUCAAUUUGAUUGCCCUUUUCUUGGUGAAUCUGAUUGCCAUUUUCUUGUGGCUUCUCCUCAAUUUUCUUAUUUUCUUCUCCAUUUGGAAGCUCCCGGUCAUUGAUUUCUUCAGCUUCAUCAGAAGAUGCUCCCAUUUGGCCCCUGUAACAAAUGAAAUUGAAUUUCGUGUUCAACUAUUUAAAGAUUCAACUCUAAGUUUCGUCAAUAUCAAUUGAGUAAGAACAUGUAUGAUCAAGCUUAAUAAACAAAUCACAACCACAUUACAAAUAAAAACAUAUACAGGGUAAUGCAGUUAUAUCCAAUUCUUUUGUGCUUUCUCCACAAAAGUUCCUCCAUGUUAAUGUAACUCUAUAUCAAUUAAUCUAUCAUACAAGACUAGACAUAAUCAGCAAUUGAAAACUACGACAACACAAGCUUCCGUCCAGUGAAAAUUUCAUCCAAAGAUAGGCAAAACCAAAAACGUACAAACCUCCACAGUCGUUUUAUAAUCUUUCCCUUCCCAAUAUGCUCAUCAAGCAAUUCCGGCACAUCAUCAGGAGUGACGUCGCCAUACCUGCAAUUAAUAAUACAUUUUAUUCAAAUUCCAUUGAUCCCAAUACAACAAAAUUUUAAAUUGUUAUGAUCCGAAUAUUACCAAUGGCCUGUUAUGCUUCCAUCUGAACCUGAGCUAUAGAUAAUCAUGUUUCCAUUGUGGCCUCCAGUGUGAAAGCAAGCAGCAACAAAUACCUGAUUCGUCAAUCCUCGCAGCUCAACCUCCUCUUUGAACUUAUAAAUGAGAACACGUGCACUAUCAUGAUUCCAUUCCUCUCGACUACCUUGUGCACAUACAAAUACAUGGGAGCCAGUCAACGGCUCUUGCACUCUGGAAGCCCAUGGCUUGUCAUUCACAAGGACAUCAUCAACAAAGUUGUCCACAUCCGACUCUUUCAAACCCCUUUGAUCAAGAAACAAAAACAAUCCCAAAAUCACAAAAAGGAAUUUACAGGAAACAAUAACCUAACACUCUUUAAUUCCUUAUAAGGCAAGGAAUUAGUCUUAAAUUGAGUCAUUAAAUUAAAUUUCUAGUACUAAUUUCAGAAGAUAACACAUAUCUAAUUAUCUACUUAGUUCAUGACAUUUAGCACAAUUUCGUAAUCAAAAGAGAAGUCGAAACAGAAAUUACUUCAGUCAAAACUAGGAAAAUAAAUUGCACUGCUCAUCUUGGUUAUGGAAUGGGCCCUUGAUUAUGAAUUAAUUACGGUUUGCCAUUGUGUGCGCUAGUGUGGGCCGUGCUUAACAACUGGGUUGGGCUGCUGCAUUUGGGCACAGGGUGCAGCUCUCAAGCGUUUUGGGCUGGGUUUCACCGAAAGAUCCAAUAACUAUUUUGCCCCCUUCAGUCCUAAUCCAACGGCCACCAUUUUGGGCGUUUGUGUUCUGCAAUUCAGUGGUUGGGGGUUGGGGGUUGUGGUGGGGGGGGGGCGUCAGGAUCUCUUCAAGGAGAUCGUGCAGAGAGGCAGCGAGAUGUUUCGGUUCUGUCUUCUUCGACUCUUAUAUCGUCCCUUUUUUCUGAAUUUUCUUUAUUUCUUAUCCUUUAAACUUUGUAUUUUUUUUUUUGGUGAUGCAGAUAGAUGAACAUGUUCAAAGGGAAAUCAUGAACCACAGAUCACUGCAUCCGAAUGGACCGAAUAUCGUUUGAUUCGAAGAGGUCAGUGAUCAUAAACUAUUUUAUAAACUAUUUUCAUUUUGUUUUUUAAGAAUGAAUUCGGCAAGUUCUGUUUGAAUUUUGUAUAAGUAUCUGCUGAUGGUGGGUGGAUGAAGACAGAACAUGCUAAAUUUGGCCUUUGGUGUGCUCAAACUGGUACGGGGGAUGGUUAAAACUUUGAGCCUGGGAUGCAGUAGGACUAACAGAAAUCCACCACUUGCAGAAUUGUUGUCAAAAUAACUCUGCUAAAAAUAUGAGCUAUACUUCUUGCACUUUGUUUUUACUGUGAAGUGGAAAUAGUCUUUAGAGUGGCUUAUUUGUGAUAAUUGAUAAAGAGGUUUGUGUUUAAGACUUGAGAGUAGUGCGGUGUCUUUCUCGCUGGUUCUGCUCACACCACCUCAUCUAGCCAUUGUGAUGGAGUACACGGCUGGGUGAGAACUCUUCGAGAGAGUAUGCAGUGCUGGCAGAUUUAGUGAGGAUGAGAUAAAGUAGUUUCAAAUGCACAGAAAAUUUCAUUGGAAUUGAUUUUAGUGUAGAGUCUCAAAUAUGGGAUCUCUAAAUGUCCCCUGAAAUGGAAUCCAUCUCGAUUUUUGCUUAGUUUCAGAUAGGGAAGGUUAUGUCUGAAGCAUUUUUACAUAAACAAUCAGUCAUAAUAUAACAAAAACGAACUUACUUUUUCGAUAUAAUUGUUGUUUUGCAUCAGGCAAGGUUUUUUCCUCCAGCAAUUGAUAUCAGGAAUUAGUUGCUGGCUUUUGAUGGUAUGUAAUGUGGCACUUUUCUGCUAAUCGUAUACUGUUAUUUCUCUUUUGAUAUUGGAAGUGUUGGUUGUAGUAAGGAAAUAAUUCGUUUCAAUAGUUUACGACUUAGUUUUAAUAGUAUAUGACUCAGUUUUUGAAUAGCACUCGGGUGGUUUUUGAAUAACAGUAUUACGACUUAGUUUUCUAAAUGCCAAUAACAGCUCUAGAUUUUGUCUCAAGUGGAGUAUUCUUACUAAUGUAGCAUUUUGUUGGCGCAUCAGUAUGUUUUGAUUGUUUCUCUGCUUGAACAGAGAAUUGUUAACGUCCAGGUGGGAACGUGGGUUGGCUCAUGUUUUAAUCUCUCCGUUGUAAGCAAUUUUACAUGGUAUUCUUCAAUGUAGCUAUAGGUAAGACAACAGUCUCAGUAUUCCAUAAUCUAACCACCAUUUGAACUUUUUUCAUCCACCAAGCUAAGCUUUUAUGUGCCAUCUUGAAUGGUUAUUAUAAGUUAUUGCUUCAGAUUACUCCAGUGCGACAUUAUUGUUCUCUUCCUUACCUCUCAAGCUUGCUUAAUGUCCUUAUUCUUAUUACUGUUGUAUUGUUAAGAAAUACUCAAAUGCGGUUUCAGUUCAUCAUUAUGAAUCAGAUUAAAAUUAACCACUCACUGGUUAAUUAUCUAAAUCCUAUAAAUUCAGAUUAAAAUUAAAGCAACUACAGAACAAAAACCUCAAGAAAUCAACACGAAUUUACCUGUAUUUGAUCAUUUGUGGGAAAAUCAACACAUCGCCAUUGGAAAACUCAGUUCCUUCGCGUCCUUCAAUUACUGUCAGCAACGUCUAUCAAAAACCAAGAAAAAAGUGAGUAACGGAGUCAAUUCAGCUCAACACCAUAACUUAGUAGCUCCAGGAACUAAGACACGGUAAGAAAAAAUAAUCGGAAAUGCUGACGAAUUGAGCUGGAAAAGGGACCUUAACGGUGAUGUCGUUCUUGCGAGCUUUGAGAGCGGAUGCAAAGAACUUAGGGAGUGGAUCGGACUCAGAGCCUUUGAUGCGCCAUGGCCAAGCCUCGGGGGUCUUGUAGCAGAGGAAAACUUGGCGAUUGCUCAACUGCGUAUCGUCCUUAGUGUCUUCAUCAGACUCAUAUGACAUAGUCUCAUAGUCGUACCAAUUAGUACGACCAUCAGACAAAUCCCAUUUUACAAUAUCCACUCCUGUUUUGUUCACCUUAAUAAUUGUAUUAUCUAGUCCAGAAAAUUCUGCUUUUACAAGAACCAUGUCACCGCUUUUCAGAUUGAGCUUCUUGUUUGAAAGAUUUCCCAACCAAAGAUAAUAUUCAUGGGAAGCAGUUACGGUGGCCUUCAUUGCCCAGACGCGAAAGUUAGUUCGCUGGGUACGAUUAACAACACCAAUGGUUAGAAUCCCAGUACAGUCAGAGUUGUCCGAAGAAUAAACGAUGCCCAAAGCCAACCCUCCUAUAUAAUCAAUACUUGGCGGCACUUCGAAUUUGACAGUUUCAUCCUCUCUUGCGACAUAGGCUAACCAGUUAGGAAUAUCAUUUCCAAAGAGAAAAAUUCCACCAAAUGCAUUUUUCUACACCAUGGGGUGCAAAGUUAGUAUAAGCAACAAUACGAGAGAGAGAGAGAGAGAGAGAGAGAGAAAGAGAGAGAGAGUACCGUUUUGGAGGUUCUCCUUAAAAGUAUCAGUGAGACUGGUACACCCUUCCAUGUGAAUUGAUUCCAUGUAGUCCAAUGAGUUCUCCAAGUUUGGAAUAUCUUUGAGUUUGCGGCAGUCUUUCAGUUCCAAUUUCCUCAUUUUCGACAUCUCUGAAAAGUCGGACGUUAUUUCCAGUGCAGUGCAGUAAUUCGCUUCCAGUAGAAGCAAACUGUUCGGCAAAUCUGGGAUUGCCUCAAGGUUUGUGCAAUGAUUUAGAUGUAAUUCCUGAAGCUGAGAAAGGCCAUUGAGAUUGGGCAGCCUAUUAAAACCAUUCCCAUAUAGAACUAAAUAUUUUAAAGAAGAUAGACUCCCAAUUAUUUCGAGAAGGGCACCAUCUGUUAUAUUGCAGUCGCUGAGACCUAAUGCCUCAAUCAUCUUCAGUUGUAGUAAAAAAUGGUAACCCCUACACAAACCCUUACAGCCACUGAGGUUCAAUUCCUCGAGAUGUGGGAGUUUUGAAAAGUCUAGUAAUUCAGUCAGGUUAUGGCAGUCUUUAAGAAUGAGACACUUCAACAUCUUAGGCAACUUCUUAGGCAACUGUUACUCAAAAAGUGAAAACAAUAAUAAAAAUAUAAAUAAAUAAAAGAGAGAAUGCAUGCCGAUGACCGAUGUUGAUAUUUACAAGGACAUUGAUAAUUAUAUCGUACCAGGUCUGAAUCAUCCCAAACUCGUACAAGCUUGCUAUUUCUCAGGUCAAUAAAAACUAGGUUUCGUUGAUCAAAAUCUGCUGGUAUGGCUUCAAGGGGAAAUCCAUCCCAAACCAACAAUCUUAACUCCUUGGAAAGAUGUUUGUAGCUUCCAGUCAGCUUUACAAUUUCCAGCCGGAUAAAUUUCAGACGCCGCAUCUUCUUAAACGCUUCUGUACUGAAGCUUUCCUCGUCAUCAGAAUCUUCUGGCAACCUUAAGUUUAGUCCUUCAACUGCUUCUGUUCCCUGUUAGAGAUAUAAAAAAAAAAAAUGAUAAUAUUCACACGAAGCAGAGCCGUGAAUUGGAUGAAUGAGCUACUAGAAUGGUAGGGCAUACAACAUAAUUAAUUAUGUAUUUUCUCUUUCAAUUUACAGUGGAUGAAAGCCUUUUCUUCUUUUUCUUCAAAUAUAGGCAUACAUUAUAUAUAUGCGGAUAUGUGUAUACACUUCUCUUUCUUUACAUGUACUUAACAUAACAUCUUUUUAUUGCAAAAGUACUUACUGAUUCGUUCAUGAGCACGUUUUUUGCAUCUUCACUAUGCCACAAUCGGCUACGUUUUCCCAAUUCCACAAGAGAUUCUGCCCGCACAAUUUCUCUUCCCAUAUCUCGAAUCAAAUCAUGCAUCCUCAAGUAUCCCUCUUCAUCAAUAUAUAAGAGACAUCGUUCGUAAAGUGUGAUAAUUUCUGCUUCUACAGAAAAACUACUACAACCAUCCAAUAUUGCCGUGACAAAAAUUUUACUCCAUCCAAUAAAGAAACAAGAUAUGUCAAGGAAUACACCCUUCACAUGAUCAUCACGUAGCCCAUCGUAACUUAAUUUAAGCGUUUCAUGAAUUUUUCCAUCUGGAAUAUUUCUCAAUUUAUCCAAUGUACUUUUCCAUAUGCUUUUACUCUUUUUUGUAGCCAACAACUUCAAGAGCUAGGGGCAAUCCUCCACAAUAAUCAAUAACAUCUCUUGCGAGCUCAAUAUAUUCUUUAUCUGGACAAUCAUUUCCAAAGGCAUGCCAACUAAGAAGCUUAAGAGCUUCGUCAUCAGUCAUUCCUUGUGCUUUAUAUCUUUUAUCCACCUUUUGUAUAUUCAGCACUUGUUCAUCUCUUGUCGUUAUAAUAACUCUGCUCCCUGGACCAAACGAGUCAUGUGCUAUUGCCAAUUUAUCUAAUUGGUCCGCAUCAUCUAUGUCAUCAACCACGACAAGUACCUUCAUGCUUCCAAGUCUUUUCUCUAUCUCCUUGGUUCCUUCGGCAACACUGCUUACCUUAAUGUCAAGCCGUUUCAAAAUAUCUCGAAGAAGUUGUUCUUGGAGACUAACCAUAUUUUUCUUGUUACUCCUCACCUCUUCAAGGUAACAUUGACUGCUGAAACUGUGACUAUAUUUGCUACAAAUCUCUUUGGCAAACGUUGUUUUACCUAUACCGCCUGUACCCCAAAUUCCAAUUAUUUGAACAUCAGGUGAACCUCCAACGUCUAAGUAUUUAGUGUUGAAUUCUUUCACGCGAAGAGCUAUUCCAACUGAGUGCUUGGCAUUUUUGAAGUCUCUGGGGGUCAAUCGUCCCUUGAUGUCCCCAAUAAUUUUCUCAAUAAACACUCCUUCGCGCCUACAAGUAGAAAUUCCAAAUUACAAGAGCCAUACUAAUGCCUUAUUCAUCAUGACUAUAUAUUUACAUAUUGAAACAGGUUUGAAUAAAUUGUGAUUUACUGAGCUCAAUUCAACAACGUAUUUAAUCUUCAAUUAUAAUGUGAAUAGAUUAGAUCAUUGGUCAUUGGACUAUUACACCAUUGUAGCUUUCAGUUAUAUAAUUAAGAAUCCAUUACAAUUGGUAUUUUAAUUUGAUAAAGUGUGGAGCAUUUGUUCUUCACACACCCAUAAAAAACGAAGCAUUGUACCCUGCAUUUCACUUCCUUAGUUUUGACGGCAAUUCAUAUGCAAAUGCUCUACCAUUUAUAAAAUUCAUAUACCAAUUCUAAUAAAUUUUUAUGCAGUGACCAAAAUUACAAUUCUAUCAUAGUUCAGGGACCAAUGAUCCAAUUUUUCUUCUAACAUAUAAAAUCAUAUUCAAUGCCUUAAUUAUAAUUUCUUAAUUUUGGUUAAUUAGUGAAAUAACUCCGCCUGUGUAAGUUUAUCUUACAUUGCCGGUCCCAAGCCCGGGUAAAGGAGGAGGGGGGAGGGCGUCAGGUAGUCGACAGUCGGCACUACACAGUUACGUCGAAUCCUUAUGAAAAUGAAUCCAUAACGAAAUCGCGCUAAAGCUAGGGCGUCACCCGUAAGUGGCGCGCUGUGUGGCCCGAGCACAGUGAUAAGUGAGCAAGGGUCGCUGUAUCUCCAUAGGCACCCGGAUGCAGUGUUAAAUGAGCAAGGGGGCCAUAGAAACUUCUUUUUGAACGACUCCACUCAAAGUUGUUUAGGAGCAUAUGCUCCUAUCAACUUUACACGGGACACACAAAAGAAGUACUUUGAUUCCAUUGGACGGGGGAGGGUGAAGAAGCUAGGACAGAAGGGUAGAGUUCAAGAGAGUAGAAUGCGUUUAGGAACGUGGAAUAUAGGAACCUUAACGGGAAAAUCUAUGGAAGUAGUGGAAGUUAUGGUAAGGAGAAGGAUAAAUAUUAUGUGCCUAUAAGAAACUAAGUGGGUUGGUCUUAAGGCAAAGGAUCUAGAAAACUCAGGGUUUAAACUUUGGUACUCGGGCACAAAUAGAACGAGAAACGGUGUUGGCAUCAUCGUGGACAAGACCUUGACACAAGAUGUUGUAGAUGUCAAGAGGGUAGGAGAUAGAAUUAUGGCAAUCAAGAUUGUAAUAGGACAAGAACUCAUCAAUGUGAUUAGUGCGUACGCACCUCAAGUAGGGUUGGAUGCGAGUUCGAAGGAGAAAUUUUGGGAAGACCUUGGAGACUUGGUGCAAGGAAUUGCCCAGACAGAGAAGUUAUUUAUAGGAGGAGAUUUAAAUGGACACGUGGGCAGGGAGACAGGCAACUAUGGAGGUUUUCAUGGUGGCCAUGGUUUUGGGGAGAGAAACGAGGAUGGGAAAGCUAUCUUGGAUUUUGCAAUGGCAUAUGAUCUCUUCUUAGCCAACACCUUCUUUAAGAAAAGAGAAGAACAUGUGAUCACCUACAAGAGUGGGUUGUCAAAAACACAAAUAGAUUUUCUUCUAAUUUGGAAAGGGGAUCGUAUAACUUGUAAGGAUUGCAAAGUUAUACCGGGAGAGAGCUUGGCUAAUCAACAUCGCUUGUUGGUGAUAGAUGUACAUAUCAAAAGAGUGAGAAAAAAGAACAAGACUUGGAAGUGCCCAAGGACUAGAUGGUGAAAUCUAAAAGGAGAAAAACAAGUCAUUUUCAAAGAGAAAGUAAUCACCCAGUGUGGGUGGGAUAGAGAGGGGGAAGUUAGCCAAAGGUGGGAUUCCAUGGCUAGUUGUAUACGAAAAGUAGCAAAAGAGGUAUUAGGAGAGUCCAAGGGCUUUGCUCCACACCAAAAGGAAUCUUGGUGGUGGACUGAGGAGGUACAAACAAAGGUGAAGGCUAAGAAAGAAUGUUGUAAAGCCCUAUACAAGGACAUGACCGAUGAAAAUGGUGAAAGGUAUAGAAGAGCGAAGCAAGAGGCGAAGAAAGCUGUGAGAGAAGCUAAGUUAGCGGCUUAUGACGAUAUGUAUAAGCGACUAGCAAAAGAAUGAGAGUUGGAUAUUUAUAAACUAGCUAGAGCAAGGGAAAAGAAGACAAGGGACCUAAACCAAGUGAGGUGCAUCAAGGAUGAGGAUGGAAAGGUUCUUGCUACAGAGAACGCGGUCAAAGACAGAUGGAGAGGUUAUUUUCAUAAUCUUUUCAAUGAAGGACAUGAAAUGAGUACUUCUUUAGGGGAGUUGAGUAACUCAGAAGAGUGUAGAAACUACUCAUUUUAUCGUCGAAUCAGGAAGGAAGAAGUGGUUGUAGCUUUGAAGAAGAUGAAGCAUCGAAAAGCAGUGGGCCCAGACGAUAUACCGAUCGAAGUGUGGAAAGUCUUGGGAGAGACAGGUAUAGCAUGGCUCACUGACCUUUUCAAUAGGAUUUUGAAAAUGAAGAAGAUGCCAAAUGAGUGGCGAAAUAGCACUUUGGUGCCUAUCUACAAGAAUAAGGGCGACGUACAAAACUGCAUGAACUAUAGGGGUAUUAAGCUAAUGAGUCAUACAAUGAAGCUCUGGGAGAGAGUCAUUGAGCAUAGAUUGAGGCAAGAGACACGGGUUUCGGACAACCAAUUCGGGUUCAUGCCAGGGCGCUCAACCAUGGAGGCAAUCUAUCUCUUACGAAUAUUGAUGGAAAGAUAUAGAGAUGGGAAAAAUGAUUUACAUAUGGUCUUUAUAGAUUUGGAAAAAGCGUAUGAUAGGGUCCCAAGAGACAUUCUUUGGAGGAUUUUAGAGAAGAAAGGAGUACGAGUAGCAUAUAUCCAAGCUAUAAAGGAUAUGUAUGAAGGAGCAAAGACUGCCGUAAGAACUUAUGAAGGACAAACCGAAAGCUUCCCCAUAACUGUAGGAUUACAUCAAGGCUCAUCCUUAAGUCCUUACCUUUUUGCGUUGGUAAUGGAUGAGUUAAUAGGACAUAUUCAAGAUGAUCUUCCUUGGUGUAUGCUUUUCGCAGAUGAUAUAGUGUUGAUAGAUGAAACUCAGGAAGGGGUAAAUACGAAGCUUAACCUUUGGAGAGAAGUGUUGGAAUCUAAAGGUCUUCGCCUAAGCCGAUCAAAGACAGAAUAUAUGGAAUGCAAGUUCAGUGCAAAUGGAGGCCAAAAUGAGUUAGGGGUGAGGAUCGGAGAUCAGGAAAUGCCAAAGAGCGAUCGUUUUUUCUACUUAGGAUCUAUCUUGCAAAAGAACGGAGAAUUAGAUGGAGAUCUCAACCAUAGAAUACAAGCUGGAUGGAUGAAGUGGAAGAGUGCAUCCGGCGUGUUGUGUGACCGCCGUAUGCCACUGAAGCUCAAGGGAAAAUUUUAUAGGACGACAAUAAGGCCGGCGAUGCUGUAUAGCACAGAAUGUUGGGCGGUGAAGCAUCAACACGUACAUAAAAUGGGUGUAGCGGAGAUGAGGAUGCUUCGUUGGAUGUGUGGGCACACGAGAAAGGAUAAGAUUAUGAAUAAGGAUAUCCGAGGUAAAGUAGGAGUAGCCGAAAUUGUAGAAAAGUUGAGAGAAAAUCGGUUACGGUGGUUUGGACAUGUGCAAAGAAGGCCUACUGACGCUCCGGUUAGAAGAUGGGACUACGGGACAGAGGUUCAAGGCCGAAGGGGUAGAGGAAGACCUAGGAAAACUUUGGAAGAGACUCUAAGAAAAGACUUAGAGUAUUUGGAUUUAACAGAUGACAUGACACAGGACCGAGCACAAUGGCGUUCUAAGAUUCAUAUAGCCGACCCCACUCAGUGAAGAAGGCUUUGGUGUCUUUAACACAAUACGUUGGAAAUGAAGCAAAGCUUAUGUAUUGAUAUCUCCGAUAAGUUACAAAUAUGUACAUAUACAUGAGUCAAAAUAAACAAACAAGAGGGAGCCUUCACAAAGGUUGCUUAGGAGAAGUCUCAGCAGUCGGUAGAGCCCCAGAAAGAGAAGGCACCGGAGGGGGAUCAUUCGGAGCCUCAGUACUGGACAGAACCCUAGAAGGAAGAGGCAUCGGAGGUUGAUCAUUUGGAGCUUCAUUAUGCAGUACAGCCCCAGAAGACGAAGGCAAUAAAUGCCUUUGGAACAAACCCACAAACCGCUGAUGAUCAAGUAAAACUUGACCAUCAGAUUCCUUCAUCUGGUCAAGCUUCCUCUUCAUGUUUAUAACAUAGUUAUGUGCGAGCCGGUGCAACUGUUUAUUCUCAUGCUUGAGCCCGCUAAUCUCCUGUUUGAGACUCAUCACUUCAGCCGCCAAUGAUUCAACUUGGCGGGUUCGAGCAAAUAGGCGUUGGGCCAUAUUAGACACAGAACCUGCACACUGAACACUCAGAGCCAGAGAAUCCUUAACAACCAAUUCAACAGACCGUUUGGAAAGUAGUCUGUUAUCUUUGGGAGUGAGAAGGUUCCUGGCCACCACCGCAGCGGUCAUAUCAUUCUUCAUCACAGAAUCCCCAACGGUAAGAGGACCAGUAGGGGAUAAGAAGGAUGGGCGCCAUAUGUUGUCUGGAGAAGGUGUGGCUGCCUCUUCAACAAGGUUCAAGUCAAAACGACGGUCGGAGGGGCCAGACAUUUUCAAAGGUGUUGAAGAGAGAAAAGGUCAGACAAAUCAAGAUCUUAGAAGUGCAAGAAGGGAGCUUCUACUGGUGAAGAUUCAGGUGUGCUUUGAAACUUAAUGCCAGCCUCUAUAAAAAUCUGCACUUGACGGAGCUUCAGAAAUCAAAGAGGCAUCUGCCCAGAAAUCGAAGAGGCGUUUGCUUUCUCAAAAGUUGGGCUGCUCAGAGACCACGAGGGCCGAUUUCAGAAAUCGAAGAGGCGUUUGCUUUCUCAAAAGCUGGGCUGCUCAAAGACCACGAAGGCUGAUCUCAGAAAUCGAAGAGGCGCUUGCUUUCUCAAAAGAUGGGCUGCUCAGAGACCACAAGGGCCGAUCUCAGAAAUCGAAGAGGCACCUGUUUUUUUUUUUUUCAGCCUUGUCAGCAUCUGUCACAUGCACACUCAGCUUUGCUGAAAUUACGGGCAUUCUGGUGAAGUAGAAAGCACGUGAAUCUUAUUGUUCAAUCAUCCACUUUUCACACGCACCAUCAGCUCAUGGGUACCACAGAUAACUUUGCCAAAGAUCUCUGACAAAGUUUAGACACGUGAAGCUUGCAGCUCCCACUACAUCGCUAUGACCAAGAAGGGUAAAAUAAUAGCAAAGAAACAACACUAACAAAGUUUAGACACAGAAAUUUUGAAGGUCUAGCUAUCAUAUUAUUACCCACAAGGGUAAAGGAACAACAUCACGGCUGGAUAAUUGGAAAGUCCCUGUGUGUCAACCUCUGUGCUCCAUGGCAAGGUAGACUAGCAAACAUGCCCUACCUUUACUCACAUUCGAGAAAACACUCCAAACAAGAUUGCUUGCUCCAAAAUCGAAGAGGCACCGUCCUCCGAAUCUUGAGAGCCAGACUCCCAACAUGAUUACUUUCUCAAAAAUCGAAGAGACACCGCUCUCCGAAUCUCGAGAGCCAGACUCCCAGCAGGAUUGCUCUCUCAAAAAUCGAAGAGGCACCGUUCUCCGAAUCUCGAGAGACAGAUCCCCGACAGGAUUGCUUGUUCGAAAACUGAAGAGGCAUCACUUUCUCAACUUCGAGAGCCAGAUCUCCUUGGAUAAAGCUUGUCUGUAAUCUUCACACGCAACAUCAGCUUUCCAGAUACCACAGACCACUUUUUCAAAGUGCUCUGACACACGUGAAGCUGGCAGCUCCCACUACCGUGCUAUGACCAAGCAGGGUAAAGGAAUAGCAUUACUACUUGUUGUUAGGGAGACUCCUAUAUAUGUCGACCUCCAUCUUCAACGGACAGGCAGACCUGCAAAAAUGCUCAACCAUUCCUCAUAUCUGAGAGGGCACUCCCAACGAAGCCUCUCGAAAUACUCAGCUUUCUUUCCCCCCCCCCCCCCGAUAAUACCUUUGCAAACAAGCUACACCAGAGCAAGAAUAUCUCAUAUCAUCAGGGUUAAAAGCAAGAGUAUCCUAUAUCAUGCUAUUUCCCUGUCUUUUCCUUUGGCCUUGUUCUUACCUGCAAGACAAGGAGAACAUCUACCUAUGAGACAGAUAAGGCAAGUGAAGACGAUACCACACUUCGGUACUUAGAAGUUUCGUGAUUACGAUAUCAUUCUCCCACAAUAUUUCCUUAUGUCAUUUGUACUAAAUCAUUCAUUUGUACCCACUAAAGGAGAGCUUGAACCUAUGUACUUGUGUAAACCCUUCACAAUUAAUGCGAACUCAUCUACUCCAUAGACGUAGCCAAUCUGGGUAAACCACGUACAUCUUAUGUUUGCUUUCCUGUCUCUAUCCAUUUACAUACUUAUCCACCAUAAUGACCAGAGCAAUAAGUUAAUACUUUCUGUUGUACCAAAGUCCUCACUGAUUUUUUGCAUCAACAAGCCUUAAGUCCUUACCCUUUUGCGUCGCAAAUGAUAUAAGGUUGAUAGAUGAAACUCAUGAGGGGUAAAUGCGAAGCUUAACCUUUGGAGAGAAGUGGUGGAAUCUAAAGGUCUUCGCCUAAGCCGAUCAAAGACAGCAUAUAUGGAGUGCAAGUUCAGUGCAAAUGGAGACCAAAAUGAGUUAGGGGCGAGGAUCGGAGAUCAGGUAAUACCAAAGAGCGACCGUUUUCGCUACCUAGGAUCUAUCUUGCAAAAGAACGGAGAAUUAGAUGGAGAUCUCAAUCAUAGAAUACAAGCUGGAUGGAGAGGUGGUCUGUGAAGGUAGUGCGUGUCGUCACCUCUAAAGCUCAAAAACACCUCGUUCUUCCAGCGGUUUGAGCGGCACGGGCAAGACGAAGAGGCUGCGAUGGCGGUUCCAUGGACAGAGCUGAUGGUAUCUAUCGAUAAUUGGUACUAGCGUUGGGAGACUAGAGGGAGUGCAGCAGGCUGUGCGGCUUGGCUUUCAGAUAGCCAAAGCUCAGUCAAAUGUCAUCGCCUAAGUAUUAUAGAGAAACAAAAUGCGUGGAGCGAUAUGAAUAUACAUGUACAUGGCAUUGCAUAAGUUUACUACAAAAUAUGGUAACACCCUAAUUUUUAUGGACAUAGUACUAUCAGUAUUUGUGACUAUCUGCAUUGCAACUAUCCAAUAUUGCCAUGACAAUAGUUAUAUCCCAUCCAAUAAAGAAAUUAGAUAUGUCAAGGAACACACCCUUCACAUGAUCGGUACUUAACCCAUCGUAGCUUAAUUUAAGCGAUUCAUGAAUUUUUUUCAUGUGAAAUAUUUUAUUCAAUGUACUUUCCCAUAUGCUUCUACUUUUUUUCGUAGCCAACAAAUGGCCAACAACUUUCUGAGCUAGGGGCAAUCCUCCACAAUAAAGAACAACAUCUUCUGUGAUGUUGAGGUCGUUGCUGUCAACGAUCCCUUCAUCACCACCCGACUACAUGGUAAGUAAUUUACAUGGGUUUCCGCCUGUGACUGAAAACAGGUUCUCAGCUGAGUAGAUAGAAGUAUGCAGGGUUGCCAGGGCAUACAAUUCAUUAGUUGUGGGAUAUGUAUAUAUCUCGUCACGUCCCAUGCAGACACAUACCAACAUUUCAGGAUCGGGUGGAUUGAGUCUUAAAAUUGAAAAUUAGUUUAUAUGACAAAUUGAAAAAAAAAAGAAAAAAAAAAGUAAGCAAGCUCAUAUGACAUUUAAAAAAAAAAAUUCUUGUUCUCAAUUGUAGAACAUAGCUCUAACCACUUAUUGCACAAACACAUAAACCAUGACGAUGAUACGUUUGUUAGUUCUCAGUUUUUAUUUUGGACUUGGAAGUUGUGGGCACGGUGUUGCUGUUAGGAACGGAUUCAACUCUGAUGUACCUCUAACUAAUGCAUUGGUGACCGGUUCUGUCAAAACCGCUGCCAGCUUGUUCCGGUUGCAGAGAAAAAUGUGAUUUCUUGUUGCUCCAUGAUUGCUCUUUCACACUUAACAGGCAAGAACACUUACAUCUAUGAUAGGUGAAGAGAGAAAUUUCCUUGAAAUGAGGUGGUUUAUAGAACACUCAAGGCUCAAGCCAACCCCUAAGAUAUGUCUCUAAUUAAUGAUGUGUAAGACAUACUUACAUGUAAAUUUCUCUAAUGUCACUGAUCAAAUUGGAAAUUAUUAAUUUAUAUUUGUUAAGAUGAUAAGUUACUUAAAAAAAAUAAAAAAAGGACUCGUGACAUUGCUUCUCUAGAAAGUGCUUAAGCUAGAAGUGCUUCUAUUAUAACCACAUUGAAAUUUUUAUUAGAAACUCAAGUACAUUCUAAAAAACCACUUAAGGAUGCUUUUCGAAAAUAAAAAAAAGGCGUAUGCUUCUCCAUGAACCGCUUCUUUGAGCCAUAUGAACAAUUUAAACAAACCCCUAACUAGCGAGCAUGGCCUAGCCCAACCCCCAAUAUUACUCUUAGAAGCAACGAAAUUGAGAUGUAAAAACAUGUUUUCAUGGUCUUUAUAGAGGAAAAAGAUAGGGUAAAAUGACCUAAAUGGGUAAGAUUUAUAAACAAGUUGAUUCAUGCUUCAUAAUUGCAUCAGUUCCUUUGCAGUUUGUAGUAAAUGUCUACGUACCUUCCUUACAAGUCUCUUUACUGCGCUUUCCUUCAAUUCACUGUUGUUUUGUCAUCGUCAAAGCUUUCAAUAUUAAGAUCAAACCUUAAUAUUUUGCAGACCUCAUCAGAUGAGUGGCCUCUUUAACUCUGUACCAUCGUCAGUGUCGUCAUCAAACUCAUAUGGUAUAAUCUGAUAGUCUUCCUCAUCAGUAUCAUCAUCUCACGCUGUCACGCCCCGAUCCCCACAUACGUCCAGGAUCGACACUUGACGUCAUCAAAUAACCACAUAUCUAACAUACCCCGCCUCCAAGAUAUGUACAAAGCACAACUCGAGAAUCGAAUCGCAUAGAAGUAUUUCGUAUACUUUAUGGCUGCAUCUAACCUCUUCGUUAGACUGCCUACAUACCCUCAUUAGGGAUCAAGCCAUUCGUAGUUCGUCAUUCAUUACACCUCGACAUUUAUCACAAUACGUUCAAAUCGAAAAGCAUAGCAUUCCUCAAUCAAUUAUUAGAACUUAACAAGCAUGAAUUACUAGAUUCAUGGUUACAUAACAAAUCCACAUGACAUUCAAGGUUUCCAUUCCAUCCAUCAUAUAAAUCACUAUGUUUUCAACGUGAUAUCUCCAUCCACAACAUGUAACUUAUCCAAUAACCAACGAAGCACAAUAUUAUUCUUAAGCCACAUUGAUCACUAAAUAAUCAUAAUAAUAACAAUCAUAUUCAACAUCAUUCCACAAUUCCCGUCAAUUAAUCCCUUCAUGAAUCAAGGAUGCAUGAUCUUAGCAUUUAACUACGUUAAUCAAUCAAUGAGAUAACAUACCAUUUCACCAAUUCAAUUAGAGAACUCUAUAUAAUUCCCUACUUGGGUUAUGAGUAAUAACAUGGUAAUUCUAAUUUAUAUUCACAAGGUCUAUGGAUAAUUCCCAUUUGCUCGAAUCUAGGGUUCUAGACUAACCUUUUGGAACGUGCAAGAGUAAGGAUUUCGGACCACUCAACGGAAUUCAACCACAUCGGGUUCCAGACCACUCAACGGAACCAAAAUAUCAAUCGGUUUCUCGUAAUCUAUCCAGACCUGUUGCAUGUAAAAUCAGUGCCUACAUCAUGGAAAUGGUGCAUUGGGUAAUUCAGAACUUGGAUAAGUUGUGAAACUCAGGUGAACGACAAUAAUACAAAGUGUGAUAAUAGUGAUAAAACCAACCAUCAAUCACAGUUUAUAAACUUUGAAUAUGAAUCAUUCAUAAGAAAUUAAUACCAAACCUUCGCAAACUCUGAAGGAGUCACCCAAACAUCCAACGGUUCGUCUGAAACAAUCACAACAUCUCAUAACCAUAUUCUCAUACAACACCAUGAAAAGUAGGGUUAGAGCGACAUAGUUCGGCCGAAGCCUAUACCUUUGAAGCUAUCUCAAUCCAAACUCAAUGAAACCCAAGGUGAAUACAAUUCCGGAACUUCACUCAACGGAAUCGCGGAGUAGAAGGGAUUCUGGACCAUCUCUCAUGGAAUCCAAGUGGAUACGAUUCCGGAACAUCACUCAACGGAAUCGCGGAAGGCCAACAACCAUAAUGUACAACGGCUCAAAGAAAUGAGACAAGCACAAGCUACUAAAUUUACAAAAGCUUAACCAAGGGAAAUAAGGCACAUAUGCUAAAUUUAAAACGAAUCAACGAAGAGGGAAAAGAAACAAUAUCGAAGCAACAUAUCCCCAAUCACAACGGGUUCACAGUCCACCACUAGUCUUCACAUUUCAUCACAUCAAGCCAACCAUACAAAGCAAACCAUGUUUCUAAUAUGCACGUCAAAUCCCACAUCAUAAACUAUAACGAUGGCACUUUAUAGAAAACAUAAUCAUAAAACCGUCUCAUACCCUCUCAGGAUAAUAAUUAUGAAAAUAGAGUAAUCACCUGUAACAUAUAUUAAAGUCACUCACCCUUUUUUUUUUAUGUACAUAUACAUGAGUCAAAAUAAACACACAAGAGGGAGCCUUCACAAAGGUUGCUUAGGAGAAGUCUCAGCAGUCGGUAGAGCCCCAGAAAGAGAAGGCACCGGAGGGGGAUCAUUUGGAGCCUCAGUACUGGACAGAACCCUAGAAGGAGGAGGCAUCAGAGGUUGAUCAUUUGGAGCUUCAUUACGCGGUACAGCCCCAGAUGACGAAGGCAAUAAAUGCCUUUGGAACAAACCCACAAAUCUCUGAUGAUCAAGUAAAACCUGACCAUCAGUUUCCUUCAUCUGGUCAAGCUUCCUCUUCAUGUUUGUAGCAUAGUCAUGUGCGAGCCGGUGCAACUGUUUAUUCUCCUGUUUGAGACCUCUAAUCUCCUGUUUGAGACUCAUCACUUCAGCCGCCAAUGAUUCAACUUGGCGGGUUCGAGCAAAUAGGCGUUGGGCCAUAUUAGACACAGAACCUGCACACUGAACACUGAGAGCCAGCGAAUCCUUAACAGCUAACUCAUCAGACCGUUUGGAAAGUAGUCUGUUAUCUUUGGGAGUGAGAAGGUUCCUGGCCACCACCGCAGCGGUCAUAUCAUUCUUCAUCACGGAAUCCCCAACGGUAAGAGGACCAGUAAGGGAGACGAAGGAUGGGCGCCAUAUGUUGUCUGGAGAAGGCGGGGCUGCCUCUUCAACAAGGUUCAAGUCAAAACGACGGUCGGAGGGGCCAGACAUUUUCAAAGGUGUUGAAGAGAGAAGAGGUCGGACAAAUCAAGAUCUUAGAAGUGCAAGAAUGAAGCUUCUACUGGUGGAGAUUCAAGUGUGCUUUGGAACGUAAUGCCAGCCCCUAUAAAAAUCUGCACUCGACGGAGCUUCAGAAAUCGAAGAGGCGCCUGCUCAGAAAUCGAAGAGGCGUUUGCUUUCUCAAAAGCUGGGCUGCUUAGAGAUCACGAGGGUUGAUCUCAGAAAUCGAAGAGGCGUUUGCUUUCUCAAAAGUUGGGCUGCUCAAAGACCACGAAGGCUAAUCUCAGAAAUCGAAGAGGCGCUCGCUUUCUCAAAAGCUGGGCUCCCCAGAGACCACGAGGGCCGAUCUCAGAAAUCGAAGAGGCACCUACUUUUCCAGCCUUGUCAGCACCUGUCACACGCACACUCAGCUUUGCGGAAAUUAUGGGCAUUCUGUCGAAGACUUCUGGGGAAGUAGAAAACACAUGAAUCUUACUGUUCAAUCACCCACUUCCCACACGCAACAAUAGCUCAUGGGUACCACAGAAAACUUUGCCAAAGUUCUCUGCCAAAGUUGAGCACGUGAAGCUUGCAGGUCCCCACUACAUCGCUCUGACCAAGAAGGGUAAAAGAAUAGCAAAGAAAUAGCACUAACAAAGUUUAGACCUAUAAAUUUUGAAGGUCUAGCUACCAUAUUAUUACCCACAAGGGUAAAGGAACAGUACCACUGCUGGAUAAUUGGAAAGUCCCUGUGUGUCAACCUCUGUGCUUCGUGGCAAGGUAGACUAGCAAAACAUGCCCAACCUUUACUCACAUUCGAGAAAACACUCCCAAUAAGAUUGCUUGCUCCAAAAGCCAGACUCCCAACAUGACUACUUUCUUAAAAAUCGAAGAGAGGGUAAAGGAACAGUACCAUUGCUGGAUAAUUGGAAAGUCCCUGUGUGUCAACCUCUGUGCUUCGUGGCAAGGUAGACUAGCAAACAUGCCCAACCUUUACUCACAUUCGAGAAAACACUCCCAACAAGAUUGCUUGCUCCAAAAUCGAAGAGGCACCGCCCUCCGAAUCUCGAGAGCCAGACUCCCAACAUGAUUACUUUCUCAAAAAUCGAAGAGACACUGCUCCCCGAAUCUUCGAGAGCCAGACCCCCAGCAUGAUUGCUUUCUCAAAAAUCGACGAGGCAUCGUUCUUCGAAUCAAUCGAAAAGGCGCUCGCUUUCUCAAAAGCUGGGCUGCUCAGAGACCACGAGGCUCGAUCUCAGAAAUCGAAGAGGCACCUACUUUUCUAGCCUUGUCAGCACCUGUCACACGCACACUCAGCUUUGCAGAAAUUAUGGGCAUUCUGUCGAAGACUUCUGGUGAAGUAGAAAGCACAUGAAUCUUACUGUUCAAUCACCCACUUCCCACACGCAACAAUAGCUCAUGGGUACCACAGAUAACUUUGCCAAAGUUCUCUGCCAAAGUUGAGCACGUGAAGCUUGCAGCUCCCACUAAAUCGCUCUGACCAAGAAAGGUAAAAGAAUAGCAAAGAAACAGCACUAACAAAGUUUAGACACAUAAAUUUUGAAGGUCUAGCUACCAUAUUAUUACCCACAAGGGUAAAGGAACAGUACCACUGCUGGAUAAUUGGAAAGUCCCUGUGUGUCAACCUCUGUGCUUCGUGGCAAGGUAGACUAGCAAACAUGCCCAACCUUUACUCACAUUCGAGAAAAACACUCCCAACAAGAUUGCUUGCUCCAAAAUCGAAGAGGCACCGUCCUCCGAAUCUCGAGAGCCAGACUCCCAACAUGACUACUUUCUCAAAAUCGAAGAGAGGGUAAAGGAACAGUACCAUUGCUGGAUAAUUGGAAAGUCCCUGUGUGUCAACCUUUGUGCUUCGUGGCAAGGUAGACUAGCAAACAUGCCCAACCUUUACUCACAUUCGAGACAACACUCCCAAUAAGAUUGCUUGCUCCAAAAUCGAAGAGGCACCGCCCUUCGAAUCUCGAGAGCCAGACUCCCAACAUGAUUACUUCCUCAAAAAUCGAAGAGACACUGCUCUCCGAAUCUCGAGAGCCAGACCCCCAGCAUGAUUGCUUUCUCAAAAAUCGAAGAGGCAUCGUUCUCCGAAUCUCGAGAGCCAGAUACCACAGACCACUUUUUCAAAGUGCUCUGACAGAGUUAAAACAUGUGAAACUGGCAGCUCCCACUACCGUGAUAUGACCAAGCAGGGUAAAGGAAUAGCAUUACUACUUGUUAGGGAGACUCCUAUAUAUGUCGACCUCCAUCCCCAACGAACAGGCAGACCUGCAAAAAUGCUCAACCCUUCAUCAUAUAUGAGAGGGCACUCCCAACGAAACCUUUCGAAAUAUUCAGCUUUCUUUCCCCCCGAUAAUACCUCUGCAAACAAGCUAUACUAGAGCAAGAAUAUCUCAUAUCAUCAGGGUUAAAAGCAAGAGUAUCCCAUAUCAUGCUUUUUCCCUGUCUUUUCCUUUGGCCUUGUUUUUACCUGCAAGACAAGGAGAAAGAGAGCAAUCAGUCAGCACUUGGAAUCAAGCUUCCAGCCAGGAACUGACUGCCUGGAACCGCUUACCUGAUUACUUACCUGGCAUUGCUCUCGAGUACUCAUCUUCAACAUCUUAUGUUUCCAGGGAAGAUUCCGCAUCUGCUUGAGGAACAGAUAGGGCAAGUGCGAAGGAUACAAGGAAGCAUGUGGAGACAAGCGUAACAGCACACGUGCCGAUACAUCCAUUACUCUGUCAAAAGCAAAAGUAUCCCAUAUCAGCAGGGUGGAACGUACUCUAGAUUUGAUGGACUUGUUUUGACCCUCAAAUUCUUCAGUCGGCCUUAUACUCUGGAGGAAACCAGAAAACCCUCCAGCUCAGUUCAAGAAUAAGCCUGUGGAAAGUUACUUCUUCAAAAGCAAAAGUAUCUCAUAUCAUCUCUUCUCAUUUUUCUUCUCUUUAUCCUUCAUGCUGCUGAAAGAUGGGGAGAAGGUGAACAAUCAGUUGGAGCUUUGAUUGCUUACCUUGUCUGUCACCUCUUUCAGCAGACCCCCUAGCUCGGCGACUUGGGGGACUCCUACUACAUGGUUUGUAUCGCGCUUGACCAAGCCUGAAACUACAAGUAAGCUUCAAGUGAAAUUGAUACAUUACCUUGUGCAUCUCCACCAGUUAAAGAUACCACCCCUGGAUGGAGGAAGAGUACUUCCAGAGAAGAUGCCACAUCUACCUAUGAGACAGAUAAGGCAAGUCAAGACGACACCACACUCCGAUACUUAGAAGUUUCGUGAUUACGAGAUCAUUCUCCCACAAUAUUUCCUAAUGUCAUUUGUACUAAAUCAUUCACUUGUACUCACUAAAGGAGAGCUUGAACCUAUGUACUUGUGUAAACCCUUCACAAUUAAUGAGAACUUUUCUAUUCCGUGGACGUAGCCAAUCUGGGUGAACCACGUACAUCUUGUGUUUGCUUUCCUAUCUCUAUCCAUUUAUAUACUUAUCCACACUAAUGACCGGAGCAAUCUAGCGAAGAUCACAAAAAGCGACCGUUUUCGCUACCUAGGAUCUAUCUUGCAAGAGAACGGAGAAUUAGAUGGAGAUCUCAACCAUAGAAUACGAGCUGGAUGGAUGAAGUGUAAGAAUGCAUCCGGCGUGUUGUGUGUGACCGUCGUAGGCCACUGAAGCUCAAGGGAAAAUUUUAUAGGACGGCAAUAAGGCCAGCGAUGUUGUAUGGCACAGAAUGUUGGGCGGUGAAGCAUCAACACGUACACAAAAUGGGGUGUAGCGGAGAUGAGGAUGCUUCGUGGGAUGUGUGGGCACACGAGAAAGGAUAAGAUUGGGAAUGAGGAUAUCCGAGGUAAAGUAGGAGUAGCCGAAAUUGUAGGAAAGAUGAGAGAAAAUCGGCUCCGGUGAUUUGGACAUGUGCAAAGAAGGCCGAAUGACGCUCCGGUUCGAAGAUGUGACUACGGGACAGAGGUUCAGGGCCGAAGGGGUAGAGAAAGACCUAGGAAAUCUUUGGAAGAGACUCUAAGAAAAGACUUAGAGUACUUGGAUCUAACGGAGGAUAUGACACAAAACCGAGCGCAAUGGCGUUCUAGGAUUCAUAUAGCCGACCCCACUUAGUGGGAAAAGGCUUUGUUGUUGUUGUUGUUGAACCAUACAUAUUAUUUCUCAUCCAUGAAAUCAACAUUUUAACGUUCUAUUCCUAUGCUUGUAACCUUCAUUCUCCAUCCUUUAAUAAACCAACCCAAAGUUAAUGGUUUUUCAACUUAAAACACCACCUCUUCACUCAUGCCACUACCCCUUUUGACAUGUAUAUGCGGCAAUAUAUAUAUAUAUAUAUUAAUUAAGAGAAACUAGAUCGUUUACUAAUAACUUGAAUAUAACUACUAGUAAACAAUCUAAACUCUUAAACCCCAACUAAACACACUCAAAUAAGCACAAGAUUAACAAGGAUGUCAUUUCAACUAUAAUUCCCUUCUAGGUCUAGAUGCUUGGUAACGAAAGAAGUAUCUCAUAAAUCUAAUGUCACAUAUCGGAAAAUUCGACUUUUUCCAAAAAUUCUCAAAUUUUACAAGAAUGAAGGUCUCAACAAGUAGAGUAAAUUUUAUAUUUGUGGCCAAGUCCAAUUUGACCGGGAAGGCUCUCAAAUUGGCUCGUAUCCAUCGAAAACCCUAAGGUGGGUGUUCUUCAAUUCGGCUUCCUUGGUGUUCCAAUGCCCCUACAACUAAUUGGGUCUUGUUCUUGGGUCCAAGAGAAGUUGAUCAAGGGUGAUGUGAAUGGUGAUACUCUCCAGAAUGACAAUUCGUCGUCGAGAACCCCCGGGUUCUCCUAUGGAGUUCUACAUGAAAUAGACCUUAAAAACCCUUGAUAUUUGGUGGAGGUGGAAGGAGGAAUGUAGUUGAGCAGGUUGCAGGUGAAGGAGAUAAGAAAAUCAGUUGAGAAAUGGUAGAAAUUUGCAUGAAGUUGGCCGGAUCAAAACCAUUUUUUUUUUUGUGGUGCACGGGUUCACCAAAUGGGGGGGACUCCUUUCCCUCCUUUUCUUUCUUCACUCGCCACUCCCGUGGCUUUAUCUUUUUUUUUUUUUUUUAAGCAACACAACUUCAAACUUCCGUAAUUAUACCGUUAUAAUCCGGACUCGCAAAUGGUUUUCGCCUAUGCUUUCGUGACUUCAAGACCUAUUCGAAAACGUUACUUGUGACCUCGAAAGGUCAACGAGUAAAUAAUAAUUCCAAACUUCACUCUUCGUAACUAGAUUAAUUGAAAUCUAAUUUCAAAUAAAUUAAUAUAAAUUCUCAAAAAGUAAUAUAAAUCUCAAUAAUACAAUUACGUAGAUUAUAACAGUGAAAUCCAGAAACGGGAUUUCACACACCCUUAUGGUACGCGCUCAUAGUUCACUUUUUUUAUUUCUGAAGGUAAACAAUGUUCCCAUCCUACAGAAUUUACUCCUGUUUUCUUCACCUUAAAUUGAUGAUCAUCCUCUGUUCCAAAAAAUUCUGCAUGCACACGAACCUUGUCGCCACUUUUCAGAUUGAGCUUCCUGUUUGAAAGACUUCCCAGCCAAAGAUAAUCUUCAUGGGAGCCAGUUAUGGUGGCAUCCAUUCACCAGAUGGAAAAAUAAGUUCGCUGGGAAGGAUUAACCACAUCAAUCCAUAAAGACCCACUACACUGCGAUGGUCCAAAGAAUAAACGAUGCACACAGCCAACCCUCCUAUAUAAUCAAUACUUGGCGGCACAUCAAAUUUGACAUUUUCAUCCUCUGUCACGACAUAGGUUAACCAUUAAGGAAUAACAUUUCAAGAGCGACCGAUUCCUCCAAAUACAUCCCCCACGUUCCAUUUCUACAACGCGGCGUGCAAAGUUUGUAUAAGCAACAAUACGAGAAGGGCACAGAGAGAGAGAGAGAGAUCGAGGCUAUCAUGCAACAAAAUAUAAAACUCAUCUAGGACAAUUAUGACUAUUGUGAAUUGGUAAUAUUAUCGAUGGAUAUGUUAUAUGAUCUUCAAACUCGCUAUAGCAUGAUUUUUUUUUUUUGUAUCCUUUUCGUCAACUUCAUCUGUUUUUCUAUUAAGUAGAGAUGAUAAACUUAAAAUUCAUCCCACAACCUAAAAAAUGGAAAAAAGAAAAAAGAAAAAAAGGAGGUGGAUGUACAAAAUCCUUGCUAUGCCCUCUAUAUUUAACAAAAAAAUAAAUUGAGUUAACGGAUAUAAUUGAAGUACCACAUGAGAUUGAGUUUGAGAACCACAAUAAGAAAAUAAGAAAAACUAUUCUAGAAUGAAGGUAAAAUUCGUGACAACAAUGCCGUAUAUCUAAAAAAUAGUUCAUGCAUAUUUAGAUGUUAACACAUAGUCAUUUAUCUCGUUUAUUGAACAAACAACGAGGACAACAAUGUUGUUUUCUCUCUUUUGAAAUUCAUAAACAAAAUUGAGAUUUCUUGGUGACUCCUCUGUCCCUCAGGACCAACAAGGGGUAAUACAGGAAUAUUCACCUGUUGUCCAUUGACUAUGCCUUUUGGCCUGAUCUUAGGCCCCGACUCACUCUCCGUGGACAAACCUUGCGAAGGAACCUUUAGGUUUUCGGGGCAUCGGAUUUUCACCAAUGUUUGCGUUACUCAUGCCGACAUUCUCGCUUCCGCUCCGUCCACGUCUAAUUGCCAUUUUGUUUGGGCUUCUCCUUUCUGUUCUUACCGUCUCUUCCAUUUGGAAGCUUCUGGUCAUUAAUUUUUUUAGCUUCAUUAGAAGAUGCUCCCAUUUGGCCCCUGUAAGGAAUGAAAUUGAAUUUCGUGUUCAGCUAUUUAAAGAUUCAACUCUAAGUUUUGUCAAUAGCAAUUAAGUAAGAACAGGUAUGAUCAAGCUUAUAAACAAAUCACAACAACAUUACAAAUCAGAAACAUGUACAAGGUAAUGCAGUUAUAUCCAAUUCUUUUGUGCUUUCUCCACAAAAGUUCCUCCACAUUAACGUAACUCUAUAUCAAUUAAUCUAUCAUACAAGACUAGAAAUAAUCGGCAAUUGAAAAAUAAGACAACACGAGCUUCCGUCCAGUAAAAUUUUCAUCCAAAGACAGUAGGCAAAACCAAAAACGUACAAACCUUCAAUGCCGUUGUAUAAUCUCUCCCUUCCCAAUAUGCUCAUCAAGCAAUUCCGGCACAUUACCAGGAGUGGCGAAGGGAUACCUGCAAUUAAUAAUACAUAAUAUUCAUACUCCUUCAUCGAUCCCAAUACGAUAAAUUUUAAAUUGUUAUGAUCCAGAUAUUACCAAUGAUCUGUUAUGCUUCCAUCUGAACCUAGGUUGUAGAUAUCCAAGUUUCCAGCAUACUUGUGGCCUCCAAUGUGAAAGCAAGCAGUAACGAAUACCUGAUCCGUCAAUCCUCGCAGCUCAGCCUCCUGUUUGAACUUAUCAAUGAGAGUACGUGCAUGAUAACGAUCCCAUUUAUCUUGACUCAUACGUGCGCAUAUAAAUACAUAGGGGCCAGUCAGCGGCUCUUGCACUCCAGAAGCCCAUGGUUUGUGAUUCAUAAGGACAUCAUCAACAAAGCUGUCCACAUCCGACUCUUUCAAGCCCCUUUGAUCAACAAACAAAAACAACCUCAAAAUCACAAGAAAGGAUUUACAGGCAAGCAAUUAGUCGUAAACGGAGCCAUUAAAUUCAAUUUCUACAACUAAUUUCAGAAGCUAACACAUAUCUAAUUAUCCAUUUAGGUCAGUAAAUUCAUGUUGGUUAUGGAAUGGGCCCUCGAUUAUGAAUUAAUUACGGUUUGCCAUUGUGUGUGCUAGUGUGGCCCAUGCUUAACAGCUGGGUUGGGCUGCUGCAUUUAGGUGUGUGUUUGCUAGCUGGCUGGCUGGUGGGUGAGUCUUAGAUACAAACCCAAUCUUAUUAAUUAAAUUUGGCCUUUGGUGUGCUCAAACUGCUAUGGGGGAUGGUUAGAAUUUUGAGCCCGGGAUGCAGUAGGACCAAGAGCAAUCCACCACUUGCAGAAUUGUUGUCAAAGUAACUCUGCUAAAAAUAUGAGCUAUACUUCCUGCACUAUGCUUUUACUGUGAAGUGGAAAUAGUCUUUAGAGAGGCUUAUUUGGGAUAAUUGAUAAAGAGGUUUGUGUUUAAGACUUGAGAGUAGUGCGGUGUCUUUCUUGCUGGUUCUGCUCACACCACCUCAUCUAGCCAUUGUGAUGGAGUACACGGCUGGGUGAGAACACUUGGAGAGAAUAUGCAGUGCUGGCAGAUUUAGUGAGGAUGAGAUAAAGUAGUUUCCAACGCAGAGAAAAUUUCAUUGGAAAUGAUUUUAGUGUAGAGUCUCAAAUAUGGGAUCUCUGAAUGUCCCCUGAAAUGGAAUCCAUCUCAAUUUUCGUUUAGUUUCAGAUAGGGAAAGUUAGGUCUGAAGCAUUUUUACAUAAAUAGUCAGUCAUAAUAUAACUAAAACUUACUUUUUCGAUUUAAUUGUUGUUUUGCAUCAAGCAAGGUUUUUCUUCCAGCAAUUAUAUCAGGAGUUAGCUACUGUCAUUUAAUGGUAUGUAAUGUGGCACUUUUUUGCUAAUGCGUUGUAUACUGUUAUUUCUUUCUCUUUUGAUAUUGGAAGUGUUGGUUGUAUUAAUGAAAUAAUUCGUUUCAAUAGUAUAUGACUUAGUUUUAAUAGUAUUAUUCAGUUUUCUAAUAGCACUCGGGUGGGAACGUGGGUCGGCUCAUGUUUUAGUCUCUCCAUCGUAAGCAAUUUUACAUGGCAUUCUUCAAUGUGGCUAUAGGUAAGACAACACUCUCAGUAUUCCAUAAUCAAACCACCAUUUGAACUUUUUUCGUCCACCAAGUUAAGCUUUUAUGUGCCAUCUUGAAUAGUUAUAAGUUAUUGAUUCAGAUUGCUCCAGUGAGACAUUGUUGUUCUAUUGCUUACCUCUCAAGCUUGCUUAAUAUACUUAUUCUUAUUACUGUUGUAUUGUUAAGAAAUACUCAACUGCGAUUUCAGUUCAUUGUUAUGAAUCAGAUUCAAAUUAACCACUCACUAGUUAAUUAUCUAAAUCCUAUAAAUUUGGAUUAAAAUUAAAGCAACUCCAGAACAAAAACCUCAAGAAAUCGAUGCGAAUUUACCUGUAUUUGAUCAUUUGUGGGAAAAUCAACACAUCGCCGUCGGAAAACUCAGUUCCUUCAUGUCCUUCAAUUACAGUCAUCGACGUCUAUCAAAAAACCAAGAAAAAAAGUAAGUAACGGAGUCAGCUCAGCUCAACACCAGAACUCAGUAGCUCCAGGAAAUAAGAAACGUCAGAAACACCAACGAAUUGGGUUGGAAAACGGACCUUAAAGGUGAUGUCGUUCUUGCGAGCUUUGAGAGCGGAAGUGAAGAACUUAGGGAGUGGAUCGGACUUAGAGCCGUUGAUGCACCACGGCCAGGCCUCGGGGGUCUUGUAGCAGAAGAAAACGUGGCGAAUGUCCAACUGUGUAUCGUCAUCAGUGUCUUCAUCAGACAAAUCCCAUUUUACCAUAUCCACUCCUGUUUUGUUCUCCUUAAUUCUAUUAUCUCCUCCAUAAAAUUCCGCUUUUAGAAGAACCAUGUCACCGCCUUUCAGAUUGAGCUUCUUGUUUGAAAGAUUUCCCAACCAAAGAUAAUAUUCAUGGGAAGCAGUUACGGUGGCCUUCAUUGGCCAGAUGCGAAACUUAGUUCGCUGGGUACAAUUAACAACAUCAAUGCAUAGAGACCCGGUAGAGUCGGAGUUGUCUAAAGAAUAAACGAUGCCCAAAGCCAACCCUCCUAUAUAAUCAAUACUUGGCGGCACUUGAAAUUUGACAGUUUUAUCCUCUCCCGUGACAUAGGCUAACCAGUUAGGAAUAUCAUUUCCGGAGAGAAAAAUUCCACCAAAUGCAUUUCUCUACAACAUGGGGUGCAAAGUCAGUAUAAGCAACAAUACAGAGAGAGAGAGAGAGAGAGAGAGAGAGAGAGAGAGAGAUACCCUUCGGAGGUUCUCCUUAAAAGUAUCAGUGAGACUGGUACACCCUUCCAUAAGAAUUGAAUACAUGUGGUCCAAUGAGUUCUCCAAGUUUGGAAUAUCUUUGAGUUUGCGGCAGUUCGGCAAAUCUGACAUUGUUUUACCUAUAUUGCCCAUACCCCUAAUUCCAAUUAUUUGAACAUCAGGUGAACGUCCAACAUCUAAGUAUUCAGUACUGACGUCUAAGUAUUCAGUACUGAAGUUCUGCACACGAGAAGUCAUUCCAUCUGAGUGCUUGGCUUCUUUUAAGUCUGCAGUUUUCAAUAGUUCCUUGAUGUUCCCAACAAUUUUCUCGAUAAACACUCCUUCACGCCUACGAGUAGGAAUUCCAAAUUACGUGAGCCAUACUAAAUGCCUUAUUCAUAAUGACUAGAUAUUUACAUAUUGAAACAGAUUUGAAUAAACUGGAUUAAUUGAGCUCAAUUCAACCACGUAUCUAAUCUUCGAUUAUAAUGUAAAUACAUCAGAUCAUUGGUCAUCGGACUAUUACACAAUUGUAGCCUUCAGAUUUAUAAUUAAGAAUCCAUAACAAUUGGUAUUUUAAUUUGAUAAAGUGGAGCAUUUGUCCUUCACACACCCAUAAAAAACAAAGCACGACCCUACAUUUCACUUCCUUAAUUUCAAUGAAAAUUCUUAUGAAAAUGCUCUACCUUUUAUAAAAUUCAUAUACCAAUUAUAAUAAAUUUUUAUGUAGGGACCAAAAUUACAGUUCUAUCAUUGUUCAGGAUCAACGAUCCAAUUUUUCUUCUAACAUAUAAACUCAGAUCCAAUGCCUUAAUUAUAAAAUCUUAAUUUUGGUUGAUUAGUGAAAUAUGGUGAUACGAAAUUUGAAGUAAACAAAAAAGUAUACCCGUCGGCCGUGGUUUUGAGGUUCCAGCCAACCAAAUCUGCAGAAGCCUUAAGAUCCUCUCUCCACUGCUUGACCUCGUUUGGAUCUUCAUCCCAUUCAUGCUUCUGAAAUGCUUUCCCAAAACUAUCAUUCUGUUUCCUGACUUGAGAAGGGUCAACGUCGUAGAAUAUUGGACAUACUAUUUUCCCCUCUUGAUCUUUUAGGCACCUCAUGAUCUUCGACAGCUCCCUCAGGCACCAUCGGGACUCCGCGUACCUCUUCGAGAAGAUGAUGACGGCGAUUCUCGACCCUUCGAUUUCUUGGUCAAGUUCACUCUGUAUGUUUCCCCCCCUUGUGAGCUGGUAGUCUAUGGAAGUGUUGAUUCCGGCAUUGCGUAACGCAAUGAAGAGGUGGUCUGUGAAGGUAGUGCGCGUGUCGUCGCCUCUAAAGCUCAGGAACACCUCGUACUUCCACCGGUUUGAGCUCUGCGAGGAAGACGAAGAGGCUGCAACGCCGGCUCCAUGGGCGGAGCUGCUGGUAUCCAUUGUAGCCUGUAGAAGUGCAGCUUGGCUUUCAAAUAACCAAAGUCAAGUCUUUCCCAAGAUUCCCCGGUGUAGGCAGCCCUUUUAAAUUUUUUUGCAUGGGUCAAUGAUGUCACUGCCGUGUCGAUAACGUGUGAGUGCUAUUCCUCCGACAAUUUAAUUUGUAUAAAUGUCACCAUCAAAUUUUAAUAAAAAUUGUAUAACUGCUACGAUGCAAUUUCCUUUCUUCUGUAGUUUUUUUGAGAAAUCUGCUGCCCAAUUUUGACCAGUUGACGUGCGCAGGUCAAUCCAACUGUCCCUGCUGGUGGACGGAAGAAUCUUUGUUAGAGUAGGAAUUCCAAAUUACGCUUUAUUCAUAAUGACUAGAUAUUUACAUAUUGAAACAGAUUUGAAUAAAUUGGAUUAAUUGAGCUCAAUUCAACCAUGUAUCUAAUCUUCGAUUAUAAUGUGAAUACAUCAGAUCAUUGGUCAUCGGACUAUUACACAAUUGUAGCCUUCAGAUUUAUAAUUAAGAAUCCAUAACAAUUGGUAUUUUAAUUUGAUAAAGUGGAGCAUUUGUCCUUCACACACCCAUAAAAAACAAAACACGUACCCUACGUUUCACUUCCUUAAUUUCGAUGAAAAUUCUUAUGAUGUGACUGCCGUGUUGAUGAAAAUUCUUAUGAUGUGACUGUCGUGUCGAUAACGCGCGAGUGCUAUUCCUCCCACAAUUUAAUUUGUAUAAAUGUCACCAUCAAAUUUUAAUAAAAAAUUGUAUAUAACUGCUACGAUGCAAUUUCCUUUCUUUUGUGAGAAAUCUGCUGCCCAAUUUUGGCCAGUUGACGUGCGCAGGUCAAUCCAACUGUCCCUGCUGGUGUACGGAAGAAUCUUUGUCGGAGUAGGAAUUCCAAAUUACGUGAGCCAUACUAAAUGCUUUAUUCAUAAUGACUAGAUAUUUACAUAUUGAAACAGAUUUGAAUAAAUUGGAUUAAUUGAGCUCAAUUCAACCAUGUAUCUAAUCUUCGAUUAUAAUGUGAAUACAUCAGAUCAUUGGUCAUCGGACUAUUACACAAUUGUAGCCUUCAGAUUUAUAAUUAAGAAUCCAUAACAAUUGGUAUUUUAAUUUGAUAAAGUGGAGCAUUUGUCCUUCACACACCCAUAAAAAACAAAGCACGUACCCUACGUUUCACUUCCUUAAUUUCGAUGAAAAUUCUUAUGAUGUGACUGCCGUGUCGAUGAAAAUUCUUAUGAUGUGACUACCGUGUCGAUAAAGCGCGAGUGCUAUUCCUCCCACAAUUUAAUUUGUAUAAAUGUCACCAUCAAAUUUUAAUAAAAAUUGUAUAACUGCUACGAUGCAAUUUCCUUUCUUUUGUGAGAAAUCUGCUGCCCAAUUUUGGCCAGUUGACGUGCGCAGGUCAAUCCAACUGUCCCUGCUGGUGGACGGAAGAAUCUUUGUCGGAGUAGGAAUUCCAAAUUACGUGAGCCAUACUAAAUGCUUUAUUCAUAAUGACUAGAUAUUUACAUAUUGAAACAGAUUUGAAUAAAUUGGAUUAAUUGAGCUCAAUUCAACCACGUAUCUAAUAUUCGAUUAUAAUGUGAAUACAUCAGAUCAUUGGUCAUCGGACUAUUACACAAUUGUAGCCUUCAGAUUUAUAAUUAAGAAUCCAUAACAAUUGGUAUUUUAAUUUGAUAAAGUGGAGCAUUUGUCCUUCACACACCCAUAAAAAACAAAGCACGUAUCCUACGUUUCACUUCCUUAAUUUCGAUGAAAAUUCUUAUGAUGUGACUGCCGUGUCGAUAACGCGCGAGUGCUAUUCCUCCCACAAUUUAAUUUGUAUAAAUGUCACCAUCAAAUUUUAAUAAAAAUUGUAUAACUGCUACGAUGCAAUUUCCUUUCUUUUGUGAGAAAUCUGCUGCCCAAUUUUGGCCAGUUGACGUGCGCAGGUCAAUCCAACUGUCCCUGCUGGUGGACGGAAGAAUCUUCGUUGGAGUAUCAAUGGGAAGAGACCUCAUCUCCAACAACCUAUCUUAACAAAAGAUGCAGAAAAUUAAACGCCAAGAGGCUACUUUCUUUAUUUUGUGAACAGUAACGAACUAGAAGGAUCAGUGUCGUAAAAUAAGUAAUUUACUUGCCCAAAAUAAGAAUCAAUUUAGCUACGAAACCAAGGAGAUGAUUGAGCUCAAGAUAGCAGCUUUUAUCCUAUCGUCUUGCAAGGAAAACAAGCUACGAAUUGCUUGCAUCAUCCGAAGCUAUCCAACCAAUGGUUGAAUUUCUCAGUCAAGACUAUGCUGAAGGCAUCAGUGUGCAGGCCAGACUCGAUAGCAUAGCCACACUAAACCUCUCGCGCUGCCAUCAGAUUAUUUUGUCUCAGGUCUCUUCGGGCGUAGUGUUCUCAGUAAUAAUCCAAGGCUUGGAAAAAUCAAGCCAACCGGUUGAGAAGGCAAUUGUGCUACUUGACGACAUUGUUUCUUCAUCGAAGACUGCGCUCAAGGAAACUGCAGGUACGUGCAGCACAAUCUGGGUGCUGGUUGAGACAAUCGAAGGGGGAUCGAUGAAAUGCAAGGAGCACGCAGCGAGUAUACUCCUGCUUAUAUGCAAGAGGUGCAGAGAGAACUACAGAGGACUGAUACUGAGAGGAGGAGCAAUGCCCGGACUGCUUCAGCUGAGUGGAUGGGACGCGCACGGCUAACACUGCGGCAUGGAAGUUGCUGUUUCUUUUGACUGUUCCAAUUAUGGUUCGAGAAACAAGCAAUCAAGGAAUAAGUUGACGGUGUGAGUACAACGGCAUUGAGACCGUUCCAAUUAUGCAGGAAAUUGAUGCAGAAGGAGAAAAAGUUGACAGGGUGAGUACAACGGCAUUGAGGCUGGUGGAGGACAUGCUUGCAGAGAUCAGCAGUGGACGAUGAUCUCGACCAAAUUCUGAGCUUUACCAAGAAGAUUAAAAUGUUGGAACAGCCGUUUAUCUCGUUUAUUGAACAAACGAUGAGGACAACAAUGCCGUCUAGCCUCUUUCAAAAUUUAGACUUCUUUCUCAUAAAAAUUGACAGAAUCUACGGUUGAAUUAAAGUCCAACAGGCAAAUUGAAAACAAUCACAAGAGCUUAGAAAAUACCACACCAACAUUUGGCCAGCAGUCUCACAACAAAUCCCACUGUCAAGAUAAAACCAUUCAACAGUGUAUUGGAACAACAAAUUUCAGUUGUGUAAGCAAUCAACAUAAAGGAACACUGAAUACUUUUGUAACUAUAUAUGGAUUAGCUUCGGGAAUUCAUCAAACCCUCCAAAAAAGAACGUAUAGUGUAGCUACCAUAUUCUCCUUUCAUAUAAGAGCUUAUUUAAUUAAUGUUAUAACACCUUUCUACCAAGAAAAAAAAGAAGAAAAUACGGCCUCUACACCCGUGGCAAAACCCGACAUGGAUUAGAGUACGUUUCAGCCUAACCUUCUGUAAAAGCUAUAGGCCACAGCCACUGUUACCACUGCUCCAACCACGGCAGCAGCUGCGAGAACAUCGCUUUGCUCCCAGUUCCCGAUCAAGCUUGACAGCUUCCCUAGGGAAUCCUUCCUGGCACAAGACUCUCUGGUUUCUUUCACCUUCUUUUCCUCACUUCCAUCGUUCUGCUCUAAACUUACUUCUUUGCAGCAUGUAAAUCCUUUACUAUUUGCACCCUGGCAACAGCCUGAAAGGUUCUCAUUAUUCUGAAUCUGAUUGCCGUUUUCUUGGGGCUUCUCCUCGAUUUUCUUUCUCCUCCAUUUGGAAGCUUCUGGUCAUUAAUUUUUUCAGCUUCAUCCGAAGAUGCUCCCAUUUUGCCCCUGUAAGGAAUGAAAUUGAAUUUCAAGUUCAGCCAUAUAAAGAUUCAACUCUAUGUUUCAUCAAUAGCAAUCGAGUAAGGACAUGUAUGAUCAAGCUUAAUAAACAAUUUGACAACAGUGCCUACUUGACCCCGGCCCCCCUUCCCCAAAACCACCUUUGGUUUGGUUUAUCUAUAAAAACAAAAAAAGUAGUUUGAUUUGGUUCACACGAGUUGUUUGAUUUGGUCCCUCAAUGUUAAUGUAACUCCAUAUCAAUAAUCUAUCAUACAACACUAUAAGUAAUCAGCAAUAGGAAAAUAUGACAACAGAAGCUUCAGUUCCAGUGAACUUUUCAUCAGCAGACAGUAGGCAAACCUGAAAACACACAAACCUCCAAAGUCGUUCUAUGAUCUAUCCCUUCCCAAUAUGCUGAUCAAGCAAUUCCGGCACAUCCUCAGUAGUGACGUAGCCAUACCUGCAAUUAUUAAUACCAUAAUAUUCAAAUUCCUUCAUCUAUCCCAAUACAAUAAAUUUUAAAUUGUUAUGAUCCGGAUAUUACCAAUGGCCUGUUAUGCUUCCAUCUGAACGUGGGCUGUAGACAAUCAAGUUUCCAGCAUACUUGUGGUCUCCAAUGUGAGAGCAAGCAGUAACAAAUACCUGAUUUGUUAAUCGUCGCAGCUCAGCCUCCUCUUUGAACUUAUCAAUGAGGACAGGUCGACAAACUCCACAUCUUUUAUCUCGACUACCAUGUGCACAUACAAAUACAUGGGAGCCAGUCAACGCCUCUUGCACUCCGGAAGCCCAUGGUUUGUCAUUCACAAGGACAUCAUCAACAAAGCUUUCCACAUCCGACUCUUUCAGGCCCCUUUGAUCAAGAAACAACAAACACCUCAGAAUCACAAAAGGAAUUUACAGGAAACAAUAACCUAACACUCUUUAAUUCCUUGUAAGGCAAGGGAUUAGUCGUAAACUGAGCCAUUAAAUUCAAUUUCUAGAACUAAUUUCAGAAGCUAACACAUAUCUAAUUAUCUAUUUAGUUCAGUAAACUCAGCACAAUCUCGUAAUCAAAAUAGAAGUUGAAACAGAAAUAAAACACUAAAUGCGGUCACAACUUGCAUUCAAUCAAUUUCCAUGAAAAUCACGAGAAAUUUUUCUUUGUGCCGGGAACAUGGCCCGAUACACAAAGUGUAAUAAUACAAUUGGUUGGAAACCACGCCGUGUUACCGGCACCCAACCUCUGAGUAAACAAGGAAAAUUUCAAGGUAUCAACACCAAAACUAGUCCAAAACACACUAAAUUAGCUCAAUUCGAGACUUCGUAAAUUGAAAUCGGAAAAUCAUAAACUCUAUCUCUAGUUAGCAAUCAUUGAAAUCUCCAAGUCAAAUAAAGCAAAUCUGAAGAAUCAAACACCACUCACUGGUUAAUUAUCUAAAUCCUAUAAAUUUCGGUUAAAAUUAAGCAACUACAGAGCAAAAAUCUCAAGAAAUGAACGUGAAUUCACCUGUAUUUGAUCAUUUGUGGGAAAAUCAACACAUCACCGUCGGAAAACUCAGUUCCUUCGCGUCCUUCAAUUACUGUCAGCAAAGUCUAUCAAAAACCAAGAAACAAAGUGAGUAACGGAGUCAACUCAGCUCAACACCAGAACUCAGUAGCUCCAGGAAAUAAGAAACGGUAAGAAAAAGCGAUCAGCAACGCCGACGAAUUGAGCUGAAAAACGGACCUUAACGGCGAAGUCGUUCUUGCGAGCUUUGAGAGCGGAGGCGAAGAACUUAGGUAGCAGAGGAAGACGUGGCGGUCGUAGGCGUUGACGGUACCGGCAAGUUUUUCCUUGAACAUCUCCUAUCUCUUGAAACCGAAUUUCUCGUCUUCGGCGGCGGUGACGGCGGCAGAGAGGUCGUCGGAGGCCAUUGCCAGGGCUCGGAGAGGAGGAAUGAGGGGUUUAGCGGGGGUUGAAGUUGAAAACGAUGAGAGCGAAAAGAUGAGAGAGAAAGAACAUUGUUGUUUGGAGUUGGUGUGGGUGUAGGUGCGCAAUGCGCAUACGGCGCACGAUAGGGUUUCUGAGGCGAUCUGCAGCCAUAGGACUCGUUGUAGUUCUCUAGCCCUCCAAAAUUCUUCAAGAUAUUAAUAUUUUAAUAAACAAUACAGGAUCAUAUUUGUCUCCGUCUCCAACCGAGGGUCAGAGGGCUAGAGGGCUCGUUUUAGCCUUUUCACAAAAAAUCAUCUCCAACCGAGGGCCAAAGAGCAAUAGGGCCAAACAUAAUUUAUUAUUUAAAAACUACAACUUAAAUAGACAUAAAAAGGUUUUAUGUUUUUAAAUAUUUUUAAAAAUGUUGUUUAAGUUUCAUGUUGUAUAAUUUUUAUGUUGGUUAAUGUUAUUUAAUGUUGUUUCAUAUUGUUUAAUGUUGUUUCAUGUUACUUAAUUUAAUUUAAUGUUGUAUAAUGGCUUAGGAAGUUAUAGGAAAAAAAAUAGAAUUUAAAAAAAAUAUGAAACAAAUUUUGUGAAAUAGAAGUUAUAGGAAAAAUGGAAUUUAAAAAAAUAUGAAACAAAUUUUGUGAAAUAGAAGUUAUAGGAAAAAAAUGGAAUUUUAAAAAAAAAUAUGAAACAAAUUUUGUGAAAUAGAAGUUAUAAGAAAAAAAUGGAAUUUAAAAAAAAUAUGAAACAAAUUUUGUGAAAUAGAAGUUAUAAGAAAAAAAUGGAAUUUAAAAAAAAUAUGAAACAAAUUUUGUGAAAUAGAAGUUAUAGGAAAAAAAUAUGAAAUAUAUUUUGUGAAAUAGAAGUUAUAGGAAAAAAUAGAAGUUAUAUGAAUGUAAAAAAAUAAUAAUAAUAAAAUUGUAAAAAAAAAAAAUCAAAUGCAACGGCUACUAGCCGUUGCAUUUGAAUUUUUUCUUAAGAAAUCAUGUCGGUUAUAACCGACAGAAAUACAUGCUAUUAUUUAAUAUAAUGUAUUACUAUCGGUUAUACAUGCUAUUAUUUAGUAUAAAUGUAUUAAUGUCGGGCUGGCUAGCUGCAUGCAGCCCUCCAGCCCUCUCCGAUUUCAUGGGACCCUUCCAGAUUCCAGAGCUCUCUGGCCUAGCCCUCUGUUGGAGACGAUUUUCGGGCUAUUUUCGACUCUCUGACCCUCUGGAUCCUUCGGUUGGAGAUGGCCUGAAGGUCAGAGUGGGGACGUGUGGGGUUUGAUUUGUAGUUCAUGUAUUUACCCCUUUUGAUAUCUCUGAUCAUAUUGGACGGAAGCUAAAAGAUAAUUCAUGCACGCAAAAAUGGAAGGCCCUACAAACGGAGGAGGACAAUGUCUGCACGGAAAAUCAUCCUCUCUGAAUUUCUUUCUCCUAAUCUAACAAGUUCGGGAUCUGAAUCGUUAAAAUUUGAUCCAACAAUUAAGGUUAUUAUAACUUUUAAAGUGGACUUCUGUUUGUAGUCGUUGAAUCAAAUUUUAACGGUCUGGAUCCCCGAACUUGAUGGAUUAGAAAGAAGAGAUCCUUUCCUAUCUGCACCCAGGAAGUGGGUACAAGCGCGUGGGAUUUAAUUUUGUGAUUCAUUGCUGCCUGAGGAUUUUUUGGCGGUAGGUUGGAGGGAACCGACUGAGAGCAAAAUUGUAAAAUCCCCUAAACUCGGUGACGUGGCAACCUGUAAUUCUGAAAGGGUUCCGGAUCCUUUCGUUCUAAUAUAUCAAGUUCGGUGAUCAAGACCAUUGAAAUUUAAUCAAACAACUACAAAGAGGGACUCGCUUUAAAAGUUAUAAUGACUUUAACCGUUAGAUUAAAUUUCAAUGAUUAGAUUAAGAAAAAAAAAGAUCCGAAGAUAGAUCUAUUUUCAUGUAAUUCGGCCUUUACAUUCUGUCAAGAAACAGGCCGGUCACUUCGUUGAUUAAGUCAAGCCGUAAGCCUUGGUCCAACGUGGACAACUUCUAGAUGUCUUGUUUCUUUCAUUAAUUUAUUUCUUGAGAAUGACUUUUAAUAUUUGAUUUAAUUUUUUUGGUUAAUUAUUGAAUUUAAUUUGUCAAUGGCUCAAUUUUGGGGUGGGAUCAAAAAACCGAAAACCAAACUGAACCGAAACCGAAAAAAUCGAACCGAACGAAAAAACCGAACCGAAUUGAAAAAACCAAACCGAACCGAACUCUUUUGGUUCGGUUCGGUUUUGGUGGUCUAGAAAUCGAACCAAACCGAACAGAACCGAAAUAAUUAAAUUAAUAUUUUUUUAAUUUUAUUUCUUUAAUUAUUUGAUUUUAUUAUAUUAGAAUAUGAUACUUCAUACUGCUGCUUUGGUAGGAUUUGUUUGCUUUCCAAUUCAAAUUGUCUUCUCAGCUUCUCCAUCUACAACAAAAAUUAGAACUUAUACCAUUACAUGCAAUAUUUCUAGUUUAUAUCAUUAAGUGCAACACAUAUAUAAGAACACAUAUCUCAACUGCACUGCAGUUGAUUAGGAAAAGCAAACAGCGUAUAAAAGUCUCAUGAGUUUAUUAAACACUACGAGAUCAAAAACAAAAUUCAAACUUUCUCACCUAUGGCCAAGUAUAGUAGCUUCCGCGGCCUAACAAUUUUGAAAAGUAUAUCAAUAUAUUCAAAAAUAUUGAUGAACACCUCUUCAAAAUUUGCUGGUGGUAGAAGCUGAACACAGAAUGUAGAAAUUAUAUUAUGUCACCACAUUUAUGGAUAAAAAAAAUUUGGAUCAUAAAGAUAAAGAAAAUAUCAAAAAUUGUUACCUAGACAAUAAUCAAAAUAAAUAGUAUAUUAUAGAAUGUUUAUCUUAUUGCUAGUGAAGAAUACAUGUGUGUGUGUGUGUGUGUGUGUGUGUGUAUAUAUAUAUAUAUAUAUAUAUAUAUAUAGAGAGAGAGAGAGAGAGAGAGAGAGAGAGAGAGAGAUUGAGAGAAAGAGAGAAAUGAAUAAGGUCGUACUCCAUCAUCAUCGUCUAAAAAGAAAUCUAUUUACAGUUAAACUUUAAACCCAAAAUAUUAAAAAAAACCUUUAUGUUAUAAUUCUAUUUGAACUUUAAAUGUUUAUUUUCAUUAUCUUUUAAGUCUAGCCGGAAUGUUUAUGUUAUGAUUGUGUUGGAUAUGUUAAAAUUUAAGAUUUCAAAUUUUUUCAUUUUUUGAAAAAAAAUCGAAACCGAACCGGAAAAAACCAAACCGAUUUGAACCGAACCCACCCCUAGCUCAAUUUGCCAAUUUGUCAAUGAUACAAUUUAGGAUGGUGCUAUUCACUCAACUAUUUUUACUUCUCGAGUAUCUUCUUUAAUUUAUUUGAUUUAACAGCUAAACAUUGAGAGGGGUGUGUGAAACGUAAAAUAGUUUUUUAAUAGCACACCCCUACAAUUUAAAUACAAAGGAGUGUAGAUUUCAAACAACGAUUGAAUUUUAAGAUGACGCAUUUUGUUGAUUUUUCACAUUUAAGUUUGAAAUGAGCCGUUUUCGUAAUCUAUUAUAUUUAUUCUUGUGAUGCGUGUUUCAGUUGAAAAAACUAUCGUUUUCCAAAAAAAAAUAAUAAUAAAGAAAUGUAGGGUAAGGAUAGCAUUUAAAUAUUUAUGUUGAGAGUAAGGAAAAGAUAGAGAUGUGUAAAAUUCAUUUCCAUUCAUACAUUUUCGUGUUGUUUAUGUUGGUCUUUCAAUUAUUUAUGUUGAGAGUAAGGGAAUAAUUUGUACUAGGCAGUGUCAAAUUACAACCCUAAUUGAAAAACAUCUUGUUCGCCUGACCUAUGAAGGCCUACAGUGGAUACCUAGGCAUCCAGAGACGAGGAAGGGCAUAGUAAGCGAUGAAAUGCUUCAGAGAGUUGAAAAAUAAGCGUGGAUCCAAAUAUUCCGAAAUAUUUGACUGUUUCGAGCAAUAUGUAGGCCAAAAGACGGACGAUACAUAAACAGAUUAUUCGAAGUAGGGAUUCAUAAACAUCAAGUAUACAUUCUGUUGGAUAGUGGCCAAAUUAGUGGCCAAGUGGCCAAAAGCAUAUAAUAAAAAAUGAAGGAAUAAUGAUGUGGGAACAUCAUUAUGACGAGACAAAUGAUUAUGUUUGUUGAAAAGAAAAAUGAAGGUCAUGAUGAUGUUUGUAAAGGAAUGAUUAUUCAUUUACUUUGGAUUUUUUAUUGGGUGCUUUUGUAUGGAUGAAGGUUGCAGCCGAAUGAGGCCUUUUGGUUAUAUUAAGGCAUUCGAUUAUGCCUUUGGUUGUGUGGUGGAGCAGCAUCAGAUGAGAGCCAUACCAAGGAGAGCGUUCGGCUCUCCUAUUUGAAACAGUGUUGCUCAUUUCCAUUUGUUAGUAAUCCCUCAAUCAAAGAUGUUGCUGCUACAUGUUGUGUAGCUUUUGGGAGAGAUGGUAUUUGAUGUGUGUCCAUCUUCUCCAAUUGUUCUUUGUGAGAGUGAGAGUUAUUAGGUGUAUGUGGGAUUUGGGUUUGAGAGUUAAAACUCUAUUUGUAAUCUCCUUUUGAUAUUAGUGGAAUUUCCUCGCCAUCUCGGAACUGGACGUAGGCUUACUCCGAAUCAGUAUAAAUCCUUGUGUCAUUUGUCGAAAUUGUCUUAUCAUAUUUUGCUGUUGUAGCUUAUUGGUUUCAUAUUUGAUACUUCCGCACAACAAGUGGUAUCAGAGCUCCGGAUUUCGACUUGGGGGCUUUGUACAUGUAUGUCUAUGAAACCUUCGAAUAUGUUGGUGAAAUAUGAUUGAAAAAUUCGACGGGAGGAAUGACUUUGGCAUUUGGUCAAUUGGAGAUACAAGUUUUGCUUGCAUUGUUGCGAAAUGCGUGGCAUUGAAGAAGGAUGGUAAGGGAUCAUGCUGCAAUCCCUGAGCUCGCAGAUUGGAGAAUAGUUCCGAAAACAUCAUAUUUGCUGCAAUGUUGUUGAAGUGUUGGUGUUCGAAGGUUGCAGGUGUAGUGUACUGUUUUGGUAGAUUAUCCGUUGGUCAUCGCUGCAUCGACAGUGUUUGUGGGCUGUUGUCGACAAGUUGAGUGGGAAGGAGAAAAAGUAGAAGCUGUUGAGAAUUGAAAAGAAAAUGUUGGUUCCUUUUCUUUCGGCAUUUGUUUUGGCAGAAGGACAUCAUGAUGACAAAUGAUGUUGUUGGCUGAAAAAAAAAAAAGGUUAAGUUUUCUUCUCUUUGGCAUUUUUUCAACGGUAGAGAAUUUUUUCUUCACUCCCAUUGGUUGCCUUUGGAGCAAGUUGAUGGAAACAUUGGAGGAGUUUGUGAGGGCCAAUUUGUUGAGUUCUGCAAUUUUGGAUAGUGAGGCACCACACUAUUUUGGAUACACCACAUGCAUUGCAGAACAUUUGUGUGGAACCCUCUUGUAGAAGGCAAGUUAUAUGCUUUCUAACUUUGUUUGGUCUAUGGACAUUGGUUGGAUUUGUUUGCCACUGAUAUUUGGUUUGUUGGUCUCUAGCAUCUGGAAUAUGCUUUGUUGAAGACUCAUGUUGAGGUAUGGUUUUGGAUCUCCUACUGAUUAUUUGAAUUUGAAAUAUUUGGUUAUCCUAUUGGUGCUCAUGUGAUGAUGGUAAACUUGAGUGAAGGGCAUAAUAUUGAUAUUCAUAGGAUCUGAAUUUGGGUGAAAGGUUUUGUAUGUGGUAUGUUAAACAUUGUUGCCAAAUUUUGUAAUCAGUUUUGACUUGGAGAAUGUGCCCUGCUAUGUGAAUGAAUCUAUUGGUGCAGUUUAAGACCAUGGUGUUUGUAAGCAGGUGGAGUUCGUUAUGUGUCCAACUUUGGUAUGGUGUGCUUGAUCUUUUGUCGGUGAUAUUAAAGAAUUUCAGUUCUUCGUUUGAAUCACCUUUGUUUUGAUCAAGGCACUUAUGGUUUGCAAAUCUGGAGAAGACGGUAGAGAAAUGGUCUACUUUUGUUGGCUCUGGUACAAUUUGAAUUGAGGUGGAGAUCAUUAUAGUACCGAAAAGUUAGGGGAAUUUGAUUUAGUUCCCGUUGUCUUUAGUUUGUACUUUGGGUGCUUAUGGUGAUUGUUGAUUCGAUUCUCUGUGAUGUUUUCGAAAUUUGGCAAAGGUGGAGAUUGUUGGAUAGUUGCCAAAUUAGUGAAAAAGUUGUCAAAAGCAUAUAAUAAAAAAUGAAGGACAUAAUGAUGUCGGAACAUCAUUAUGAGGAGACAAAUGAUUAUGUUUGUUGAAAAGAAAAAGAAAGGUCAUGAUGAUGUUUGUAAAGGAAUGAUUUACUUUGGAUUUUUUAUUGGGUGCUUUUGUAUGGAUGAAGGUUGCAGCCGAAUGAGCGAGAGAAGGUAGAGCCUUUUGGUUAUAUUAAGGCAUUCGAUUAUGCCUUUGGUUGUGUGGGGAAGCGGCAUCAGAUGAGAGCCAUACCAGGGAGAGCGUUCGGCUCUCUCAUUUGAAACAGUGCUGCUCUUUCCCAUUUGUUAGUAAUCCCUCAAUCAAAGAUGUUGCUGCUACAUGUUGUGUAGCUUUUGGGAGAGAUGAUAUUUGAUGUGUGUCCAUCUUCUCCAAUUGUUCUUUUUGAGAGUGAGAGCUAUUGGGUGUACGUGGGAUUUGAGUUUGAGAGUUAAAACUCUAUUUGUAAUCUCCUUUUAAUAUUAGUGGAAUUUCCUUGCCAUCUCAAAACUGGACGUAAGCUUACGCCAAACCAGAUCCUUGUGUCAUUUGUCGAAUUUGUCUUAUCAUAUUUUGCCGUUGUAGCUUAUUGGUUUCAUAUUCGACGCUUCUGCACAACACAUUCCUCAAAAUUUUCAAUGCAAUUGGAUUUCCUCAAAUCUCAGGAACUACCAGAUUGUAAUGCUUGCAAUGGAAAGGAACCAUUGUGUACAUGUAGUAACCACACGAAUCAGUUGGAGACUUGUUUUUCAUCAGAGGAAAACAAAAGGCUAAGAAUCAAAAGAAAUCAAUCUCUAAAUAAUUACCCGAAGGCUUCAAAUCAACGCCCGGCAUCUUCCCGUUCAUGGGUUCUUUCGGUGUAUCAGGAGUCUCCAAUAUGUAGUGCUUUGGCACCUGGGGUGGAGUUGUACAGCGAAUCAGUGCCCAAUUCACGCUUUGGAAAAACGGAUGUUGUUUAACUUCUGUUGCUCCCCGCCUAUACGCAAGACGAUGCUGUGGCUCCUUGACAAGUAAACCUCUGAUCAAGUCCCUGGCUGCAAAGCUGACAGAAGGCAACUCUGGAAAUCUUAAAGGCUGGCCAACCACAUUAAACAAAGUAGCCCGGUUUCCUUGCCCCUUGAAUGGAGUUCUUCCGAACAAAAGCUCGUAGAGAAAGAUCCCAAAGGUCCACCAAUCUACAGCGCUGCCAUGGCCUUCACCUUUAAUGAUUUCAGGCACCAAGUACUCGUGUGUUCCCACAAAGGACAUUGAUCUAGCACUUGUCGGUUCUGCAACGAGUUCAGGGAGAGGGCUCACUUGAUUGUAUACAUCAUUAUCAUUGUUCUUCACCUUGAUCUUUUUAUCUUUCUUGGGUUUGCCCUUGAAAAUGCGUGGACCAAAACAUGUGGGCGUAAUGCAAUCCGGCUGCAUUACACAAGUUGGCUGGAUGCACGCAGGCUGAACACAAUAUGCUGAUUUCUUUGUCUCCAAACUUAAGUUUGAAGAUCUUACCAGGGUGGGGGAAACGGCACAUCUUAAAGAAAGGUCGAAAUCUGAAAGCAUUAUAUGUCCAUCUUCCCUCACCAAAACAUUCUCUGGUUUGAGGUCUCUGUAAAUGAUCCCGAGCAUAUGCAAAUAUUCCAAGGCAAGAAGAACUUCAACCACAUAAAACCUGCAAAAACAAACGGGAGAUAAACACACGAGAAUUAUUAUCUUCAGCAUGUCCCCAGCACUGGCAAAUAAACGUGUGCAAAACACUUGAUGUCCUUCUAGUUUAUAGGUUUACUCCUGCCUUUUCUCUGCAGGCUAUUGAAAUAUGAUUCCUAUUGUAACCUAAACUGAAAUGUGUAUGUGCACUAAUCAAAAAGUAAACUGAAAGGAGAAGUAUGAAGGAAUAUCUAACCUAGCAGCAUGCUCCGAAAAAUGCUUCCCAGGUUGUUUUUGUCUGAGUGCAUGCAGAUCACCCCAGGGACAAAACUCCAUCACCAAACAAGAUACCUUCUCCGUCUCAAAGUGUGUAUACAAUGUUGGCAGGAAAGGAUGAUCCAGAGAUUGCAGUAUUUCCCUCUCUGUCUGAGCCCUAAGAAGUUUUUUCCUACUUGCCAGUAAUGCUUUAUCCAUAACCUUCAUGGCGAAAUAAGUUUUAGUGCCAAUCAGUUCAGCCAAAUAAACGCUGCCUAUAUCUCCACAUCCCAGUGUCCUCAACAACUUGAAAUGCUCCUUACCCAGUGUUCCAUCAUGAUGAGAUCGCGCAGCUUGCACCGCUUCCCAACUAAUAUCAUUUGCCUUGUGGGGCUUGUACAUGGCAUUGCUCAAACUACUGGAGCUGCUCUCAUCGCUAACAUCGCUGCCAGUGCUGCCUCUAUAGAUGCUGGUCGUCCUGCUCUCAAUAAGAUCACAGGAAUUAGUAACUUCACUGCUUUCAACAGACUUCUCCACACUGUUGAUACAUUCACUGACUUCUGUAUUGGUGAAACUCUGCUUGGCUUCACAAUAUAGAGAGGCAGAAUAUAAACUGUUCUGAGGGCUUGCACAGUGAGAAAUGAGGUGGCUAUUUGUCUGCCCGGCUACUCCUUUAUAAGGAACCAAACCGUGAUUUCUAGAUUCCAUAUAUCUACUCGAAUCACAAUCAUUAACCGGAUGCUUGACGCUUGAUUUUGCUUCCAGCACGGAAACCUUGUUCAGAUAAGAAGUUUUGGCUGAUUUGUUAAGAACAUCAUUUGGGCCUCCAUGCUCAAGUGUUCCUGUUAAGUUUGAUAUUUCUAUAUAUUCAUACUGCUGCAAUGGCAGCAUUGCUUUAUACAUUGGAUACGUACACGCAUGCAUUAAACUAAAUAUAAAUGAAGGUGGAGUCCUCGCUGCCCAUAGUGCAGAAACUGCCCAUAAAGCACAAACACAGAUGCACAGCCCACGUGGGCAGUUUAGCUGUCAAGGCAUGUGUUGAAACCAUGUGCAAUAUUCUUCUGACAGGUUUGCUCUUUAACAUUCCCCCUCAAGUUGGAAUGGAUGUUGAUUAUUCCUAACUUGUGGAGCAAAGUCGUAAAUUGAUGUAAGCUCAGUGGCUUUGUGAAGAUGUCAGCUGGUUGCUUCAUGGUUGAAAUAUGAGACGUCCUGAUCAUACCACUUUGAAUCCUUUCUCGUACAAGGUGGCAGUCAAUUUCUAUGUGUUUGGUUCUUUCGUGAAAGACCGGAUUCGAAGCGAUGUGAAGUGCUGCUUGAUUAUCGCAAUACAACUUGACUGGAUGUUUAUGUUUGAUGCCCAAGUCUUGUAAAACAUAUUUCAGCCAAGUGACUUCACAACAAGAUGCUGCCAUUGAGCGAUACUCCGCCUCCGCACUAGAACGUGACACAGUGUUUUGUUUCUUGCUUUUCCAGGAGAUUAAGGAUUCUCCAAGGAAUACACAAUAUCCGGUGGUAGAACGUCGUGUGUCACGACAUCUGGCCCAAUCUGCAUCACAAAAGGCAUUCAGUUGGAUUGGACUUCUUGCAGAGAGAGAAAAAUACCUUGCCCUGGUGUAUGCUUAAUGUAUCGUAAGACUCGGUGGGCUGCCUCCAAGUGUGGAGUUCGAGGCUUCUCCAUAAAUUGACUAAGAAUGUGGACAGCAUAGACCAAAUCAGGGCGCGUGAUUGUCAGGUAGAUUAGUCUCCCAAUAAGCCGUCGAUAAGAAGAAGGAUCAGUGAUGCAUUGUCCUUCGUCCUUUCUGAGUGAUAAGUUUUUGCUCCAUAGGAGAGGUGGCUACUUUUGCACCAAGGUAACCUGCAUCCUCAAGUAUUUCAAGGGCAUAUUUUCGCUGUGAGAGAGCGAUCCCCUUACUAGAGCGAGCAAUUUCGAUGCCCAAAAAAAUAUUUUAGUUGGCCAAGGUCUUUCAACUUGAAUUGCUUCGUAAGGAAAGACUUGAUAUCCUCAAUUGCUUGUAUGUUAUUUCCUGCCAGGAUAAUAUCGUCAACAUAUACAAGGAGAGCAGUGAAUUUACCAUCAUGGUUUCGGACGAACAAUGAAUAGUCUGCCUUGGAUUGUUGAUGAUAACCAGCUUUGCUAAGAGCACAAGAGAGUUUGAUAAACCAUUGACGAGAGGCUUGCUUAAGCCCAUACAAAGAUUUAUGAAGUUUACAAACUCGUGUUUCCCCCUUUCGUCCGAAACCAGGGGGCAAGGACAUGUAGACAUCUUCUUCAAGGUCACCAUGAAGGAAGGCAUUGUGAACAUCAAGUUGGUGAAGGUGCCAUUGUUGGACUGAGGCAACGGCAAGAAGUAGGCGGACUGUAGUCAGUUUUGCAACCGGAGCAAAAGUCUCACGAUAGUCUAAGCCUUCAAUUUGGCUAUAACCUUUGGCAACCAAGCGUGCUUUAUACCGCUCAACUGAUCCAUCGGAACGAAAUUUGAUUUUGUAGACCCACUUACAUCCAACCGGCUGCUUUCCAGGGGGGCAAUGGUUGAAGAGACCAUGUCCUAUUUGCAGCAAGGGCUGCCAGUUCUUCUUCCAUGGCUAAACGCCAUUGGGGGUCGCGUACGGCCUGUGAGAAUGAACUGGGUUCUAUGGCAGCUGAAAUGGAAGUGGUGAAAGCACGAUGGCGAGCAGAUAAGCGAUCAUAUGUGAGUACAUCAGACAAAGGAUAAGAAGUACCUACCACUGUGGUCAAUGCUGAGUGAGAUGAAGGGACGGACCGAGAAGGAAGGUUAAUGCCAACGUGAUAUUGUUGAAGAUAACCAGGUGCAUGAGUGAGGCGUUUAAGACGAGGUGGUGAAGGGGAUUGGUCGACUGAAGAGGAUGGAUCGACUGAAGUGGAUUGGUCUACUGAAUCUUGUUCUAGUGGAAGGGACGGAUGAAUGAUGGUGUCAUCACAGUCAAUAUCUUGAGUAUAUGGAAACACAACAGGUGAGACGGCAACGGAAGAAGAAAAAGGGAACACAUUUUCAUGAAAAAUAACAUCACGGGAAAUAAAAAUUUUACCCGUUUGAAGGUCGUAAACUCGAUAUCCUUUGGUGCCGUAUGGAUAGCCAAGAAAAAUACAACGUGUGGCUCUUGCAUCAAAUUUGGUUGGUCUAUGGUGGUGUGUGGAAGAGAAACAUAAACAACCAAACACUCGCAAAUGUGCAUAUGUUGGCUGUUUGUGAUGAAGGAUUUCAUAGGGUGAUUUUCCGUGAAGAAGAGGAGUGGGAGUCCUAUUAAUGAGAUAAGUGGCAGUUAGGAUUGCAUUACCCCAAAAUUUCUUGGGAAGAUGAGAUUGAAAAAGCAAGGCUCUAGCAACGUUAAGUAAGUGGCGGUGUUUACGCUCUGCUACCCCGUUUUGUUGGGGAGUAGAGACACAACUUGUUUGAUGUAGAAUGCCUUUAGAUGAAAAAAAAUGGGUCAUAAAAAAUUCUAGACCAUUAUCACUACGAAGAACCUUAACUCGUGUGGAAAAUUGUGUUUCAACAAGGUGGAUGAAUGUGAUGAGAUAUGAUCGUGCAUCUGAUUUGUGAUUCAUUAAAUAAACCCAUGUGCAUCGUGUGAAAUCAUCUACAAUGGUCAAGAAAUAUUGUGCCCCUGUGAUAGUGGGAACAUGGUAACCUCCCCAAAUGUCAACAUGAAUUAAUUCAAAAGGAGCUUUUGUUUUAAUAGAACUCAAAGGAAAAGGAGCACGUGUUUGUUUGGCUAAGGGGCAGAUCAAACAAUCAUCAAUGCUACAAAAAUUCAAAUUUUUAAUGCAAGGGGAGAUAGCCCGUAAGGUUUUGUUGGAAAGAUGGCCAAGGCGUUGAUGCCAAAGCUGAGAAGCAGAGAAAGAGUAACAACUGACACUGAAUUGCACCUGGUUUUCGUCACAUUAUCAAGGUAGUAGAGGCCUCCUUGUUCAGUUCUCGUCCCAAUCAUCUUCCCCGAUCGUUGGCCCUGAAGUAGACACUUUUUAUCAGUGAAGAUGACAAAGCAAGAUGAGGUAUUAGUGAUUUUGCUGACAGAAAUUAAAUUCAGUUUAAAUGAUGGAACACAAAGCACGUUGUAAAGGACGAGAUCGUUCGAGAGACGAACUGUGCCAAUAUGUGUGAUAUCGGCAAGUGCAUGAUUGGGUAGGUGCACUUGUCGAUUGUAUACCGGAACGCUUGUGGUCAUCAAACUUGGUGAGCAAACCAUGUGGUCUGUGGCGCCAGUAUCGAAAAUCCAGUUCCUUCCCUUAUUGAGAGGAGAAGCACAAAGAACUCUACCUGAUAAAUCAUUCAUAGUAGAGGUGGUACCGACAUGGUUAGAUGUGGAUUUAGACUGGCUCUUAUCAAGUAGUGCAAGCAGGUUGUGGUAUUGCUCGGGAGUGAGGCUGUAGGAUGAAGGAGAUGUUGCUGGAGGCGUUGGUUUGAUGUCAACGUGAUUAGCCUUGGAGUUGAACCCCUGCGAGUUGGAACCCCUGCGAUCUUGAUAAUCUCCCUUAUCGCUGUUGUCCUUUGCCUUUUUCAAUUUGCGGCAUUGGUCUAUGGUGUGACCUCUCCAAUUACAGUAGUCGCACUUGAGGUGUGCACACGACAGGUUUCUGAAGUAUGUCCGGUUGCAUCACAACGGCCACAUUUUAAAUGGGAAUUUCUAGGAGAAAAAUUCCUACCAGAGUUUCGCAUGUUGUCCCGCACGGCGAAAGCUGCGGCAUCAGUGAUUGAAGACCUUCCAGGAGCAUGUAUUGAGACUGCUCUCUGUUUCUCAUCUUGAAUAAUGAGUGAGAAAGCUUUGUUGACAGCAGGGAGAGGAUCCAUAAGUAAGAGUUGCCCACGAACUGCAGCGUAGGAUUCAUUGAGACCCAUGAGAAACUUCAUGGUUUUCUGACUUUGCUGAAACUGCAUCAAUUCUUUCGCAGCUCCACAAUGCACAGGUUGGGAGAGCGCACAAGGCAUCACGUUCAUCCCAAAAACUUUUCAGUUUGGUAUAAUAUGCACCAAUGUUCAAAUUUCCUUGAACACUUCCAUGUAUCUCUUGUUCGAUAUGGAAGAGAUGGACACUGUUUGUGUGAGAGAGAAGCGUUCCUUCAACUCAUUCCAAAUAUCAGCUGCAACAUUGUUGUAGAUGACACUUGCACCAAUAUCUUUUGAGACAGAGUUGAGCAGCCAAGAUUUCACGAGGUUGUUGCAACGAGUCCACUGUUGGUAUUCAAUUGUGGACGUCAACUUAGGCCUUUGAAUGGUUCCAUUGAUGAAUCCUUCCUUGUUCUUGGCAUUGAGGGCCAUGGUCAUGGCUCGGCUCCAAGUGGAGUAAUUUUCGUCAUUCAAUGGUUGGUUGUGUGACGAGAAUCGCUCCAGGCUGAUCGGAGUGAUGAAGAUAAAGAGGAUCGCUGGGAUCUUCGUAUUUGGUGUGUUUGCUGGAAGAGUCAGUUGCCAUGUUCACAGACAGUGUGCAGUGGCUGUGCUUUGCGGCUGUGCUUAAUGGCUGUGACAGGUAGAGCAGCGACGAUGGCUGUGUAGCGGUUUUGCGACGGCAAGGCAGCGAGUGUGCAGCUUGCAGUGCACUGGUUGCUGCAGUAGCAGAUGUCGCUGUUCACAGUAUAGCAGCGAAAGAGUGAAGGCAGAGCAGAGCAAAGGAUUACCUGCGCUCUGAUACCAUGUUAAGUUUGAUAUUUCUAUAUAUUCAUACUGCUGCAAUGGCAGCAUUGCUUUAUACAUUGGAUACGUACACGCAUGCAUUAAACUAAAUAUAAAUGAAGGUGGAGUCCUCGCUGCCCAUAGUGCAGAAACUGCCCAUAAAGCACAAACACAGAUGCACAGCCCACGUGGGCAGUUUAGCUGUCAAGGCAUGUGUUGAAACCAUGUGCAAUAUUCUUCUGACAGGUUUGCUCUUUAACAGUUCCUUUAUUCGAAUUGUGGUAGUGUUUCCCCAUAUGAAGAAACUCUUCCUGCUGCAUGUUAUGAUUAGUUGCCUUGUUGGGGUUCUUUUGAUUAUUUACAGAACCAUUUGAGUAGCUGUCUGUCUUCACCGAAUAAGUAUGCGCAGUCACGCAGGAUGGCGACGAAACCCCUUCGCUUCUUGAUUGUUUUGGAGAUGAGGGCUGAGAAGGACGAGGAGUCCCAGUUGUGGAAGGAGGGUUCUUGCCUACCUCAGGCGGUGCAGAAUAGCGAAAUUUCGGCAAAGAAUUAACCCCAUCAACCAGUGACCCCAUGGCUUUCACACAGGCACUGUCACUGCAAAAUUCAACUGAGCACUAUGAUAAUAUGAUAUGUAACAAUCUUACCACUAAAGGCAUUAAGUACAGAAUCAUCAACUUGAAUUGUCUUCCAAAAUUCAAAUUAACAAGGCAGAGCCGUCAAUUCGAAACACAGAAUCAACAAAAAAUCUGCAACAAUAUACAGUCAAAGAAAAUCCCAGAUGAACCGAAAUUCAAGAUACAAGCUUUAAUUCACAAUCUAAUUAAUGGCAGCGCGAAAGGGGAAAAAUAUAUCAAAAAAGGAUCAUUUGACAAAAUUUUCAACAAAAAUUUAUCUUUUUAUAAAACCCAGAAACCCAAAUUCUCCAGUGAUUGAACCCAAGUUCUAAUUUUGAUUCUUUUCAAAACCAAACACGACUUUCAUUUUCUUUUCGUUUCCCACAGUUUCUCGGCAACCAAACAACAGAACAACGCAAAAGAACCUCAAAGCAAAGAACCCAAUUAGCCAAAGAGAGCUUAGAAAAAUUACCUGAUCAGAGAAGAGAGAAAGCAGACGACAGCAAGCAACCUCGCAUGGCUGGUGGGCACAAUGAGAGAGAGAGAGAGAGAGGAGAGAGAGAGAGAGAGACCCAAAGAGCGAGAGCUCACAGAGAAAGUGAAACAACUUAGAGGGGGUCUCUGUUUCUGUUUUUCAUCUUUUGGAUUUCACUGAAGAGCUUCAGAUCCGAUCGAACAAGAAAUCCAGAGGAGGAUCAAGCAACAAGACAACAAACAAAGAAAAAAAUAUGAAUAAAUUUAUGAACUUUUAACUUCUGGGGAGAACAGAAAGUUGGAGUUUCUCUGGUUUUUCUCGUCGCGGUGUGGACUUGAGAGAAAAACGAAGCCAAAAUUCGCAAGCAAAGCGUAAAGCUUAAAAAGCCGUCUUUGUCUUUGGAUGUUUUUUUUUCCAAUGUAUUUUGUUCUCUGAGAAGAAAAUAUGGUGGAAAGAACGUCUCUUCGCUUUGUUCUUGUUGUGAAAAAAAAAAACUUUUUAACAUUUUAGUUGUAUCAUGGCUCAUGGCGCACGAGAGAUAUUUCAUUAUGUCGAAAACACGGUCUGAUGCGAUUAUAGUGUAUCAAACCGUGUUAUCUUAAAGUAUGUAGGAAACAUGAUUUGAUGCGCUAAGUGUCUUAAUAUAAUUUGUUGAAAAAAAUUCAUAUGAUAUAUAAUGUAUCAAAUCGUGUGCCCCUAAAAAUGUAUUACGAUAGUUGUUUUCAAUUUGUUCAUUGAGGUAUUUUGGCAAUUACAAUAAAAACAACCAGCGCAAGAAAUCUUUAGGGACCCGUAGCGUCAGUAAUUGAAAAAAAAAAUGCCUCUCUCUUGAGAAAUUUUGAAUGUACCCCUAACCAAUAGCCCGCUUUAAGAAUUCAAUCUUUAAAUGAAUGAAUUGGUAUUGUGAAUGUUAAGAAUUAUUAGCUGGUGAUCAGACUAGUGAUACAUUUUUUUUUUCUCAAUGUUUGAAUUCCCAGUACAAUAUAUUUUGUAGCACUCAAUCGAACCUACAUGGCAAGGAUGUAGAUUUUUCAAAUGUAUAUUUUUAAGAUAUGAGGAAUUUAAAUGAAGAAACCAAACCCAAAUCUUGUAGCACACCCUUAUUCUACAACUACAUACUCAAAUGCAAUGUCAUACGUAAUUGUACAAAUAUCAAACUCACUUUUUUUUAUUAAUUUUCAAUAGUUAUCAUACUUCGUCUUUCAAGUGUAACUUAUUUUUCGAGCUCCCAAUAACAACUCCAUUUACAUUUUAUAUGAGCAAUGUAAUUAUCGAUAUCACAUGACUCCUACAUUAUUUUCAAGGCAAUUAUGUCCAAUGACGAAUGUACAUUGAGACCAAAGUGGUUUUAGGAUCACCAAAAGUUCAGAAAAUACACAUGUGAAUGUCUUUCGAGAAAUGAUUGGUAUUGAUCCUUCUUGUGCCCAUUUGAUGUAAUGCAUGCCAGCAUAUCUUGAGAUGAUGCGUCGAUAUCACUCAUCAGACUGUUUCAGUGUAUGUCAUUAUCUAUUGACAUGUUUCUAUCUAAAAAAUUAACAUUAAAACCCUCAAUGAUCCUAAUCUUGAAUUCGCAUCUGAUUAUGUUAUCUGUUUUAUCCCAUAAGUAAGAGCAGAGGUCCUCAACAUUGUCAAAUUUUCAAGCAUUCUUUCCCCUCAAAUAUUAUUUUAUUUUCUCCCUAAAUUCCAAUAAUACAAUGCUAAUAAUAAUUUUUUAAUGGAAUCUAAUCCAAAGAGUGGAAAAUAUCCAACAUCUAGAAUGUAACUAGACAAUGUUUUGAUUGACCACAACACCAAAAUUCAGGGAGCAGAUAUAGGACUUAAUUUUCAUUUUUUUAAACAUUAUUUAGGUCCAAGAUAAUUAAAUUAAAUUAUAAUUAGUCGUAAUCACAUGGGGAUUAAGCAACCGCACAAAUCUCGUUAAUUCCUUUCGCGGGAACCAGGAGGGAGGCCUCACAUGCGCGCACGUGAACACCAGGACAAAGCACGUGGGCGGCUGUCAUGCCCGUCGCAUGAAUCUACGGUAGGCCCGCGGUGAAACUAAAAGAUAUGUUUAAUCUGGAAGGACAGGGCGCCCGUAUCAAAUGUUACGGAGCUUUGGGUAUGUGGGUCUACAAUCACAUAAAUUUUUCAACGUUGUCGAAAACACAGUCUGUUAUAUAAGGUAUCAUUGUAAAAGCAGUUAAUUUUUUUUUUUUUUCAAACUAUUUAUGUUAUUGGUGUACUAGUCUGUUUUCCGACAGACUGAAAAAUAUCUCCACAAUCACACUGGUGGUAUUUUGUAUUGUGGAUUGUAAGUGCAAAAAGAGUCUAAUAGCAACUUAUAUAAAAUGAAUAUCUCAAUUGUAAAAAUCAAUUCUACUACUCAAUGUUUCGUGAAAACCAAACUUACAUUUAACAUUGUGUAUUAGUUUAUCGGAACGCCCUAAUUGCGAUAAACACAAAUUUUAUAUGUCAUUUUUGUGAGUUAAAGCUCAAUCCUUUGUGUUAGCAUAGAUAAUAUCGAUGUUAAAAAAUAAGAAAGUCAUUCUCGUGAUGGUGACCAGAUACACGUAACAUGCUUUCCUAACAAUGUGGGUCCCAGCAAAGACCCAUUUCCUUAAAUUUUAAUUCCCAUCAGACAUCGGACGGUUCUAUAUUGCUUCUGGACAUUGAUGGAUGCUCUGCACCGUAAACUCUAUGCGGUGCAAAACACUUGGUUCUUGACACGUGUAAUUAUUAGAAGGGAAUUUAGACAGUAUCAUGACUAGUGGGGACCACCAUUACCAAUCACAUAACAUGGACAUACCUUGGGCAAAUCAUUUUCCAUUUUCUCCAUUAGACAGUGAGCAAUCUUUCAAUGUACCUGAAACAAAGUGACAUAAUAGUAAGUAACACGGAGGAUGUCAGGACCAGUUCCAGACUCAAAAACCUUAAGGCCCAGUUUGGUGGGAAAUGGAAUAGGUUGUGAUCAAUUAAAAUAAAUUUUGAGUUCAACAUGUUAUUUAUUAUGUUAAAUGUGAGAUAGACAAGACUGAACUGGGUUAUAAGUUCAGAAUAGAGUAGAUUAUCUAACUUAUCCUUAUAAAUAGGUUACAAGUCUUGUCUUAUAAGCCCCUACGAAUCUAAUCAUACCUCUGUUGUCUAAUCUCAUCCAUCACCCCAAACGGGCCCCUUCGUGACAUCACAACAUAUUGACUCAUGUGCAAAAUUCAUUGACCACACAUGUUCCAUAUACGAACAAGUAACUUUUUUCAGCUAGGCACUAACACUGUCAUUAUUCAACCAAGCACUUACACUGUCAUGUGGUUUUACGAAUCCAUUCAUAUUAUAACAUAUGUAACCAUAAAAAAUUUCAACAUGACCGUUGCUUUAUACUGUAGUUCUGUACUACACAUGAAUUAGUAACAUCACCAUGUAGAUGUCCUACCAAAAAAAACGAAAAAUCUCCAUACAACUACAAACGAGAAGCAUUAAACUAGACAUUCAUUUCCUUCUCUGAGCAUGGGCAAACUAGCAAGGAAUGUGAUGAGGAAACUAACAUUAGACAAGAUGUCAAGAUUGUUCUAACCAAUUUUCCAGGUACAAAUUUAAGACGUAUCUCGCCGUUGACAAAACGUCAAGCCUCUUCUCGCUCGGUUCAUACUUCCCUUUCCGGAGCCGGUACCGACGAGUUACGGCCGAGAUUGUGUAAGUUUGGCCUUCUAUUGUCACACCGUCCCCACAAUGUAGGUUCUGCAGCAUGGAAGGUGCAAUAAGAACACACACAAGGAAAAUCAAAAGAGAAGAAAAUAGCAAGUUUAGUAGCAAAUUCGACGUAUCAUACAUCCGUAGGGCCUGCUGCUCCUCCAUGAAUGAACAAAUAGAGUAAUAUAGACGAUAGAGUAAUACUGAACGCAUGACAGACAGAAACAAUCAGUUCGGAUGCACGUAUAGUUUGAGGGAAGGUUUCGGUGCAGUUUCCUGGUUUUCUGAAGUCGUGUAUAGGGUUGUCCUCUCCCCGCAUAAAUGUGAUGGAGACUGAACUGUGAGAGACGUUCAAAUCUCAUAGAUGGUGAUCAUUUGCCUAGCCAAAUAAAAAGGAUCAACUUCGAUCCCGUACAUGAAUCAUCUUCCAUGCCUGUACAUCUGAGAAUAAUAUAAAACGGCGUUUAGACACUUAAGAAACGAAAAUGGCACAACGCAAAGACUUUGAUCACCUUGUGAUUUCAUUCACCAUCGCUCGGUCAUUGUGUUCUUUAGGUGUGUGCAGUGAACACUGAAACUUGUUUCUUCUAAACCAUCGAAAAACUUGUGCUCUUAACUUCACGCUUAAUUAAGUUAGCCGCGAAUGUGAAUUACAUUGCUUAUCUUCAUUUCGACACAGUUUUGUCCAAGUAAUCUGUUGGAGCAUGUUUGGUAUUCUACUUGAAUCCAACUUUUUAAACUAAAAAAUAAUUUUCAAGUUUUAGACCUUAAAAACUUGUUUGAUAUGACUAUUUUCAAAAACUGAACUCAAGACUAACUAAAAAAUAUAGUCUAUUAUCUAAAAACACAAAAUGUGAGUUUUUAGAAUUUUUAAAUUUAAAUUCACUCCUUUCUUUUCUCUCGCUCCUCCCCUCUCACUCCAAAGCUAUCUCUCUCUUUUCUUCUUUCUCUCUCCCCCUUCUCUUUUUUUUUUUUUUACCAUUUUCGUCUCUCAUCCAAUCCGCUCUCUUCAUUCUCUCGAUUCUUUAUCUCACUCACUUUUCUCUCUAUCUCCUCCGAUCCUCUCACUUCUUUCUUUUUCCUCCAAUAAUCUCUUACUUUCUUUCCUCUUCUCUCAUCUUUCUCUCUUGACCCACUCUUUUUGGAUCUCUUUGUCCAGUUUAAGUUGUAAGAUUUAAAAAUUUUAAAUUGCAUUUCAAACAAGUUUUUUAGUCUUAAAGAAAAUUGUUUUCAAGAAAAAUUCUUAAGAAAUGUUUUGAGAAAUUAUAAAAAAUUUCAAAUAGGAUACCAAACAAGCCAUUAGUUUCUUACAGUUUCUGAAAGAUCCAAGUCGACUGAGUACACGGUCUAUGCUACGUUUUUACCCAAGCGAAACACUACUUCAGAAAUGUUUUCACACCAGAAGAAGCUGCCUGAUGCAUACAUGACAAGCUAUCGAUACACAUUUAAGCAAGGACGUCUCACAUCCUCGGUAUGGUUUGCAUUUCUCAACGGCGUAGUGAUGCUUACUAGACAAAAGAUAAAAGAAAAGGAAAAGUGGGACGCAUUGGGGUUCAAUCUCCUCCAAAAACUAUGAAGGGCUUCCUCUUUGUGACACUUCCCAAAGUCAUCGCCAACACCAAUAUAUCAGAACAAGUGCAUAUGGCCCCCUAGAGCAAAAUGGAGUUCAGUGACCAACUCUUUCAAGUUUCAAUACAUCGAUCACGCAGCUUCUACCAAAUUCACACUCAAAAAACUUCCUUAUACGGUCAAUUUGUACAUCUGUGACAUCCAAAUCGACGUCAUUCGUGCUCAAUCAUUGCAGUAAUCGAGCUUAAACAGCUCAUAAUACAGUUAUAUAAGAAGCAAGAGCAAAUGCAGCAGCAGCAGCACCUGCAUAAUCCCCACUCAACAGACAUUCACGGAUUCAGAAUUGAUCCCCAAAAUUAUUGGUGGGAUUCGAAGCUCUUUUGCCACAAGUCCCCAAUCUGUCUAGCAAAGGGAAACAUUUGUGCCUCUCAUUUUAAUAACUUCUUUUUAUAGGGAGCUGAUCCGUUACUUUUUUACACAACUUUUGACAUACAUUUUUUUGCGGCGCAUUCUAUAAGUAUAUUUUAACGAUCCGAACCAUCACUCAUAUAUUAUACUUGCAAAAAUUUAGACUAACCCGAACCCAUUAAGACAUUUGUUUGUACCAAAAGAAACCUAAGCCCUUAUUUCAAGGGUCAUAUGGCUUCAUUUGGAAGACAGUGAAAUGCUUUCUGAACAAAAACUAGCAAAUCAUGGAAAAAAUUGUAAGAACAUCUCCAAUGGGUUGUGUUGAUGCACAAAAUCAGCGAAGACUUUGGUACAACAGAAAGUGUCAGGUUUUAUGACCUUCGCUUGGUUGCUUCGGUCACUAGUGAGGAUAAGUACGUAAAUGAAUAGAGACAGAGAAGCAAACACAGGAUGUACGUGGUUCACCCAGAUUGGCUACGUCCACGGAGUAGAGGAGUUCUUAUUAGUAGUGAAGGGCUUACACAAGUACAAAGGAUCAAGCUCUCAAUUUAGUGAGUUCUUGUGAAUGAUUUAACACAAAUGGCAUUAGGCAAUAUUGUGGGGGAAUGACCCCUAUUUAUAGAAAAACUUGUAGCUUUGUCACAUUGACAUGUGUCAUGUUAUGAUUGGUUCUUGAUGUCGACACGUGCUGCGCUCUGAUUGGCUUCUAAUCUUGACACGUGUCGAGUAGUGAUUGGCCUCCUGGUCGGAGGGGAACUCUUCUGGGUCCUUGACAGUAUAGCGUUGGCCGGUGCUCGGUAGUUUCGGGAUUGGUCAAGUAUGGUACAAACAGUGCUCCCCUAAGUUCCCGAGUGAGGGAAACUCCUCGGUUGGGGACUUGCAAGAUCCAAUCCCUUGAGUAAUCACGAAACUUCUAAGUACCGAAGUGUGGUCUGAUCUUCAUCUGCCCUUCUCUGGAAGUACCUUUCCUCCAUCCGGGAAUGGUGUAUUUAGCUGAUGUUGACGCACAAGGUAAUGUAUCAAUUUCAUUUGAAGCUUAGUUGUAGUUUCGGGCUUAGUCAAGUGUGAUACAAACCCUAUAGUAGGAGUCCCCCAAGUCGCGCCGAGCUAGGAGAUCUGCCGAAAGAGGUGACAGACAAGGUAAGCAGUCAAACUUCCAAGUAAGCAACCCAGGAUCAGAGGUUUGACUUCGGCUUCCGGUUGAUUGUUCUCCUUCUCCUUGUCUCUCAUUCAACUGCCAGGAUAAGGAGAAGCAAAUGGAUAAGAGAUGAUAUGAGAUACUUUUGCUUUUGAAGAAGUAACUUUCCACAGGCUUAUUCUUGAACUGUGCUGGAGGGUUUUCUGGUGCCCUUCAGAGUAUAAGGCCGACUCAAAAAUUUGAGGGUCAAAACAAGUCCAUCAAAUCUAGAGUACGUUCGACCUUGAUGAUAUGGGAUACUUUUGCUGUUGACGGAAUAAUGAAUGUGGUAUGGAAAGGUGUCGUGCUGUAGUGAUCUGUUUCAGCUCACCGUUGAACCUUCUGCUUCAAUCUUUUGCAUGGCAGAAGUGGUGUGCAACCUUUGCAUUUAAAUGGUCCUUCAGAACAUUCCUUCAUAGUGACUCAUCCACGCUUGGCAGCUUCAGUGUAAAGAGCCAAUAUCUGAUCAACUGUCAUGAGGUAUUUGCCGGUGGAAUUCGUGACCUUGACAACAGUUGAGGAUGAGUACUCGAGAGCAAUGCUAAGUAAGCAACCAGGGAAAGGCUCCAGGCAGUCAGUUCCAAAUUGGAGGUUUGAUUUCAGGUUCCGACUGACUGCUCUCUUUCUCCUUGUCCUGCAGGUGUGGACAAGGACAAAGACAAAGACAGGGAGAAAGCAUGAUAUGGGAUACUCUUGCUUUCGACCCUGAUGAUAUGAGAUACUCUUGUUCUUGGUGUGGCUUAUUUGCUGAGGUAUUAUCGGGGGGAAAUAAAGCUGAGUAUAUUUCGAGAGGUUAUGUUGAGGGUGCCUUUUUCGAAUGCGAGAAAGGGUUGAGCAUUUUUGCAGGUUUGCCUGUCCGUUGAGGAGGGAGGUCAAUGUAUAUAGGGAUUUCCCAAUAACAAGUAGUAAUGUUAUUCCUUUACCCUUCUUGGUCACAGCAAUGUAGUGGGAGCUGCCAGCUUCACGUGUUUUUAAUUUUGUCAGAGCACUUUGAAAAAGUGGUAUGUGGUAUCUGGAAAGCUGAUAUUACGUGUGAAGAUUACAGACAAGCUUUAUCUAAGGAAAUCUGGCUCUCGAAGUUCUGAGAGUUGUGCCUCUUCGGUUUUCGAACAAGCAAUCCCGUCGAGGAUCUGACUCUCGAGAUUCGGAAAGCGGUGCUACUCCGGUUUUUGAGAAAGUAAUUAUGUUGGGAGUCUUUUCUCGAAUGUGAGUAAAGGUUGGACGUUCUUGCCAACCUGUCUUGCCGCAAAACACGGAGGUCGACACACAUAGGGACUUUCCAGUUGUCAAGCAGUGGUGCUGUUCCUUUACCCUUAUGGGUAAUAGUAGGGUAGCUGGAACUUCGAAAUUCUCGUGCCUAAACUUUGUCAGAGAUCUUUGACAAAGUUAUAUGUGGUACCCGAGGAGUUGAUGGUGCAUAUGGAGAGCGGUGAUUGAACAGUAAGAUUCACGUGCUUUCUACUUCACCAGAAAUCUUCGACAGAUUGCCCGUAAUUUCCGCAAAGCUGAUUGUGCAUGUGACAGGUGCUGACGAGGCUGAAAAAGCAAGUGCUUCUUCGAUUUCUGAGAUCGGCCCUCGUGGUCUCUGAGCAGCCCAGCUUUUGAGAAAGCAAACGCCUCUUCGAUUUCUGAGAUCGGCCCUCGUGGUCUCUGAGCAGCCCAGCUUUUGAGAAAGCAAACGCCUCUUCGAUUUCUGAAGCUCCGUCGAGUGCAGAUUUUUAUAGAGGCUGGCAUUAAGUUCCACAGCACACUUGAAUCUCUACCAGUAGAAGCUCAUUUCUUGCACUUCUAAGAUCUUGAUUUGUCUGACCUCUUCCUUCUUCAACACAUUUGAAAAUGUCUGGACCCUCCGACCGUCGUUUUGACUUGAACCUUGGAGAAGAGACAGCCACGCCUUCUCCAGACAACAUAUGGCGCCCAUCCUUCAUAUCCCCUACUGGUCCUCUUACCGUUGGGGAUUCUGUGAUGAAGAAUGAUAUGACCGCUGCAGUGGUGGCCAGGAACCUUCUCACUCCCAAAGAUAACAGACUACUUUCCAAACGGUCUGAUGAGUUGGCUGUUAAGGACUCUCUGGCUCUUAGUGUUCAGUGUGCAGGUUCUGUGUCUAAUAUGGCCCAACGCCUAUUUGCUAGAACCCGCCAAGUUGAAUCAUUGGCUGCUGAAGUGAUGAGUCUCAAACAGGAGAUUAGAGGGCUCAAGCAUGAGAAUAAGCAGUUGCACCGGCUCGCCCAUGACUAUGCUACAAACAUGAAGAGGAAGCUUGACCAGAUGAAGGAAUCUGAUGGUAAGGUUUUACUUGAUCAUCAGCGGUUUGUGGGUUUGUUCCAAAGGCAUUUAUUGCCUUCGUCCUCUGGGGCUGUACCUGGUAAUGAAGCUUCAAAUGAUGAACCUCCAAUGCCUCCUCCUUCUGGGGUUUUGUCAAGUACUGAGGCUCCGGAUAACCACCCUCCGGUGCUUUCUCUUUCUGGGGCUCUACCGACUGCUGAGACUUCCCCUAAGCAACCUUUGUGAAGGCUCCCUUUUGUUUGUUUAUUUUGACUCAUGUAUAUGUACAUAUUUGUGGCUUAUCGAAAAUAUUAAUAAAUAAGCUUUGCUUCAUUUCAACAUAUUGUGUUAAAUACACCAAAGCCUUCUUCAUAAAGUUCUUUGAAUUUUUGCUUUUGUUGAAACCUGUAUUGUUGAAGCUUUGUGAGUGAAGCAUGUAGUUUGAGGUAGUGUUCCCUUAAUUUCCCGAGUGAGGAAAACUUCUCGGUUGGAGACUUGAAAAAUCCAAGUCACUGAGUGGUUGUGAGACUGCCGAGUAUCAAGGUGCAGUAGCAUAUGGUGGGAGUCCCCCAAGUCUUCAGGCGAAGAGAGUUGCCGAAUGAGGUGUCUCUCGCGUGUUACUAAUUUGUCAAAGUAACGAAUCCUUGUUUCGAUGUCACACAUUCGUAUAUGCUUUAUCUAAAAAUAUUUCCAACUUUUGUGUGUUUGAUGCUGCAUGCUAUUGACUAGACAAGAUCAAGUGCAAUUAGUAGCUUUUCUCUCUUUUUCAUCUUUUCUUUGGUGGAAUUGCUUUUCGUUUCCACUAAUCAGCCUGAGUGGAUGCAAGAUAACACCUUUCUCUAUAGCUCAGAUUGCAAAGUCGUCUUCAUGAAAGUUUUUCCUUAUCUUGUGAACUACAACAUAUCCAAAUUUGAGAUCCAUCGGAGUAGUACAACUUCAGAAAUUCAAGUAUGAUGAGUAACUGUUCAUCAAUGUUCUGUUAAUCCGUCAGACUUGUUGUGAGCUUCGAAACUCCAUUUUCUCUUGUUCAGAUCAACAUACUUUCUUCAUCGAAGUUGUUCCUUAACUUGUGAACUACAACAUAUCCAAAUUUGAGGUCCCUCGGAGCAGUAUAACUCCAGAAAUCCAGGUAUGAUGAGUGACUGUUUAUCAUUUUGUCUGUCAACCCGUCAGAUUUGUUGUGAGCUUUGAAACUCUAUUUUCUCUUGCUCAGAUCAGCAUGCUUUCUUCAUUGAAGUUGUUCCUCAGCUUGUGAACUACACAACAUAUCCAAAUUUGAGAUCCCUCGGAGCAGUAUAACUCCAGAAAUCCAGGUAUGAUGAAUGACUGGUUAUUAUUUUUCUGUCAACCCGUCAGAUUUGUUGUGAGCUUCGAAACUCCAUUUUCUCUUGUUCAGAUCGGUAUGCUUUCUUCAUUGAAGUUGUUCCUCAUCGACUCUUUCAUAACAUAUCAAAAAUUCAGGAUGAACUAACGGUUAAAUAUUUCCAGAUCUUCGAAACAUCACAACAGCUUCGAAAUCUGCAAGAAGCCGACUAUCAUGUUUGGAGCUUCAACACUUUAAUUUCCGUCGCUCAAACAGAAAUGGUUCCUUCUUGAAAGUUGUUCAUAUGCUCAAGAACUAUAGGGUGUCCAAAAUUCAGCUCCAUUGGAGAAGAGCAGAGGUUGCAGAAAUUUGAUAGAUGAAAGGAGGCGGAAGAGGGAGAGAGAGAAAAAGUCUCUUGGGUUGGAUUUCUAUUUUGGGGCAGAUUCCAAUUUUUGUAGCACCUUCAUUAUUGAUGAAUUGCUUGUACUUUUGUCCAUUAUGAAACUUGGGACUUUGGCUUGUUGUUGGAUCUAUUAUAAUAUGUUUGGGAACAUAUAUAAGUGAAUAAAUAAGAAGGAAAAUUUUGGGCCCUUGUGGGUGUAAAACAAAAAAUGUUUAUGUUUACCCAAGUGUUUUUGUACAAGUUCAAGGGCAUCUUGGGUUUUGUGAACAAAAUUUGUUUAUUUGGAGCAAGGUUUUGUGUUGAAGCUUUGUAGGUGAAGCUUUGGUGUUGAAGCUUUCUAGGUGAAGCUUUGAUGGUGAAGCUUUGUAGAUGAAGCUUUGUAGAUGAAGCUUUCUAGGUGAAGCUUUGAUGGUGAAGCUUUGAUGGUGAAAGUAUGUAGAGGGAGCUUUCUAGGUGAAGCUUUUUUAGGUGAAGCUUUGUAGGUGAAGCUUUUUUAAGUGAAGCUUUUCGGGUGAAGUUUUUUUUUUUGGGUGAAGCUUUGUGGGUGAAGCUUUUUAGGUGAAGCUUUUGUGGGUGAAGCUUUGGAGGUGAAGCUUUUCGGGUGAAGCUUUUUGGGUGAAGCUUUUUAGGUGAAGCUUUGUGGGUGAAGCUUUGGAGGUGAAGCUUUUCGGGUGAAGCUUUUUGGAUGAAGCUGUUUUUUUUUUUUUUUUUUUUUUUUUUUUUUUUUUUUUUUUUUUUUGGCGCUUGACACGGUCUUCAUUUGCUUGUUUUGUAGUGACUGUGGAAGACGGAUUGCUUUCUGAUUGAGAAGGGUUCCGGCAUCGCUUGCUAUGAAUGUAAAAGAGUGAGGGCUGAGUUGGCUAAAUUACCUCUUUAUUGAAUUCAUUGCCAAAUGGCCUUCAUUACAUAGGAUGCCGAACGGCUAUAGCUCAACACUUGUACAUCGUGAGUCUAUUUGUAGUAGUACUUCAAGUGAUCAGCGUUCCAUGGAUGGCCAAGGGUCUUGCCAUCGGAGCUUCUAAGUGUGUAAGAGCCAGGGCGACUGAUGCCAAUGACUUCAUACGGUCCAUCCCAGUUUGGACUAAGUGUGCCUUCACUCGGGACUCUGUCGCAGAGUAAUCUUUUCUUUAAGACCCAGUCUCCUAUUUUGAAAGAACGAGGCUUGACCCUAGAGUCAUAAUAGUUGGAGAUGCGCUGCUUGUAGGCGACAUUCCUCAAGUGAGCUUGGUUUCUGUGUUCCUCGACUAAAUCCAAGUUGAGGGUGAGUUGUUUGUCAUUUUCACUUUGAAUGUAGUUCUGGACUCGGAAUGUUGCUUGCUCGAGCUCAACAGGGACAACCGCCUCUGUGCCAAAGGCAAGUGAGAAUGGAGUUUCUCCUGUUGAAGUCCGAUAUGAAGUGCGAUAUGACCAAAGAACUUGGGGUACAAAUUCUGGCCAACAGCCUUUAGCUUUGUCCAAGCUGGUUUUCAAAGUGCGCUUGAUUAUUUUGUUGAUGGCCUCAACUUGUCCAUUAGACUGGGGAUGAGCUGGAGAGGCAAAGCAUAAGUUGAUGUUGAACUUAGAGCAGAACAACCUGAACUUCUUGUUGUCAAACUGUCGCCCAUUGUCAGUGACUAUCGCAUUGGGAAUGCCGAAUCUACAAAGGAUGUUCUUCCACACGAAGUCUUCUAUCUUUGCCUCAGUAAUGGUUGCCAAGGGUUCUACUUCGGCCCACUUUGUGAAGUAGUCCACUGCAACGACUGCGUAACAGACUUUGCCCUUCCCUGCCGGCAUUGGGCCGAUCAAAUCAAGUCCCCACUGGGCGAAGGGCCAAGGGCUGAUCAUAGGAGUAAGAGGCUCUGGAGGGGAAUGAGGAAUAGCCGCAUAUCGUUGACAUUUGUCACAUGAGCGGGAUACUUUGAUGGCAUCCUGGUGGAGUGUUGGCCAGUAAUAUCCUUGGCGAAAAGUCUUGUGUGCUAGGGACCGAGAUCCAGCAUGAUCUCCACAGACUCCCUCAUGUAUUUCCCGAAGGACGAUUUCCGCCUCGGCAGGCGUAAGACACCUUAAGUAUGGCAGGCUAAAACCUCGCUUAUAGAGUUGAUCAUUGAUGAUCAGGUAGCGGGUAGACUUGUAUCGAAUUUGCUUAGCCUGGACUUUAUCAUUUGGGAGGGUGCCAUGAGCAAGGAAAUUAUAGAUCGGGGUGAUCCAACUAUCCCCCUGUUGUAAGUUGCAUACUUCUGCGGCCAUGGUGCUUGGUGUUGCCAACAGUUCGACAUGAAUUUUUCUUCCAAUCUUGUCUUCCACAGCCGAGGCGAGGCGAGCCAGGGCGUCUGCAUGACUGUUUGCCGCUCGAGGAACUUGGGUGAUCUGGUAGUGGAAGUGCUUGAGCAAAAGUUGUGUUUGCGCAAGAUAUGCUGCCAUGGAGCUGUCCUUAGCAUCAAAGUUGUUGGUAACCUGGUUGACCACCUAAUUGGGAGUCACUGAAAAUAUCAAUUUGUUUAACCCCGAGGUGUUUGGCCAAACGUAAUCCUGCUAGAAGGGCUUCAUACUCGGCCUCAUUAUUUGAUGCCUUGAAUUUGAAACGAAGAGCAUACUCCAUUGCUACUUUGUCGGGUGUAGUCAAGACUAGUCCCGCUCCACAGCCCUGUUGGUUGGAUGAGCCAUCAACAUACAGACUCCAUGCUGGGGUUGUUGGUUCUAUCUUCUGAGCUUCCGGGGUAAUGAAGCCACUGCUUCAGGUGUAGAAGCAAUGUCAACCGGAUAUGUGAAGUCGGCAAUGAAGUCUGCCACUGCUUGGCCCUUCUCAGCUGGCUUUGGUUGGUAGGAGAUGUCAAACUCACCCAACGCUAUUGCCCAUUUGAUCAUUCGCCCUGAAGUGUCAGGACUUUGGAGUAUCUGUCGAAGAGGAUAAUUGGUAAGCACGAUGAUGGAGUGCGCUUGGAAGUAAGGGCGGAGUUUUCGAGCAGACAUGACCAAUGCCAGAGCCAAUUUCUCAAUGUUAGAGUACCGUGUCUCCGCAUCUUGUAAGGCUUUGCUAGCGUAGUAGACAGGUCGCUCAAUAUUCCCAUCCUUUCGAAUGAGAACGGAACUUACGGCUGAAGCUGAUACCGAUAGGUAGAUAAUGAGAAUGUCUCCUACCUCGGGCUUGGAGAGUAGAGGGGCUUUACUCAUGUACUCCUUGAGGUUUUUGAAUGCCUCGGCACAUUCAUCAGUCCAUGUAAUGUACUUCCUACUUCCCUUAAGUGCUUUAAAAAAGGGAGCACAUUUGUCUGUGGCCUUAGAAAUGAACCUGGUUAAGGCUGCCACCUUGCCAGUAAGGCUCUGGAUGUCCUUUGAAGUUACCGGUUCCUUCAUGUCGAGGAUUGCUUUGAUCUUCUCGGGAUUAGCUUCAAUGCCUCGUUGGCUAAUCAUGAAACCUAAGAAUUUGCCAGAGCCUACGCCGAAGGCACAUUUGUUGGGGUUUAACCUCAUUCGAUACCUCUUCAAAAUAGUGAAAGUUUCAGAUAGGUUGGUGAUGUGUUGGUCAGCAUGUUUGCUCUUGACUAACAUAUCAUCAACGUAAACUUCCAUGCUCUUCCCAAUCUGCUCGGCGAACAUUGAGUUGACUAGUCUCUGAUAAGUCGCUCCUGCAUUCUUUAGGCCGAAAGGCAUGACUUUAUAGCAGUAUAGUCCUCUGUCGGUAGUGAAGGCUGUGUGUUCUUGAUCCGAAGGGUUCAUGAGGAUUUGGUUGUAUCCUGAGUAAGCAUCCAUGAAGCUCAGGAGUUCACACCCGGCCGUAGAGUCUAUAAGUCUGUCAAUAAGAGGAAGAGGGAAGCUAUCUUUCGGACACCCUUUGUUUAGGUCGGUGUAGUCAACACACAUUCUCCACAAGACCUUUUGAAGCAAAAGACUUUCUUUGGUCGGAUUUUUCCUUAACAAGGACCACAUUUGCUACCCAUGUCGGGUAAUUGACUUCGCGGACAAAGCCUAUGCCUUUGAGUUUUUCAACUUCUGCUUUCAUUGCCUCGUAUCGUUCAGCGUCAUAAGAUCUUCGCUUCUGUCUCACCGGCUUGAUCUUGGGGUCAAUACUCAAACGAUGACAGAUGACAUCGGGAGAGAUGCCUGGCAUGUCCUCGUAUGACCAGGCGAAGACUUCAGUGUUCUCUUUCAAAAAAGAUAUCAAUGCUAACCGAAGGGGUGGUGACAAUGUGGUGCCAAUCUUCACCAUGCGAUCUGGAUAAUCUCUUGAGAUAGGUACCUUCUCCAACUCUUCAGCAGGUUGGGCUUGCUGGGUGAAAGAGUCAUCUCGAGGAUCAUCGGGUUGAUUGUUGCUAUCAGGAAGAUCCAAGUUCGCUUCAUCUAGGCUGGUCUUUGUGACUUGGUCAUGUACAGACAGGGUUUCCUUGGGUCCGGGCAAGUGUUGUUGCUUAACUGAAGUGUUGUAACAUGAUCGUGCACUAAGCUGAUCUCCUCUGAUGUAGCCGUUGCCAUGGGGGGUUGGAAAUUUCAUCAACAGCAUAUGCGUGGAUACCAUAGCCUUGAGAUCAUUGAUGCCUGUGCGCCCAAAGAUGACAUUGUAUGCCGUUGGGCAGUCAACCACUAGGAAGUUAGUGGUAAUGGUAGCCGUGUAAGGGCCUGUACCAAUAGUAAAGGGUAAAUGUAUGCUCCCUAAGGGUUGCACGAUAUCACCGGAGAAGCUUAUCAGAGGAGAAAAUCGAGCGAUCGAGCAAGUGUUCAGCUACACUGAGUGCCCUGAAAGCUUCGGCAAACAUGAUAUUGACCGAAGCCCCUGUGUCUACGAGGAUUCGUCGAACAUCAAAGUUGGCUAUGUGAGCCUCCACGAUCAAUGGGUCGUUAUGAGGGUAGAUGAUGCCUCUUUCUUCCUCAGGGUAGAAACAUAUCGGAUCCCAGUUAGGUUUUUGAUACUUCCCUCCCCUGAUGUCUUCCACGUGAAACACUUGGUGACCAGGCCUCAGACUUCGUUCACUGUUUUUCAUGGCCCUAUUGGAAGAUUCAGAUAUGGGUGUGCCGCCGCUUAUGGAAUAUAUGACAUUCACCUGGCGUUGGUUACGGUUAUCCCUUUGAGGGUGAAGAAGGAAUUGAUCAAUUUUUCCUUCUCGUGCCAAAGCUUCAAUACGAUCACGGAGGAUGAUACAUUUCUCGCUAUCAUGGCCGUUAUGCUCAUGGUAGCAACAAAACAUGCCCGCGUUAUUCGGGGGCGUGUAAUCUGGGUGCCUCGGCUUUGGCUUUGGUAUCAGGUGAGCUAUGCUGGGGUAAAUGGCCGCGCAUGUGGCAUUCAAGGGCGUGUAUGUCUCAUACCUUGGGGUAGGGGGUAUCUUGACGCGGGUUUGACCCACUGCAUUGACUGCCUGGGGGCGAGCGUUAUUGUGGCGAUACCCUUGGUUAUCGGGAUAGUGUCCCUUACUCUUUUUUACUGAAAGGAGAGUGGUGAGGAUGGAAAUCCUUCCUCUUGCCUUGAAAUUGAUAUGUCUGUUGAUUCGGUGAAGCAUUAUGCAAGGCAUGGGGAGGUGCCACUGCUGUUUGGAAAGUCGAGGUCUUCUCAUUUAGGUGAGUCUGGCUUCCACCUCCCACUUGUUGAUAAAGGAUGGUUGUAGGGGGUUUCUCCUGAUAUGUCUUUGCCUCGGCGGAGGCAUGGUUAUAAGCCUGCGCCAUCACCUCAGAGUAAGUCUUCCAAGUAUUGGCAUUGAUCAUGUAUUUAAAGAAACAAUCACGUAGGCCUGCCGUGAAGGCUUUGAGGGCAGUCUUGUCGUCUGCCUCGGCACACCGGGAGUAUUCAUGGCUGAAGCGGCCAGCAUACAUACGUAAUGACUCGUCUGGCUUCUGGCGGAUAGUGUACAGGUCAUCUGCAGAGUGCAAGCGAUCGGUUUGGAAAAUGUGUUGGGAAACAAAUAGUUUCCUCAAUUCCUCAAAUGAGUCUACCGUCUCAGGUGUAAGACGACAAUACCAAUUUAGAGCUCCACUAGAGAGGGUGGAGGGGAAGAGAAGACAUCGCUCUUCGUCGGUGUGCAUCCGGUAUGCCAUGGUGGACUCAAAGAGGUUAAGGUGCUCAAUCGGGUCCUCUUUUCCAGUAUAAAGUUGCAAGCCAAGCUUUUGCUUUGUCUUUGCUUGAAGGGGGGUGUUGAGGAUCCUCCUUGUAAGAGGGCCAGGCCUGGGUUGGUUCCAGUCAGGUAUUUCAGCCUGACGUUCAGCCUUCAACUUGUUUACUUCCUCAAGAAGUUGUAGGACAAGGGGGUCCUGAGCGGAGUUAUGUGUCACUGGAGCUUUCUUUCGUAAAUCUCCAUCUCCUAUUGGAAUUAGGAAGGUUUGAUCAAGGGCAUGUGAUUUUUCCCUGGACUCGCUGUACUGGCUUCCAAGGUAUGUCUGUCGGAACACCUCUGAGUCCCCUGUACCCUCAUGUCUCUCUAGGACUUGUUGCCCCUUCCCCAAAUUGGUGGCCGGCUUGGGCAGUGGCAGGGGACCGAGUCUCUCAGAAAUCCUUGGGUCAUUAAUCUUUGAGCUUAUAUGGAUGGAAUUCUCUCGACGUUGCUUCAGGAAAUCCCGACAAUCGCGAAAGACGGCUUUCGAUCCUUCUGCCCCUUCAGCAAAGAGGUGUCUCCUUCCACUUCUCAUGGUUCGGGUCGAAGCAACUGGGUUAAGAGAAGCCUCAUGUUGAUUAUCAAGUCGAGGGGUAAUCUGUUCCCUAUCAGGGAUAUCUAUGUCGAAUGCAUGUGACCCUCCAUGUUGGAGGGCACCCAGUUGAUGGUUGACUUCCACGGGGGCAACAAGCUCGCGUGUCUGAGCUUGCCUAGCUUCGUGGAGUGUCUCGAAGAGCUUCUCAUAUUGCUCCUGGAGGACCUCAUUCCUCAUUGCUAUCUUGUUGUUCUGAGCUUCCAACUCAUCGACUUUAGCUUGAAGAAGAACUCGUUUUCCUUCCUUCUUUCGUUGUUUUCGCACUAUGUGCAAGGGGGGUGUCAUUCUGUGUGCUGUGGCUUCAUUCGCUUCCCAUGCUGGAGAGGGAUGCCUGAUCAAAAGAAAGUGUACGAAUGAUAGAAACCAGCUUGACACAGCUGAAGAGAGUAGGAAUCAGUGUCGUUUCCCACAGACGGCGCCAAAUGUUGAUGCACAAAAUCAGCGAAGACUUUGGUACAACAGAAAGUGUCAGGUUUUAUGACCUUCGCUUGGUUGCUUCGGUCACUAGUGAGGAUAAGUACGUAAAUGAAUAGAGACAGAGAAGCAAACACAGGAUGUACGUGGUUCACCCAGAUUGGCUACGUCCACGGAGUAGAGGAGUUCUUAUUAGUAGUGAAGGGCUUACACAAGUACAAAGGAUCAAGCUCUCAAUUUAGUGAGUUCUUGUGAAUGAUUUAACACAAAUGGCAUUAGGCAAUAUUGUGGGGGAAUGACCCCUAUUUAUAGAAAAACUUGUAGCUUUGUCACAUUGACAUGUGUCAUGUUAUGAUUGGUUCUUGAUGUCGACAAGUGCUGCGCUCUGAUUGGCUUCUAAUCUUGACACGUGUCGAGUAGUGAUUGGCCUCCUGGUCGGAGGGGAACUCUUCUGGGUCCUUGACAGUAUAGCGUUGGCCGGUGCUCGGUAGUUUCGGGAUUGGUCAAGUAUGGUACAAACAGGUUGGAUCCUAAAAAUCCCGCGGACUCAGAAAGUAAUAACAAAAAUGGCUAAUCUAAUAACGGAUUCCGUAAAAAAAAAAACAAAAAACGUUAAAAAAGAACUAAAGGCAGUCUCUAUGCCAUCUUACGAAAUAAAAUUCAGUGCGAGAAUGCAAAGAUCUGCACAAAUGUGCAGCCUGUUAAUGUCAAUUGCCAGGUCCCUUUAAUCUCAUAGUCCUGGUACAAAUAAAGGGCUUCAAUGAAAUAAAAAGAAUUCAACAGAAGAUUAUACGGAACGUCCUUGACACAAGGUUACCGGCCUCCAUUGCCGCCGGGGCAAAGUAUAGAAAGAGAGAAAUGAGACCAAGUGAGAAACUGGAAGCAGACGCCUGUAGACUUGAAGCCAAUAGCUACAGAGGUAGGUUCAUUUAGCUGCAGACUUCUUUUUUCAUCCUAAAGUACAACAGACCUUCUACCUCCCAUAUGGAUGAUAUCGGCCACUACCUGCACCGCCAUAUCCCCCUCCUCUACUACCGUAAAAGGAAACUCCACUACCACCUCCAUAGCCACCUCCGUAGCCACCUCCAAAACCUGCAUCAUAGCCACUCCCAUAACCACCACCACCAGCUGCCCCACCAGCACCUCCAUAUCCCCCAUAACUCUCACCAGCUCCACCAUAACCACCUCCCAUAUCAUAACCCCUGCUAUAGGCUCCUCCAUAACGGCUUGAAUAUCCUAUGGAAGAUUCUCCCCUAUAAGCCCCUAUACCGCCGCCACCACCGCCACCAUAUACUCCAUAUCCGCCAAAUUCACUGCCACCAUAUCCUCCAUAAGCACUGCCUCUACCACCAUAGGCAGCAGCUGACCUAUAACCACCAGCACCACCAUAACUGCCACCUCCAAAUCCACCAUAGCUUUCUCCAUACCCACCACCAUAUGCAGGUCUAGAAUCAUUAUAACGUUUUGAUGGUGGUGCAGGUUGGUUUGGCUUCUUUGGUUCUGCCUUUUUUAUCUCCACCUACAAGAAAUAACAGAUGAAUCUAAACUAUCAAGCUUCUUGAAUGCUCAUAGAUGCAUUUAGUACAUUACAUGGCCAAACCGUCUGAGUACAUGUAAACUAAUUUCGUGUACAUAUGUGAAUUCUACCUCAGUUUUGUUUGGUCAAGCGUAUUGUAUCAUGGUCUCCUUAUUCGUCACUUCGAAAGUGAAUAAAGCAAUAUGAACUUUAAGUAAUCUACAGGGACUACUAAACCAAGCAACAAUUUAGUGCAACCCAUUACAAAACCAUUCUUCCACAUUGAUCAGCGAAAGCAGAAAAUUAAAAAGAGGAUGCAUACAGCCACAUCAAUGCAUAGAGACCCACUACACGAUGCAUACAGCCAACCCACCUAUAUAAUCAAAACUUGGCGGCACUUCAAAUUUGAAAUUUUCUUCCUCUCUCACGACAUAGGUUAGCUAUUAAGGAAUAACAUUUCAAGAGCGACAAAUUCCACCAAAAACAUCCCCCACGUUCCAUUUCUACUGUGAAUUGGUAAUAUUAUCGAUGCAUAUGUUAUAUGAUCCUCAAACUCGCUGUAGCAUGACUAUUUAUUUAUUUAUUUAUUUAAUAUCCUUUACCUCAACUUCAUCUGUUUUUCUGUUGAGUAAAGAUAAAGGUCGUACCCAGUGCACAAGGCUCCCGCUUUACGCAGGGUCUGGGAGAGGUGAAUGUCGGCUAGCCUUACCCCCAUUUAUGGAGAGGCUGCUCCAAAGUCUCGAACCCGAGACCUACCGCUCAUGGGCGAAGGCACUUGCCAUCGCACCAAGUGCGACCUCUUUCUGUUGAGUAAAGAUGAUAAAUUUAAAAUUCAUCCCACAACCUAAGAAAUGGAAAAAAGAGAGGAGGUGAAUGUACAAAAUCCUUGCUAUGCCCUCUAUAUUUAAUAGAAAAAUAAAUUGAGUUAACGGAUAUAAUUGAAGUACCACAUGAGAUUGUGUUUGAGAACCACAAUAAGGAAAAAAAGAAAAACUAUCCUAGAAUGAAGGUAAAAUUCGUGUUCGUGACAACAAUGUCGUAUAUCUGAAAAAUAAUUCAAGUAGAUUAAGAUGUUAGUACACAAUCGUUUAUCUUGUUUAUUGAACAAACAACAAGGACAACAAUGUCGUUUUCUCUCUUUCGAAAUUCAUAAGCAACAAAAUUGAGAUUUUUAUUAAACAAUCACAUGAGCUUAGAAAAUACCACAUCAACAUUUUGCAAGCAGUCUCAUAAGAAAUCCCAAUCAAGAUAAAACCAUUCAACAGUUUAUUAGAUUUCUCCUUUCAUAUAAGAGCAUGGUUCGGAGGAUUAUUUAAUUGACGUUAUAACAUCUUUAUUCAAAGAAAAAAUGAAAAAGAAAAUAGGGCAUCCCUAAGGUAUAGGCCACAGCCACUGUUGCCACUGUUGCCACUGCUCCAACCACGGCAGCAGCUUAACAGCUCCCCUAUCAAGCUUAACAGCUUCCCUAAGGCAUCCUUCCUGGCAUCGUUCUCACUAUUCUCAAUCUGAUUGCCCUUUUCUUGUGGCUUAUCCUCGAUUUCAUCAACUUCAUCAGAAGAUGCUCCGAUUUGGCCCCUGUAAGGAAUGAAAUUGAAUUCCGUGUUCAGCUAUUUAAAUAUUCAACUCUUAAGUUUUGUCAAUAGCAAUUGAGUAAGAAUAGGUAUGAUCAAGCUUAAUAAACAAAUCACAACCACAUUACAAAUCAAAAACAUAUACAGGGUAAUGCAGUUAUAUCCAAUUCUUUUGUGCUUUCUCCACAAAAGUUCUUCCAUGUUAAUGUAACUCUAUAUCAAUUAAUCUAUCAUACAAGACUAUACAUAAUCAGCAAUUGAAAACUAUGACAACACAAGCUUCCGUCCAGUGAAAAUUUUAUCCAAAGAUAGGCAAAACCAAAAACGUACAAACCUCCACAGACGUUCUAUAAUCUUUCCCUUCCCAAUAUGCUCAUCAAGCAAUUCCGGCACAUCAUCAGGAGUGACGUCGCCAUACCUGCAAUUAAUAAUACAUAGUAUUCAAAUUCCAUCGAUCCCAAUACAACAAAAUUUUAAAUUGUUAUGAUCUGAAUAUUACCAAUGGCCCGUUAUGCUUCCAUUUGAACCUGGGCUAUAGAUAAUCAAAUUUCCAUCGUGGCCUCCAGUGUGAAAGCAAGCAUCAGUAAAUACCUGAUUCGUCAAUCCUCGUAGCUCAGCCUCCUCUUUAAACUUAUAAAUGAGAACACGUGCACUAUCACCAAUCCAUUCCUCUCGACUACCUUGUGCACAUACAAAUACAUGGGAGCCAGUCAACGACUCUUGCACUCCGGAAGCCCAUGGCUUGUCAUUCACAAGGACAUCAUCAACAAAGCUGUCCACAUUCGACUCUUUCAAGCCCCUUUGAUCAACAAACAAAAAUAUCAGAAUCACAAAAAAGGAUUUACAUGCAAGAAAAUUAGUCGUAAACUGAGCCAUUAAAUUCAAUUUCUAUAACUAAUUUCAGAAACUAACACAUAUCUAAUUAUCUAUUUGGUUCAGUAAAUUCAGCAUAAUCCCGUAACCAAAUGAGAAGUCGAAACAAAAAUUACUUUAGUCUGAGGUAGGAAAAUAAAUUGCGCUCAUGUUGGUUAUGGAAUGGGCCCUCGAUUAUGAAUUAACUACGGUUUGCCAUUGUGUGUGUUUGUGUGGGCGGUGCUUAACAGCUGGGUUGGGCUGCUGCAUUUGGGCCCAUGGUGCAGCUCUCACGCGUUUUGGGCUGGGUUUCACCGAAAGAUCAAAUGACUCUUUUGCCCUUUUCAGUCCUAAUCCAACGGCCACCAUUUGGGGCGUUUGUGUUCUGCAAUUCGGUUGCUUUCGAUCUCGUCAAGGAGAUCGAGCAGAGAGGCGGAGGGUGACAUCAAGUUUUGGGUUUGCACAUUGAGAGACAAGAGGGUUUAUGGGAAGGGUAGGAGCUAGAGAAAGGGGGGGUUCUGUUCGCUGACGUUGGUUGCGGAGAGAGAGAGAGAUGGGCAAAAGUAUGGGGGUAGGGUUGAGGGGAACGGGUACAGAGAGAAAGAGUGAGGAAGGGACAUAUGAGCUAGAGGUAUGGGUUGAUUUGUCAGGGUCGACCUGUAAACGGUCGGGUUAUUGGAUUUGGGUCGGGUUCAAUUUGACCCGUUAAGUUAACGGAUCAUCCGUUUCAUCGGUUAACACCCGUUAACAAUUAUUAUUAUUAUUUUUUUCAUAAAGUUUAUUUUUUAUUGUUAAGACUUUACUGAAAUUACUUAAACAUUCUCAACUAACGGGUGCUAAUGAGUCUAACGGGUUGACCCAAAGUGACCCGUUAUUUAACGGGUUGUUAACCAAUUCACCAGUUAACCCCGACCCAUUAAUUUUCCACCAAAAUACUAAUAUUAACUGAUCGGGUUAACAUGCCAGGUGCAAAAUGCCAGGUCUAGUCAGGGGCUGCUGCAUCCUUCCUAUUCACAAGGUAACAAAUAAUUUUCCAUUCAUUCUUUACUGUUGGUUGUGAAUUUACUGUUCGGGAAAGGAGGCUACAAAUGAUUUAUGCAUACCUUUGUAGCCUUUAGGUGUGUGUUUGCUAGCUAGCUGGGUCGUGGGUGAGUCUUGAUUGUUUUGGUUCUGUCAUCUUCGACUCUUAUGUCUUCCCUUUUUCUGAAUUUUCUUUAUUUCUCAUCCUUUAAACUUUGUAUUUUUUUUUUAUGUGUGAUGCAGAUAGAUGAACAUGUUCAAAGGGGAAUCAUGAACCACAGAUCACUGCAUCCGAAUAUCGUUUUGUUCCAAGAGGUCAGUGAUCAUAAACUAUUUUCAUUUUGUAUUUUAAGAAUGAAUUUGGCAAGUUCUGUUUGAAUUUUGUAUAAGUAUCUGCUGAGGGUGGGUGGAUGAAGACAGAACAUGCUAAAUUUGGCCUUUGGUGUGCUUAAACUGGUACGGGGGAUGGUUAGAACUUUGAGACCGGGAUGCAGUAGGACUAAGAGAAAUGCCCUACCCACCGGGGCAAUUGUUGUCAAAAUAACUCUGCUAAAAAUAUGAGCUUUCCGGCACUUUGUUUUUAGAGUGGCUUAUUUGGGAUAAUUGAUAAAGAGAUUUGUGUUUAAGACUUGAGAGUAGUGCGGUGUCUUUCUUGCUGGUUCUGCUCACACCACCUCAUCUAGAGAGUAGUGAGGUUUGUGAUGGAGUACACGGCUGGGUGAGAACUCUUCGAGAGAAUAUGCAGUGCUGGCAGAUUUAGUGAGGAUGAGAUAAAGUGGUUUCAAAUGCAGAGAACAUUUCAUUGGAAAUGAUUUUAGUGUAGAGUCUCAAAUAUGGGAUCUGUGAAUGUCCCCUGAAAUGGAAUCCAUCUCGAUUUUCGUUUAGUUUCAGAUAAGGAAAGUUAGGUCUGAAGCAUUUUGGAAUAUGAAUGGAAAUUAUGGAAUCCAUGUAGUCCAACGAGUUCUUGAAGUUUGGAAUAUCUUUGAGUUUGUGGCAGUCGUCCAGUCUCAAGAGUGUCAUUUUCGACAUCUCUGAAAAGUCGGGCAUUAUUUCCAGUGCAGUGCAGUGCAGUGCUUUGCUAUCAGUUCAAGCAAACUGUUUGGCAAAUCUAGGAUUGCCUGAAGGUUUGUGCAAUGAUUUAGCUUUAAAACCUGAAGCUGAGAAAGGCCACUGAGAAUGGGCAGCCUACUAAAACCAUUCCCACCUAGAUCUAAAAAUGUUAAAGAAGAUAGACUCCCAAUUAUUUCGAGAACGGCACCAUCUGUUAUAUUGCAGUCGUUGAGAUUUAAUCUCUUAAUCAUCUUCAGUUGUGCUAAAAAAUGGUAACUCCCACACAAACCCUUAGAGCCACUGAGGUCCAAUUCCUCGAGAUGUGGGAGUUUUGAAAAGUCUGGUAAUUCAGUCAGGUUAUGGCAGUCUCUAAGAAUGAGAUACUUCAACUUCUUAGGCAACUGUUACUCAAAAAGAGAAAACAAUAAUAAAAAUCCAAAUAAAUAAAAGAGAGAAUGCAUGACGAUGACUGAUGUUGAUAUUUACAAGGCAUUGAUAAUUAUAUCGUACCAAGUCAGAAUCCUCCCAAACUCGUAUGAUCUUGCUGUUCCACAGUUCCAUAUAAACUAGGUUUCGUUGAUCAAAAUCUGCUGGUAUGGCUUCAAGAGGAAAUCCGUUCGAACACAAAAAUCUUAACUCCUUGGAAAGAUGUUUGUAGCUUCCCGUCAGCUUUACAUUUUCCAGCAUGAGAAAUUUCAGACGCCACAUCUUCUUAAACACUUCCGUACUGAAGCUUCGCUCGUCAUCAGGAUGUUCUAGCAAAGCUAAUUGUAGUCCUUCAACUGCUUCUGUUCCCUGUUAGAGAUAUAAAAAAAAAAAAAACAAGAAAAGGAUAAUAUUUACACGAAGCAGAGCUGUGAAUUGGAUGAAUGAACUACUAGAAGGGUAGGAUACACAACAUAAUUAUGUAUUUUCUCUUUCAAUUUACAGUGGAUGAAAGCCUUUUCUUUCUUCUUUUUCUUCAAAUAUACUAUGUAUGGCAUACAUUAUAUAUAUGCGGAUAUACGUAUAUACUUCUCUUUCUUCACAUGUACUUAACAUAACAUCUUUUUAUUGCAAAAGUACUUACAGAUUCGUUUCUUAACACGUUUUUUGCAUCUUCACUAUGCCACAAUUGACUACGUUUUCCCAAUUCCGUAGGAGAUUUUGCCCGCACAAUUUCUCUUCCCAUAUCUCGAACCAAAUCAUGCAUCCUCAAAAUUUUGUCUUCAUCAAUAUAUAAGAGACCUCGAUUGCAGAGUGUGGUAAUUUCUGCUUCUACAGAAAAAUGACUACAACUAUCCAAUACUGGCAUGACUAUAUUUAUAUACCAUCCAAUAAAGACACAAGAUAUGUCAAGGAACACACCCUUCACAUGAUCAUCAAUUAGCCCAUCGUAUCUUAAUUUAAGCGUUUCAUUAAUUUCUCCUCCAUUUGGAAGCUUCUGGUCAUUAAUUUGUUCAGCUUCAUCAGAAGAUGCUCCCAUUUGGCCCCUACAAGGAAUGAAAUUGAAUUUCGUGUUCACCUAUUUAAAGAUUCAACUCUAAGUUUCGUCAAUAGCAAUUGAGUAAGAACAUGUAUGAUCAAGCUUAUAAACAAAUCACAACAUUACAAAUCAGAAACAUGUAUGGGGUAAUGUAGUUAUAUCCAAUUAUUUUGUGCUUUCUCCACAAAAGCUCCUCCAUGUUAAUGUAACUCUAUAUCAAUUAAUCUAUCAUACAAGACCAGACAUAAUCAGCAAUUAAAAAAUAUGACAACACAAGCUUUCGUCCAGUGAAAUUUUCAUCCAAAGACAGUAGGCAAAACCAAAAACAAACAAACCUCCAAUGUCGUUUUAUAAUAUCUCCCUUCCCAAUAUGCUAAUCAAACAAUUUCGGCACGUCAUCAAGAUUGACCAAGGGAUAACUGCAAUUAAUAAUACAUAAUAUUCAAUCUCCUUCAUCGAUCCCAAUACGAUAAAUUUUAAAUUGUUAUCAUCCGGAUAUUACCAUUGGAAUGAAUCUUUGCGGUAGAUAGUGGGAUUUCGAGCACAAAUGUGGCCUCCAAUGUGAAGGCAAGCAGUAACAAAUACCUCAUUCGUCAAUCCUCGCAACUCAGCCUCCUCUUUAAACUUAUCAAUGAGAACACGUGCAGGAUCACGAUUCCAUUCAUUUCGUGUCAUAUGUGCGAAUAUAAAUAGAUGGCGGCCAAUCAACGGCUCUUGCACUCCGGAAGCCCAUGGUUUGUGAUUCACAAGGACAUCAUCAACAAAGCUGUCCACAUCCGACUCUUUCAAGCCCCUUUGAUCAACAAACAAAAACAACCUCAGAAUCACAAUAAGGGAUUUAAAGGCAAUGAAUUAGUCGUAAACUGAGCCAUUCAAUUCAAUUUCUAGAACUAAUUUCAGAAGCUAAAACAUAUCUAAUUAUCUAUUUAGUUCAGUACAUUCAGCACAAUCUCGUAAUAAAAAAGAAUUUAAAACAGAAAUUACUUCAGUCUAAACUAGGAAAGUAAUUGCACUGCUCAUGUUGGUUAUGGAAUGGGGCCCUCGACAAUGGCGGAGCCACACAGAGGCCAGUGAUGGCCCAGGCCUACCCUGAUAAUUCAUUUAUGUAUGUACUCUCUGCAAGAUUUUACAAAAAUGAGCAUGCGGCUCAUUGGCUACUGGGAUUUUGCAAUUCCAAAAAGCCGCCUUCCAAGCGGUCUAGCAAUUUUUUUAGAUUUUUUUUUAAACUGAAAGGAAAAAAGGGUUCUUAUAAUUUGCCUUAUUUUUUACCAUAUUAAAACUAAGUCUUAUUUUUUAAUAUAUAAAAAAACAUACUCUCUUUUUUGGCUAGUUGAUAUAAAAAAAAGGUCUAUACACUAUAGAGCAAAAUCUAAUUUUAAGUCGUGAUUUUAAAUUUUUGUACAACUCUAAUGUGUUAAUUUUUUUUAUCAAGGCUUGUAAACAAGUUUUGUUUUUAUGAUAUAUUCAUUUCAAUACUAGGUUUUUCAUACAAAAUUUAAAGCUCCACCAUUCUUGUUUUAUUAAAAAUUUUCAUGCCAAUACAAAAAACAAAACCUUUAAUUUUUCUCCCAUUAAUUAUAUUUCAAAGGCUAAUCUUUCUAUGGCUUAAAGGCCCCUCCUAAUCUGGUUUUCUGGCUCCGCUACUGGCCCUCGAUUAUGAAUUAAUUACGGUUUGCCAUUGUGUGUUGGUGUGGGCCGUGCUUAAUAGUUGGGUUGGGGUGCUGUAGGCCCAGGGUGUAGCUCUCACGCGUUUUGGGCUGGGUUUCACCGAAAGAUCAAAUGACUCUUUUGCCCCCUUCAGUCCUAAUCCAACGGCCACCAUUUGGGGCGUUUGUGUUCUGCAAUUCGGUUGGGCGGGGGAGGGGGGAGAGAGGGGGGGUUAGGUUGCUUUCGAUCUAGUAAAGGAGAUCGUGCAGAGAGGCAGAGGGUGACAUCGAGUUUAGGGUUUGCACAGUGAGAGACAAGAGGGUUGAUGGGAAAGGUUGGGGGUGGACAGAGGGUUGAUGGGAAGGGUUGGGGGUGGACAGAGGGUUGAUGGGAAGGGUAGGAGCUAGAGAGGGGGGGGGGGUGGGGGUGAGGGUGGGUCCUCUCUCCACUGCUUGACGUCAUUUGGAUCUUCAUCCCUUUCAUGCUUCCCCAAAACUACCUUUCUGUUUCCUGACUUGAGAAGGGUCAACGUCGUAGAAUAUUGGACACACUAUUUUCCCCUCUUGUUCUUUUAGGCACCUCAUGAUUUUCGACAGCUCCCUCAGGCACCACCGGGACUCCGCGUACCCCUUCGAGAAGACGAGGAGGGCGAUUCUCGAUCCUUCGAUUUCUUGGUCAAGUUCACUCUGUAUGGUUUUCCCCCUUGUGAGCUGGUUAUCUAUAAAAGUGUUAAUUCCGGCAUUGCGUAAUGCAAUGAAGAGGUGGUUUGUAAAGGCGUUGCGGGUGUCUUCGCCUCUAAAGCUCAGGAACACCUCGUACUUCCAGCGGUUUGAGCCAGCUUCACUGGCGGAGCUGCUGGUAUCCAUUGCAGCCUGUAGAAGUGCAGCUUGGCGUUCAAAUAACCAACGUCAAGUCUUUCCCAAGAUUCCCAAGUGUUGGUGGCCCUUUUAAAUAUUUUGCAUGGGCCAAUGAUGUCGAUAACACGUGAGUGCUAUUCCCCCAAAGUUUAAUUUGUAUAAAUGUUACCAUCAAAUUUAAAUAUUUUACCAUGCAAUUUCCUCUUUUGUAGUUUUUUGAGAAAUCUGCCGCCCCCCCCCCCCCCACUUUGACCAGUUGACGAGAUUAUUGUAUUUUAAGGGUGGUGCGCAGGUCGGUCCAACUGUUGGAGUCACGCUAAAAUACGCAUUGGAAUUUGGAAGUUAGAAAGUAAAAAAAAUUAUAAUAUUCAGACGUGAAAUUUUAAAAGUGUUCACGAGAGAGAACAAAAAUGAAAAACAUUUACUCGAUUGGGUUAAGGCAUGGUCCAAUAGAACUUAUAGGCUUAAACACCGCAAGUAACCAAAUUGGACAUGGGUCUUAUGACCCAUCAGAGCACAUUAAAUUGUGAAAAUUGCACCUGCGCGUUAUUCACACGUUAGUGUAGUAACUUCAGAAAGAAUAAUACUUGAGUACUUAUUGAAAUUACCGACCCAAUGAAAUAAUUAAUAAAAAAGAACCAAUCCCAGUGACUACCCAAAUUACACGGCGUUAAAUCGUUAACCUUUUGGUUUCUAAAUUUACACGUGCCGCUCACUGAAAUGAUCAGAGUUUUGACUUUCAUUUCUUGAAAGCCAGCUGCACCAAUUGGUAAUCGAUGGAUACCAGCAGCUCCGCCCAUGGAACCGCCAUCGCAGCCUCUUCGUAUUCCCCGUGCCGCUCAAACCGCUGGAAGUCCAAGGUGUUCCUGAGCUUUAGAGGCAACGACACACGCACUAACUACACAGACAAUCUCUCCAUGCGUUACGCUAUGCCGGAAGCAACACGUUUAUAGACUACCAGCUCAGAAGGGGGGAUAAUAUACAGAGGGAACUUGACCGAAAAAUCGAAGGGUCCAGAAUCGCCAUCGUCGUCUUCUCCAAGGGGUACGCGGAGUCCCAGUGGUGCUUGAGGGAGCUGGCCAAGAUCAUGAGGUGCCGAGAAGAUCAAGAGGGCAAAAUAGUCUAUCCAAUGUUCUAUGUCGUUGUGAGGAAACAGAGUGGUGGUUUUGAGGAAGUUCGGAAGCAUGCAAGUGAUGAAAAUCCAAACGAACAAUCAGUGGAGAAAGGAUCUUAAGGCUUCUUUCCGGCGGACGGGUAUAAUUCCUUCUUUAACUCCUUCUUUACAAUUUUUUGAUGCUCAAAUUUACUCACUUAUAAUUCAAGGUUAGAAAUCCGGUCGUAUAUAGCUUAGUUAAUCACAUGGAUCAAUCUAAUUUACUCAAAUCUUCUUUGCUCAGAAAAUAUGAAUCUUGCAGUUGCAUGAUGAAUUUCACUUUUGUAUAAUUUUGAAAUUUAAUUGCCAGGCGUGAAGGGUUGUUUAUUGAGGAAAUUGCUAGGGACAUCAGAGGACUACUGAUAACAACAGACUUAAAACAAGCCAAGUGCCCAGUUGGAAUGGAUUUUCUUGUGCAAUAGUUGAGUACUGAAUGCUUAGAUGUUGGAGAUUUGCUUGAUGUUCAAAUAAAUGGAAUUUGGGGUUUGUGCAGUAUAGGUGAAACAAUACUUGCGAGAGCUAUCUGUAGCAAAUAUCAUCGUUGCUUUGGUGGUCAAUGUUUCCUUCAAAAGGUGAGGAGUAAAAAAGAAAAGUAUGGUUGCUCUGCAAGAACAACUUCUUCGAGGUGUUUUGAAACGGCUGGACAUUAAUGUGAGCGGUGUUGCCGAAGGAACCAAAGAGAGAGAGAAAAGAUUUGGAAGCAUGAAGGUGCUUGUCGUCGUUGAUGGCAUAGAUGAUGCUGACCAGUUAGAUGAAUUGGCGAUAAAACAGGAAUCGACUAUGUUUGUUAAGAUUCCAGCCACCCAAAUCUGCAGAAGCCUUAAGAUCCUUUCUCCACUGCUCGACCUCAUUUGGAUCUUCAUCCCUUUCAUGCUUCCAAAAUGCAUUUCCAAAAAUACCACUAUUUCCUCACUUGAGAAGGGUCGACGUCGUACAAUAUUGGAUAGACUACUUUCCCCUCUUGAUCUUCUUGGCACCUCAUGAUCUUGGCUAGCCUCUUUGAGAAGACAGACAACAGUAUUCCUCGACCCUUUGAUUUCUUGGUCAAGUUCACUCUGUGUGUUUUCCCCUCUUCUGAGCUGGUAGUCAAUGAGCUUGUGGAUUCCAGCAUUGUAUAAUGCAAUGGAGAGGUGGUCUGCGAAGGUAGUGUGUGUGUCGUCGCCUCUAAAGCUCAGGAACACCUCGUACUUCCAGUGGUUUGAGUGGCACAGGGAAGACGAAGAGGCUGCGACAUCGGUUACAUGGGCGGAGCUGAUGGUAUCCAUCGAUAAUUUGUACUAGUGUUGGGAGAAUAGAGGAGUGCAGCAGGCUAUGCGGCUUGGCUUUCAGAUAGCCAAAGUCAAGUCAAACUUCAUCUUCUAAGUAUUAUAGAGAAACAAAAUGCGUGGAUUUAUAUGAAUAUGCACGCGUAUGGCAUUGCAUAUAUUUAUUACAACAUAUGGUAACACUUAAUUUUUUAUGUGUGAAGUAAAAUAUAUGAAUUUCUUACAUUGCCUUGUUUGUUUGUUUAUACAUAUUGUGAAAUUUUUAUGGACUUAGUACUAUCAGUAUUUGUCAUUAUCUGCUAGACAACACAUGAUUAUGCGUGUCAAUCAACGCUUAGGUUAGACUGCAUAAUAUGAAUUUGACCAUAUCAUGAACUCAUAAAGGAGUGAGAAUGAGGAUCAACUAGCCCGCUUAGUUUAUUUGAUUCAUUAUAUUCAUGGAUUGGAUCACGAUCGAAUGUUAAGAUGAUACCCAUGCUUUUUCUGAUUCUACACAAGUUAGUAAUUCAAACGACUUCAAAAAGGAGUAUUUUAGUAAAUACGGGAAAAUCAAGAAUCAACAUGACGUAUACGUGGCUCCCCAUAUCGAAGAAAAAAGGGACAUUGCACGUACUUAUAAGUUAUUAAACUCACAAGCAACUGAACAAUCAGAGCCAGAUGUCAAUAACGAGUAAUGGGAUUGUAAUGCUUUCAAUAUUCAAAUCAAUUAACAAGCUCAUAAGAGGAGUUUAGGUUUAGGGUCCCUCAUCAGAUGAGUGAUGGCUGGUUUAGCUCUGUCUGCAACGUCAAUAGUGUCAUCAUCAGUGCAUGUCUUCAUCAGGCAGUAUUCAUGGUAUAGUUUGAUAUCGUCACCAGACUAAUAUGGCUGGUUUAGCUCUGUCUGCGACGUCAUUAGUUUCGAUUUCGCGGUCAAGUUCUGUCUUUAUAUUCACACCACCCCCCCCCCCAACUCCCUUUCUGAGCUGGUAGUCUAUAAACAUGUUGAUUCCGGCAUUGCGAAAUGCAAUAUCGAGGUGGUCUAGUGCGUGCGUCGUCACCUCUAAAGCUUAGGAACACUUCGUACUUCCAGCAGUUUGGGCACCACAAGGAAGACGAAGAGGCCGCUGCGGCAGCUAGGCGGAGUUGCUGGUAUCCAUGCAUGCAGCCUGAAGAAGUGCAGAUUGGCCUUCAAAUAAUCAAAGUCUUUUACCAAGAUUUCCCAGUGCGGGCGGCAUUUUAAAAUUUUUAACCCCAAUAAUUUACGAAUUUAAAUCGUUUAGUUACAGGCAGGGGCGGAUCCACAGUGGGGUCGUCGGGGUCGCACGACCCCUUGGAAAGCAUGGAAACAACCUUGAAGCUCCCAUACGCGACCUCUUGGAGCUGGGGUCGUCGGGGUCGGAGUCACACGCCAAGUGUUCGACAAAAAUCCUGAACGAAGCUCGGCACUGCAGGAAGAGGAAGAAGAAGAAGCAAGCUAUUACUAUGCCAUACGGAUAUGCUUGAGUUUGCAUCCAUUGAUGAAUUCUGCAAUACCACAUUUGAUCCGUCUUUUGUUUCCCUAAGCCGGAUGUUGGAUGCUAUGGCGCUUCUCAUUCCUCACCUUAAAUGCAAUUGUGUGCAGGUGAUGAAGAGACCUGGUUGUAAUUAUAAGACCGCUCGAGUUUGAGGAGGUGAAUCCUCAAGGAAAAGUAGAGGAUCACAAACAGAGUGGAAAGAAACAGAAACAGAAAAAGAGGAAUAAGAGUAACAAGAGUAAAAGCGGUAGUGACAGAAUUGUGACAAAGGUGAAGACUAAGCUCAAGAGUUGAUUAAUACAAAACUGUUUUCGGGUUUUUUUUUUCUUUCCAGUUCCAUUCUUUCCAUGGCGUAAGCGUCAUCAAUUUUCUACGUUUUGGAAGAUGAAAGAGUUAGAAGAGAAGACAGAUCGAGCGGGGAUGCUUAAUCUAUGCGUGCUGGUAGAAAUUCAAUUGCCAUAAUUUUUGUAUCUUUUAAUUCUUUUCUCUUCUCCUGUGUUGCAUGCAGUAGUUUGGUAGAAACUGUAUAUCAGCUAUGUAUUAAAGCCAUUUAACUUAUCCGACACUGCACCAAACGCCCGACUAAUGGAGUUAGUACUAUCCGACGACUAUUUAUCUUAUCCGACUGAAAUAGUCAGUACAGUCCGAAGUACCAAACGAGGUUAAAAAAAAAUUUCGCGCUGCGCGCGCUAUGACCCCACAAACAUUAUUUCCUGGAUCCGCCACUGGUUACAGGUAUGAAGUUCUGUAAUUAAUCUUUUAAAAUUCGUAGACCUUUCGAGGUCAUAAUAAUAAUGAUUUCAAAUAGAGCUCGGUCUCACAAACGGAUAGGCGAAAACCGUUCGUGAAACGGAAUUAUAAUGAGAGAGAUGUAAACGAUUAAAGUCAAGAACAUUUAAGCAAUUUUGAUCUUCAAAUCCCGAAGCCUCCAGCUUUGCUGGAGCAGGAAGGGUGGUGAUGAAGCCACGUGUGUGGCUGUGAUGGAAAGAAGAGAAGAGAAAGGCGAGAAAGGUGAAGGGGGACUGCCCAAUCAGAAAGAAGAGCAGGAGAGACAUGAGAGAAGUGUGAGGCACUCAACCCGGACCCCCGUUCCUUGACCCGUUCACACCGCGACCCGAACCGCAUCCCGGCUUUUAAAUACAGCGCUUUCUUUUCAAAAAAAAAAAAACCUCAUUGCACGAUAUACUUGACAACGCAUGAUAUACAGUAACUGGUAAUUCAAAUAAACUCCAACUUCCUUAGUAGUAACCAAAUUCGAUCUGGGUCUUACGAUGACCAAUCUCAAACAUCAAUUGUAAUGCUUUCAAUAUUCAAAUCAAUUAACAAACUCAUAAGAUGAGUUUAGGUUUAGGGUACCUCAUCGUUAGAUGAGUGAUGGCUGGCUUAACUCUGUCUGCAACGUCAACAAUCUCUUUCAUCAGUUUAUGUCUGAUAGUCCUCGUCAUCAGUAUCGUCGCCAUACUCAUACGGUACACGCUCAUAGUCCACGCCCUUAAACUCUAUAUAUGAAAGAUCAUAUUCUAGAAUUCCAUCAGACAAAUGACAUUCUGUGAUACCCACUCCAGUUUUCUUCACCUUAAUUUGAUGAUCAUCCUCUGCUCCUUUAAUUAAAGUCUGCUGUUACAAAAACCACGUUGCCGCCUUCGGAUUCAGCUUCUUGUUUGAAAGAUGUCCCAGCCAAAGAUGACAUUCAUGGGAGGCAGUUACGGUGGCCACAAUUGGCGAAAUGACAAAAUGAGUUCGCUGGGAAUGAUUAACAACAUGAAUGCAUAGAGACCCAGUACAGCCGGAGUGGUCCCCGGAAUAAACUAUGCACACAGCCAACCCUCUUAUAUUAACAGCAGUCCUUUGCCGCACUUCAAAUUUGAUAGUUUCAUCCUCAUUCACGACAUAGGUGAACCAGUAAGGAAUAUCCAUUCCAGAGAGAAAAAGCCCGCCUAAUGCUCUCGUAAUCCAGCCCUUGGACGAGUACAACACCAUUGAGGCUGGUGGAGGAGAUGCUUGCAGAGAUCAGCAGUGGACGAUGAUCUCGACCAAACUCUUGAGCUUUGGCAACAGCCUGAAAAGUUCUCAUUAUUCUCAAUCCAAUUGCCGUUUCCUUGGGGCAUCUCCUCGAUUUUCUUACUUUCUCCUCCAUUUGGAAGCUUCGGGUCAUUAAUUUUUUCAGCUUCAUCACAAGAUGCUCCGAUUUGGACCCUGUAAGGAAUGAAAUUGAAUUUCCUGUUCAGCUAUUUAAAGUUUCGUCAAUAGCAAUUGAGUAAGAACAAGUAUGUUCAAGCUUAAUAAACAAAUCACAACAACAUUACAAAUCAGAAACAUAUACAGGGUAAUGCAGUUAUAUCCAAGUCUUUUGUGCUUUCUCCACAAAAGUUCCUCCAUGUUAAUGUAACUCUAUAUCAAUAAAUCUAUCAUACAAGAC